CUCCAUACUGAUGAUGAUCUGCUGUGCCCAUGGAGGACGUAGAUUUGGAUCGGCGAAAUGCCCCGGCCCAUGAUGACGACCAGCGAUGAGAAGAGGAGAGGAGGAGGAGAUCAUCAUCAUCAUGGCGGACGACGACGGUUGUAGCUGCAUCUGCAUCUUGAGGGACAGGGAGGAGAGUCUCUUGCGAAUGCCGCCUCCGCCACUCAAUGGCCCACUUUCACUUUGUACUUCAUUAUUACUGCUGCUACUAUUGCGGUUGUGCUUGGUAUAUUUUAACGACGUUGGAGUCUGCGGGGCGGUGUGACAGAGGAAGGCCCUGCUGCCGCUGCUUGUUCUGUUGAAAGCUUUGAAAUAGAGAUCCCAUCUUGAUUCCCUCCUUAGCUACUCCAAACCUUAAGCUUUAGCUGCUGCUGUUGCCACCGACCAAAACUAAGAUCUGGGUUUCGGCCCGGAAAAAACCUGGACAACUAUAGCUACGCCACAGCAAAAUCGAGUCUAUUCUUGAAACACAACAAAUAAUACAACACAGAGAGAGAGAGCACAAGUACACAACACAACACGACUCAAAAACAAGAGGAUCGAUCGAUCGAUCGAUAAACAAAAAGGGCGGUGAGCUGUAGCAGUCACAGCGGUCAUCCAGCCUGUUUUAUUCGCGGUUUUUAGGAUGUUAGAUGCUGGCGUGGGUCACCCCUGACUUUAACUUUUCGUUCUUAUUUUUGUUUUUUAUUUUUAAAAACACGUUAACACCGCCACUUCCCACUCCAAAAAAAAAAGCAUUUUUUUUGAUAAUCCAGACCAUGCCCUGAUCUGAUCCGAGUCCUAUGGAUCCGAGCCGGCACAUUAAAUCGGGGACAACGUCUCAACCUCAUCAACGUUAGUCUAAGCGAGUCACAAGGUGGCAGGGAGCAGUUUCGAACUCGGGACCUCUAUGUCUCUAAGGAUCGCUAUUACCGUUGGACCAACCUCAUGGGGCUAAAAAAAAAGUUUGCUUCAUUUUUCACUUUAAAUUACCAUAAUUAUAUUAUACAGUUUAUCCCCCCUAAUUAUGUGAACCUUGAAGGGCCAAGGUGAAAAAAGAGAUGAAUUUAAGGAGCUUAUUGGAAUUAAACCUUCAUUCUAACAACUUUUUAUUACGCCAAACAAGAUGGAUGCCCUCCAUUUUAAAAAGUAACUAAUUAUUAUUUGAAAAAAUUAUUUAUUAUAGUAUGUUAGUUUAGUGCAUGUAAAAUUAAAAAAUAGUUAAAAAUUAUGAGUAAAUCUUAUAUAUACUGACGAUGUAUUAUUAUAAUUGGAUAUACGACAUAUAUGCAAUAUUUAAGUUUUAAAUUCAAAUUUGAAUUAUGUGUCAUAUAUCUAAUGAUAAAAAUAUAUGCUAUCAGUGUAUAAAAAAUUAAUCUAAAAAAUAUAUUUAAAUAAUGGUAAAAAAAUGUUUUCAAGUAACGAAAUGCCCAAACACUCUACAGCUAGAAAUGAGUAAAUAUUCAUAUGCUAGUUUAAAAUUCAGUAAAAUUAUACUGCUACUAGUUAAAAUUUAGAGAAUUUAUUUAUUUAUUUAUUUUUUGAAAAAAGGUUAACAUGUAAGUGUGUUUGGACAGGAGAUUAUUUGCUCAAAUAUAUUUACUUACAUUACCAUUAUAAUUUUUAAUAAAUCUUUUUAUCUUUUCAAUUAUCUUUUUAUCUCACAUAUAUCACAUCACAAAAAGUGCUCCAGUAAAAAUAUCUCAAAUAAUUUACGAUCCAAACACAAAAGAAAGUAGUAGCAUUGGCGUUAUUGUUACACAAUUGCUGCUGGGUCAUCUUCUGCUAUUAUUAUACUUAAAAAAAGAAGAAAAAAAAAAAAAGAGGAGAGUGAAGGUGGUAAUUUCGGAAAGAAAAGAAAGGAUUAAGGAUCUGCCGCUGCUGCUGUGGCCACUAGGGGAUUUGAUUUGAGUGAAAAUUACUACUCUGUCUUGAGAAAUAAAUUGGUGGACGACGGCAGACAAUCGUCGAUUCCAUACAUUCACGUCUCUGAUGCCCGGACCCGUUAUGCUGCUGGAUAUUUAGCAAAUGGAAUACAGAAGAAUCAAGGAUCUGCAGGUUUGGGCAUCCCCAACCAAAAGAAUUAACUAUAGAAACAAAACCCUAAUUUCCAUCGCCAUUCACUCGAUUGACAUUUCUUUCGUUGCUUUCGGUUUCCCCAAUUUUUGUUUGUCGAUUCCUUUCUUGAUUUAUUUUUAUUUUCUAGUCGAUUAGUUCUUCGAUCAUCCAGCAUUAUCAUUAGUCUGUCUUCGUUUUACUCGUGAUUCAGCUUCUUCAACUUUCGGAUUUUACCUCUCUUCUCUCCCAAAUAUGCUUCUUCUUAUCAUUUUUACUUCCUGAUUGAUUAUUCCUUCCUUCCGCUCGCGUAGUAACCGAUUACUAUAAUUUUACCAUCAGGACAAAGCUGGAGAGGAAGUUCAUUCUCACAACAAUGAUGAAGAGAGCUUGCGUGGUUCCAAAUCCGAUUCUAUCUCUACUGGUCAAAUUUCUUCCCCACUUCCUCCCUCCCUUUGUCCACAAGUUUCAAUGCCUCGCACUCUCUUUUGUUUCGGCCUCUAUUGUUUUCUUUCUAAUAAUUCAAUCAAUAAUUCCUCUAUUGAUUUAAACAGGCUCCGGCGAACUAUCAAAGUGGAAACGCAAGUCAGUAGCUCGCCUGAUCUUCUUUUUUCUUUUCUUGUUGUACCCGCAAUUUGAAGUCUUCCCAUUUUCUCACUGAUGAUUAUAUUAGGUCAAUUGUAACACUUGCGUUGACUGUCCUUACGAGUUCACAAGCUAUACUCAUUGUCUGGUCCAAAAGAGCUGGAAAGUAUGAGUACAGUGUUACCACUGCCAAUUUUCUGGUGAGGAAACUAUAAGGCAUCUACUAUCCUGUCACUAACCCAUGAAAAUAAUUCAGCCUUUUUCGUGCUUGCCUUUUCUUUUUUUUUUGGUAUUCAUUUCUUUUACCUUAUGUGCUGGGAAAGAAUUUCAGAAUUCUACCUAAAUUUCUUCCUUUUUUCUUUUCCAAUUAGGUAGAGGCCUUAAAGUGUGCAUUUUCACUUGCAGCCUUGGCAAGAAUCUGGAGAAAUGAAGGUGUUACUGAUGAUAACAGGUUUCUUUUUCCCUGACUUCCUUUUGAUGUACCAUGUGUGGUCGAUAUACAUCAGCAUGUUCCUUUUCCUUCUAGAAUUUGUAAUUGCCCCAUGCAAAACUGAGCAGCUUGGCUUGGAGGGAUCAAAUAACAACCACAUAAGUGAAUGUGCAAGUUUAUAAGUUUUUGAUACCCUAAACUUGGCUUUCGGGGAAUAGCAAUUAUGGAAGGGUUAAAUCUCUUAAAAUUUCUGUUUCUGCACUGUUAAAUGAUCUUCUGAAUGCAAGUCUCGUGACUUUCCAUCUAGAGAAAAAUUCAGUAAUCAAAACUUUUUGACUUUUAUUUUUAUAAAUAGUUUAGAAAUUCCUAUCAAGUGCACGGGUUUACUGGCUUCCUUCUGUAUGAGUCUUAUGUAAGUGAAUUCCUUUGUUUUUUUUUUCAUUUGUUCUAAAUUAAAUAUACGACAUCUUGUUGUUGUGUUUGAACUUUGUUAAUCUUAUGCUGUUUGUUCUGAUUUACAUUUGUAAUUUAAUGAAUACAUUGUUUGUCUGUCAUCAUCGUGUUUACUCUUCCGCGAUUAGGUUGAGUACAACGCUGGAUGAAGUUAGUGUUUACCCUAUUCCUGCUGCUCUUUACCUCAUCAAGAAUUUAUUACAGGCAGGUUUUUUUUCAAUAAUUUUUUCUUAUAGGUUUGGCUUUGUGGCUCUUGGAUGUUCUUUUGCUUAAACAUGAAUCUGUCUUGCAGUAUUACAUCUUUGCAUAUGUUGAUGCUCCGGGAUAUCAGAUAUUGAAGAAUUUUAACAUUAUCAGCACCGGUGUAUUGUAUCGAAUUAUUCUGAAGAAAAAGUAAGUCCUUCCAUCACUUUGGAGAUAGAAAGUGUUGAAAGUUUUCAUGGGGAAAGUAUGGAUAGCAAUACCUCAGGAGACUGAAAAGCGUCAUCUUUUGGUUUGUCCAUGUGAUUGUUUUUUUACCAUGGACAUAUUAGCUGGACUUAUGAAUAUCUGUGUUGCAAUGAAGAAACUCAGCAAACGUGUUCUGGAACAAGUUAAGAUUAUCCUAAACCUAAAUUUGUACAGGCUGUUGCUGAGAACAUGAAAAUGCAUUAUUUUUUUAUUUGUUUUUUCCCCCUUCUAUUGACAUAUCUGGGGACCUUGUGAAUAUUGAUGGGGGAAAUGGAAAAACCUUAGCAAAUGAGUUCUGGAACAAAGUUCACAAGAUAUUUUGUUGACCUCUUAAUGAUGUCUUCUAUGCAUGUCUCUGGUGAUUUAACUUCUUUUUAUUAGGGAGUAGUUGAACCAGAGUUCUUCUUUUUUCCUUUUUCCUUUUGUCACAUAAGUUAUGUAAUUUGACCGGAUUCUGGGAUUUCUUUGAUCAGUAAUCUUCAUUGAUUUAUUCAGGCUAAGUGAGAUUCAGUGGGCUGCUUUUGUCUUAUUGUGUGCUGGGUGCACAACUGCACAACUUAAUCCUAGGUAAGUGCCAAUAGCCAGUAGGAAGAGAUAAAUGUCUUUUGCUUUCUCAUUUUGCUCUACUACUGUUCUCCUUUUCUGUUUUGGAGUAAAUCGAAUUGUUCUUAUUUAUUUGCAGUCUCCUUAGAGUAUGACCUUGUUUGUGCAGCUCUGACCAUGUUCUUCAAACUCCCUUUCAAGGUUGGCUCAUGGCCAUUGUAAGUUGCUGUUAUUGAACACCAGGAUUCAACUAAAGGAUGAAAAGCUUACUAAAAUUUUCAUGCUUUGUAAUAUGACCAUGAAUGGCUCUUUUCAGGUUAUGGCUCUUCUUAGUGGUUUUGCUGGAGUGUACACAGAGGUUAGUGUUCUGGCAUUUUUUUUGGGGGGUGCUAAAUGGUUCUUUCAAACUGUACUUUUGCUUAUUUGAAACAGUUUAUCAUUUGCAUGAGGGGAUUGAUUCUAGUAAAUGAUCAAUUUCUGAAGAUUUCUAAGUGCCUGGCCAAGAAUAAUCAAAACCAAAACAAGGGGAGUGGAGUUUACCUUAUAAGUUUGAAUUUCUUGCAGGCUAUCAUUAAAAAACGACCUUCAAGGAACAUCAAUGUGCAGAACUUCUGUUGUAUGUCUUUGGAAUGGUCUUCAAUGCUAUUGCAAUACUGGUUCAAGAUUUUGAUGCAGUGGCUAACAAGUAUUGUCCGUUGUUCUGCAUUUCUCAUCUUUUACCUUGAUGUUCACUUAGUGAAUGCCUGAUGAGUAGAUAUGGUAUUAUUUAUGUAACUUGGAAGCAUAAUCAUAUUGAAAAAGAGCAUCCUCAUCAUUGAAAAUAGAUGGCUCUUCUCUUGUUUGGAUAUUUGGAAUUCAUAAGUUUUCCUUCAGAAGAAAAAAAAUUGUGCAUCUUUUGUUUAGUGGAAAUGGUGCAUCUCAAAAAGUAAGGGCUUUUGUUUUUUAUAAUGUAAAAGUAAGAAGUGGUUUUAAUAUGUAAUAAUCACUGGAUAUUUGACUUUUGAGGACAUUGUACAUAAAUGUCUUUUAUAAUUACAUUAAUAAUUCGUGUUUCUCCUUGUGCCUCUUUUACAGGGGAUUCUUUCAUGGAUAUUCAUUAAUUACAGUUCUCAUGAUUCUCAACCAUGCACUCAGGUAUCUCACAUUGCUCUAAACUUCUCUGGACUUUAUUGAUGUAUGUUGUUGUUGUGUAUGAUGUAAACAAUUAGGAGUGUAGGAUGAAAUAGUAGUUUAGAAAAUAGAGGUUUUUGUUGGCUGAACUUUUUCUGCAUUUUAAUGGUUAUGUUUGUUUUGGUAACCGAAUCGCUUGCCAGCUAAAAGUAAUUGCUUGCUUAGAUAUGUCUGCAUAGGCUUGAAUAGGUGGGCAUCUGAUUCUGGAAAAGGAAACUAAUGUCAUCGUAGACUUAACAUAACCAUAAACUUUUGGCAUUCUGUUUCUUUUUAGUUUUUGAUCAGAAGCAAUGAUUUACUUUGUCUUGGCCUUCUAUAUUUGUUACCUAGGAUUUGUUUUCUUCGUCAAUGUAUAAUAAUGUUUUGUAAUCCUCUUCUUCUACAAGUCAAACUGAAUAGUGCUUAAGCCUGUUGUUCUUGAGCAUUUAAUGGACAAGUUGGGGGCACGGAGUGUAAGAUUGAAAAUUGUUUGUUGUGGACAAUGAUGGCUGCUUUUUAAAUUCACCAAGUUUUUAUAUGACCUGAUACAGUUCAUGAAUUUUGAAGCAGGUCAUUUUCAAUGUUCAGAAGUUCAUCUUCUUCUGUUUUUAUUUAUAAUUAACUUCUGCUAUAUUUAAUUGUUUGAUUACGUAUGUGUACCAUUCACUAAUUGACUAUUUACCAUGUAGUGGAAUUGCUGUGUCAAUGGUCAUGAAAUAUGCGGACAACAUCGUGAAGGUAGAUAACUGAAUUGCACAAUAUAUUUUUCUUGGAAAUUGCAUAUGAGUAUGUUUGCCAAGGAUGUGCUUUUAUAUGAAUUAUGUUGGAGGUAAUUUGCUGGGACGAAAAUCUUGGUUGAAGAAUGAAACACAGUUAUGUCUGCAUUAGGGGAAACAUAAAUUUGUGAUGGUGUUUACCAGAAUAUGCUUUGUUUUCCUGCGAAGUCAAGUUCUUUCUGUGUGCUUGACAAUAAACAUUUGGAAUGGAGAUUUUGAGAAUAAAUUUCAUCUCAAUUGAGUCAGUUGUCUGAGAUCAGGAUGAGUAUUUAUGCAUGACCUGCAGAAAUCUUGUUUCGUUCUGUCAUUUAAAAGCAUACCCAGUCUUUUAAUUGAUGGAAAAACUACAACCUAUAGAGGAAAAUGUUAACGUAACAAGGCCAUUUGUAUUGCUUAGUAUGCCUGUGUGUUAAUAGUAAUGCGUCUAUCCGAUCAAUCAUGGAAGCUUUACACUGGAAAGUCUCGAGUUCUUCUAGGAAGGGCAUUUCCCAUACUGCUUGGCAUCAGGAUCAUUAGUCUGUUUGAUGCUGCUGCUGGCCAAGUCUUGAAAGUUUACAAGCGGACUGUUUAAACAUAUUUCAAAUCAUACCUAGCCUCUGUAUCUACAUUGAAUAUAUUUGAUUUCCGUUUUAUGAUUUCUGACAUAUCUUUGGCAGGUUUAUGCUACUUCAGUUGCAAUGCUGCUAACAGCAAUUGUGUCUGUAUUUUUAUUUGGAUUUCAUCUCUCCCUUGCAUUCUUUCUUGGUUCCAUGUAAGAUCCUGAUUCCACCUAUGCAAUUCACUUGCAUUUUUUCUCUGGAUUCUGAUUCAACUUAUGCAAUUCACUUGCAUUGCGAGCAUUACUAAUGAAUUUCCUGUGCUUGCAGUGUUGUUUCUGUCUCAGUAUAUUUGCAUUCUGUGGAAGGUCCAGCGGCAGCAAUGAUUUUUCACCUUCUCGGUCUAUUAUUUUGAGCUCUUGUUUAGGAGCUAACGCAUAUUUUUUUUUUUUUAGUUAUUUAGUUACCGAUCAGAUAAUCAGAUAGCAUCCAUCGAACUUCAAUUUUGGUUUGCAUUUUUGUUUAGAUUUGUAUUUUGAUGUUUUUAUCAUCUACUGAAAUCGUUUUGGAGAGGCCUCCAUCCGCUACUUUGUGCUUGAUUGGUACGAGUUGCAAGCAUUUGAUCGUGUUUUUCUUUGUCCUGUAGAAGAAUUGGUGCGCGGAACUCAGGAGCCAAAUUAGAUGGCAGUUGAAAAAUAUAUUCCAACAGGAAAACCUGUGAAUGUUUUUAUAUCCUUGAGCGCAAGCAUCCCGCAAUUCACGAAGGCCGUAUUUAUAUCCUGGCGCAAUUUACAAAAUAUAAAAACAACCCAUUCUGUUAUAUCAUGCUUGCACGACCAUGGCCACAUUUGCAGGCACGAAACUACUUGCAUCUAAAGUACGAAAUCUCGUCCUACCAUAUCAGGGAGAGAAGGGGGAAGUAAUAUCAUCAUCUGCGCAUGUUUGUGAACCAAAAUAAAAUGGAAGUACACGGACAAGAAUAUGUUAUUAACCUAAAACUUCAUUGUACUUGAAAACACAGUCAUACAGCCUUCCCCAAGGAACUGAGCAACUUCAGGGUGCUUCACCUGAAAAGUGAAAUUGUAAACAAUAUUAGCGUCUAUAUCAUACAAAGAAAAAAAAAAAAAAAGCUCACACUCCUUUUUCUUUCACCUAGGUGCUCAUGAAUGGAGUUAUUUACCAUUCCAAUCUUGAGGGAGUCACAUUUAAACUGAGCAUAAAGGUUGGUCUCAAUUCCACGGCCCUGAAAGAAAAAUAAAAUAUCAAAAGAGCAAGAAAACCAGAAACCAAACACAAGCCAACACCCACAGAGCUGCUAAAGAAAACAAGUCAACUUGAAGCAAAAUUAUUUGUUUUUAGGUGUGUUGAGAUCAUGUCAAACUGCCAAACUCAAGCAGAAUCAAAGAAGGUUAUGCAACACAGCGACAAAGGGAAUCUUAGAAUUUAAUUAGCAGCUUCCCAUGAUAUUCCUUUCUUAAUCAUUUUUGCCAUCCUAAAGACAUAAAUAAUCGAACUAAUAGCUGACGUAACAUUUGCACUUUGCAAUGGACAUCUAGGGUACAAACCUUGAUUGGAGGUAAAAGUAUUCAGCAUUUUUCCUGACCCCAAACAUGGAAAACCACAUUCCAAGCAUAAGUAAACUUAUUUUGACGCUUUUCUUCUUCUAAUGGAGCAUGACUCACAGACUCAGUGGGUAUUAUUCAUUUUCCUAAAAUCAAAAAUUCACAUACAUCCAAGUGUACCAACUUUCAUAACUCCCAUGUUGACUUGCUCUCAUCAAUAUCUUUUUGAAUAUAAAACACAGAGAUCACCUUAUUACUAGUAAAUUCUUGUAACUACUUUUUUUUCUUUUAUCAUCACAUAUUAAUAAUUUCGUACACCAAUUUACUUGCAAUACAUAAUUUGAAAACACACUCAAGUUUACGAAAGUGAACUUUUUAAUAUAACACAUUUUGUGCAAAGGUAAGCUAUUAAAACAAACAAUCAUGUCUCUUGAAUUUGCAAAUAUUAGCCAUAAAAAUGUAUGCAGCUAUUGUAAAAGCAACCAAUUUUCUUAAAUAAGCUUACACUGAACAUGAGCAUUUCUGUCAGAUUUGUUAAAUAUCUGAUUAAUCCAGUCUUCUUCUCAUAUUUAUAUACAUGUAGACAAAUAUGCACAUAGUCAAGCAACAUCAAAGUUCACCAAAAUGUAGAAGAGAACGGAACUGCAAUAAAAGCUUACCCAGAACAAUCUGAGCAAACAUUCCAACUUAAGAGUAUCUUUCAAAGGAAUUAACCACGGAAGGAAAUCAACAGAUAUUGGACCAUCAUGUUUUUCAUAUAAUUUUUGUUUAAAGGACGUUACUGUAACAGCCAGCACAUACCAUUCCUUCCAAAAUAACUAGUUCGGCAUCACUCGCCAAAUAUGCAAGCUCUUGUGAUAUUCUUGUGAGAUCAAUUACCUGCCAUGAUAUAAAAUCCUAGUUCAACAAUAAAGAGGAAUCUGAUUCGAGCAACAUGUCAAGCAAACAAAUGUCACUAAAAAUUAUGAAGUGUAUCAAACAUUAAAACAUUCGCUUCUUACCGGUAAAUCAUUACCAGAAUUAGCAAUAAAAAGAUUUGAGGUAUCUACUCCUGCAAGCUUCCCUUGAUUAUCCUUCAACUGUUAAAGAACAAUUCAAUUUGCCAGCAUCAGAUUGAAGAUUGGUAGGAGCAUAAUGUUAGAAACAUGAAAUAUUUAACCACCUUUGAUACAAUGUCAAUUAGCUCAGGGUAUGUCACAUCGUUUAUAGAAGGUAAGUCAUUAGCUGCCAAAACAACCUGCAAGGACGGAUAAUAAUGCUUCAAAUUGAGAGAUUUAUAGCUCCUCUCACACAAACAAGUAAAAUAUCUAUAACUAACAAACCACAAUAUGUACCACCGUAGAACAUAAUAAUAGUGCCAUGCGGGACCUCCUUAUAGAAGUUUAAGAGGUGACUGCAUGCAGCCUCCUAACAACUAAACGAUGGAGAUUAAGUGAUAAAUAUUGCUUCACGAAUAGAGGAGUCAAGGUUGGUCAGUCUUCUUAUCAUCAUCAGCGGAAGUUUUGUAUUUGAAUGACAAUACAGGAUCAACUUACACUAGAUGGAAGUAGACUUACAUUAUUUUAGAAUGUUUUAUAGCUAUCAACAUAUUCGGAGUCCACAAUUGGAUCAUAUUAUUUCCAAACUCAUUCUAAUACAGUACGUACAAUGUCAUAAAAUAACCAUAAUUUAGCCCCUAAAUUACCAGUCAAAGGUGUCAAUAGUUAAUAUAUAUGUUUUUAAGCUCCAAUAUCCUUGAAUGUCCCAUGCUUUUUUUGUGAUUCUCAGAUAAUUAAAUUCCUUGUAAUCAAGGAGGCUAGGAAGUAUCACAUAUUCAAUGUCUUAGGGUGUCGUGCAAAUUUCACACGUUUAAAUUCUUUUACAGUCUUUUGUUUAGCAGAGACAAAGUCUGUAGCCACUGGAGGAACAUGAUUGACAUUCAACACUACUAUUUUGCAAACCUGUUAGAUGCCCUUAAAAGAGGAUUGCAGCAAAGGACAUGUUAAACCAAUAACUUCAUGUGAAACUCAAGGCUGGCAAUGCAAUACUACAGAGGGUCCAGAGCAAUUAUCUUCCUGCCAGAGCCAUUUUGCACAAACUGCCUUACAAAAAAUUAAAUAGUUAUGGCCCCACUACACUCUCUCUCCUAUUCCUCCCCCUCCACAAACCACCAGUUGCCAGGACUUCCACACUGACGGGACAUGAUUAACACUACUAUUUUUGCAAACCUGUUUGAAGCCCAAUAGAAGAGGAUUGCAGCAGAGGACAUGUCAAACGGAAAGUUAAUGUGAAACUCAGGGCUGGCGAUGAGAUACUACAGAAGGUCUAGAGCAAUUAUCCUGCCAGAGCCAUUUUGCACAAACAGCCUAGACUGCCUUACAAAAAAUUAAAUAGUUAUGGCCCCACUACCUCUCUCUCUCUCCCCUACUCCUCCCCCCUCCCCAAACCCACCACUCUCUGGGACUUCCACUGUUCCCUUCCCUUUUUUUUUCGCCACUCUCCAUCUCUCUCUUUUUGCUGUCUCGCCUCCAAUCCCCAAGUCUCUACGCUUACCUUCCCCUCCCAACUUCAUCUCUUUUCCCUAACCCCUCCACCUUGGCCCCUUCUGCUAAACUCCUUUCUCCAAUAGCUUCACUCCCCCCCACCCCCUUUACCAUUGCUACUACCUAUCCCCCAUGUCCCCUUUUCACAGAUGCAUUAACCUCACCACCAUGCACUUCAAACAAACCCCCAACAUAGCUUUCCCCCAAAUUAUCAUGGAGGAUUCUUGAUGUUUGAAAUUGUCUAUUAAGGUCCAUUGGAAUUUAACUGCUUUCAUGUCCUCAGCUGCUUAUGGGCUUCAUCUUCAUUCUAUUGUUUACAAGUCAAUAAUUUGUUAAAGAAAUCUUAUUAUAAUUAGUUUACAAUAAGUUUUCAUUUACUAUUUCCCUGUAUGAUGUCUUGCGAUGGUGCUGUAGUUUUGGUUAUCAACAUUCAUCAUAGCUUCAAUAUUAACCCUGUUGGAAAUCUUAUGUUGGUGGUUUCAGUAUCAAUAUUCAGUGGCUGAGAGACAUGAGAGAAAGUGGCAGUGAAGUAAGAAAGAGAGGCAGAAAGCAGAGCGAGAAUUAUGGUGGAUCUAAAAAUAAAGGUGUAAACUUUUUUCAGGGUAAUUUGUGCAUUCGAAAACUGCUUUGGCUGGAAUAAAAUUGCUCUGAAGGUACUUCCAGCCGAAUCUGAAACACAAUGAUGACUGUGAUUUUAGCCAAAGACACCAUUGCUUAACAAUUGUGACUAAAGGUCACAAAUAUCAAAGAGGCAACAACUAAGACAUUUAUGGUCUACAGCUAUAAAGAAGUGGGAAACUGCAUGUGACUAUAUUAGUAGGAUUGAAGUUGGAAAAGGUCACGCUCUUAUCACAUGCCUCUAACCACAUAGCUGGAAAGACGAUUUAAUAGGGGGAAAAAACACCAAGGUUAUAAGUAUUGUUGGGCUAAUAGGUGACAAACCACAAAUAACUAAAUAGUGUAUGUGAUAAAAGUAGAAAAGAGUAUAUAAAAGAUCAUUGUAUUGCUUACAUAUUAAAAUAGGGUAACAAAGGUAGCAAAAGAAAAACCAAAAGAAAUCCAAUAAAAAUUUGUUAAACACACCUAAAACAACAAAUAAAAUUGAACGAAGUAUCUAGGAAGAGCAUCUGGCUUAAUAGGCGACAAGGACUGUGAUAGAGCAAAGUCCAAUAGAAUUCAGGAAACACCAAGCAUGAGGUAAGGGCUCCUUAAGUACACUUUUUAAAUGUUGACAAGCGACAAAUGAUAUGUGAUUUAUCCACGGCAGCAUAUAUAAGACUAUAAGACUAUAAAGGUCAAACGUUCUGAAACUCUGAUGAAACAAUCAACUGUAUAAAUUUUUUAAAAAUUUUCAUUACUCAUGAAGAAUAUGGAAAGUCACAAACUAGUACUUGCACAGAACUCCAAGAAGAUUCUAUAAUUCAGUUAAAACAGAGCCCAAGAGACAUAUGGAGACCGAAAAAUAACUCCCAGAAGACCAAUUUAUUGUUGAUCUCAAUCCUUAGACAGCAUGAACAGUUCCAUAAUGCAGAUUCUCAUUGGAAAAAUGGUCUAGAUUUUCUAACUUAUUUAAUAUUCAGUGCAAAGGCAGACACAAAACCCCUAAAUCUGGAUCCAAAGGGCCUGAUCUUCACAGUGGCAAGUUGCUAAUUUAGGAGAACUCUUCAAUUUUCUCUUCAAAAUGUUUAUAAGUUCAUAUACGAUAUCCAGAGUCAAAUUUCAGAACUGGAAAAAAACAGCUUUGUACAAAGUAACAUAAUCAUCACUGAGUAGCAACUUUAUUCAAAUUAAAAGCCAAUUAGUGUCUCAUUCACCUAAGUAAUAGAAUCUCCGGCAAACAUAAGAAACUUCAAGAAAUUGAGGCGAUAGGAUCUUAAAAGAAACCUGUGUCCCACAACGCAGUAACUCCCUUGCAAAUGGCAAUAUCCCUAAAACUAUAUCUGCACCAGAAUUGUCCACAAAGAUCACAGCCUGCACUACGGACAAAAGAUUAGUGCAGGCACACCAUAAUUAGCAAGACAAAAGAAAACCCAUCAGUGGGGAAGAAGGAAUCUCCACCAUUUCAAAGUGCUCACUUUUUUCCAAGGUUUCUUGCUCCACUUUGCAAUGAAAGCAUCCAAAUCAUCAAUAACCCAAGGUCGGGGGACCAGGUUUUGACAACUAGCCAGAAAAGACAUACCAUCCUUUGAGAACAACUCUGCAAGCUUCAAGAGUAAAAAUUGUCAAUCAACGGUUGCUGAAUUUUGAAACUAAAAUCUAUUUCCCUUUUUUUUUUUCAUGUUCCUCUUAAGUUGAACUUACACAUGCAUAAGUCUAUGGUUUUCAAGUUACAAACUCAAGAAGCACUUAAUUCGGAUGUACAUCCAAGGGGUCUUAUUACUUAUGAAAGCAUGGAGACUGACAGUCAACAUCAACAAUUAUCGUACAUAUGCUCACUCCUUCAGAUAUUGUUCAUACGAGAAGAAAGUCUCACAAAACCUCAAAGUUUAUAUGAAUUUAUUGCCUAAAAGCACAAUCUACCUGUGCAGAGCCAAGAUCAAAGAUAUUUCCUGCAAAUAUUCCUCUAACCAAAUUUUCCAUUCGCUUGCAUUCAUCCUCGAUGGCAUCACUAAGAUGAACAACAUCUUCAAACAAGGAUAUUGCCUUGGCAUUUUCUUCAUCCUAAAAUGGAAAUGAAUGCUUAGCAGAGUGCACUAUGUUGGUUUAGAAGAUAACCCAACUUUUUGAACAGGAUAAUAAGCAGACACAGGGGAGUGCGAUAACUCCCAUGAAUGACGCAAGGAGAGGCCUUCAAUGAAUGGAAAACCUCGUUCUCACCUUAACCUUCUUAAAGAUAUCUCUGAACCCCAGUUCUCGGAGGACCUGCUCGCGAAGCUGACAAAGAAGCUACAAAAGAAUCAAAAGGAAACGUGAGAAAUUCACAGCUUUUUGUAUCAGUUAAACAUUCUGUGUUGCAUCAGAAGUGCAUAUGUAGGUUAAAUGUGAAGAAAUAGUCAAGACGGGUUGACAUUACUACGCAAUCAGGUGGUCCCCCAUGACUUUCAGGAUCUUUCUUCAAAUCCUCCAGUAUCUCCGCAUACCUUGAGGGUGAGAAGAGGGGGCGGGGUUGAAGGAAAAGCAGAUUUUGAAGUGAUGUGUGGGGGAGGGGAAAUGAGCCGUCAGUAAAAUUGGUGUGCAAAAUAAGAACUUGAAACAGCACUUUCAAGCAAUUAGACCAUGGCUAUUAAUACAGCAAACAAAUGUGCAACACUCUUGAAAAGGGAAAAGUAAAUCACAGAGAACGCAGGUGGAGAAGAAGACAAAUUUAAUGAAAAUAAUGAUGAUGAUUAUAAGGGGUACCUUUGAGCAAACUUCUCAGCCCUUGCAGGAGCAUCUAAUACUGUAUCAUCGCUCUCUGCCCGUCUCCUAUAUUUAGUAUAUCAGUAUUAUUCAGAAAAAAAUGCAUGGAUGAUUUUUCAACCAAAUCCCCCUCCCCAUCAACCAAUAAACCCCCCCCCCCCAAAAAAAAAGAAAAGGAAAAAUGGACACCGGAAUCCAAAUAUGAUGGUGAUGGUGAUGGUGAUGGUGAUGGUGGUGGUGGUGGUGGUGAUGAUAAUUGAAUGGGCAACUAGGGGUACUUCACUCCUAACAAAGAAGUACUGUCAAAUAAUGCGGUGAGAUGAGGGUUAGGAGAGGUGUAGGUGCUGCUGAAUUGCUGAUAAAAUCUCUAGUGAAAAGGUAAAAGAUUAUAAGAGUAACUAAAGAAACCCAGUACCGGAAAGAAGAAAUGGAGUUGAGGAAAAGGUCGAUCCAGGAGAGCUCAGUCGGGGUGGGCUUCUUGGAUUGUCGGAGGGGAAUCUGUAAGGUAUGGUGCAAGCCCUGUAAUUGGACUCGAUCGGCAUCGUCAGCAAUGGAAAUGCCACUAAUUCUCCGGCGCUCUCCAUGUCGCCGCCAACACUUAAUCCUCCCUCCCUUUCUUUCCACCUGUCAAACAAUGAGGUAGGUAACUGGGCUAAAUGUAAAUGGUUGAUUACUUCCUUGGAUCUAUCCUACAGCUGCAGCAAACCACGACACCUCACUUUCUCGUCGGUAAUCUUGAGAGCCGAUGCACCACACUCACACCACUCCAAUACUGCUGCGAAUUACCAGUGACCAGCUUCUUGGAGGAUUCCCCAAACAUUAAAAUUAAGGGUAAAUCUUUUAUUUUUAUACACUGAUAGUGUAUAAAUUAGUGGGCAUAUAUAAAAUUUGAUAUUUAAAUUCAAAUGAAUGAUGCAUGACACAUAUAUAUACAUAUAUAUCUAUAUAAUUUGAUAUUUAAUUUAAAUUCAGAUCAUAUGGCAUUCAUCCAAUUCCUAUGAUAAUGUAAAAAAGAUUAAUUCUAAAAUUAAAUGCAAUGUAGUGCGUGCAUGUGUGCGUGUCUAUAUAUAUUAAAUGUAGUAUAUUACUCCCUCCCUUUUUUUAUAACUGACGUUUAAGAAAUUUGCUCUAGUGUACUUUUAUCUAUCGUUUUAUUAUCCCCAUACAGUAUUAAUUAUUUUUUCACAAUUUUACCAUUUUAUCUCUCUUUUCCAAUACAUGGUUCUUAAUUACUACUCCUGGCUAGCAGACGGGAUCCUCUGUCCAAUUUUCUGUGUCUAAUUUCCUGUCCAACACAAAACUACAUAGUUCCACUUAUUCUUGUGGCUGACGUGGCACAUAAAAAUAAAUGUCUGUUUGGCUCCAUUAUACUUUUGAAUCUCUCUUCUUUUUGGAUUUCCUUUAUUUACAUAUCUUUAUUACAAUUCCCAAAAUCCUAUUACUACCAUAACAAUUCCCAAGACCUGUUGCCGUGAGCGUCAAGAAGAUUUGGGACUUCUUUGCCGAUGGUAAGAAAAAAAUAAUAUUCAUCUGCACAAUUGUUUCUGGCUGACUUACAAUGUAUCAGUUGUGGAUGUUCCUUUGCUUGGCAUCAAUUUAUAAGUUUUUUAUGCCGGCUUUCGUCUAUGUAGUAGGGACCCAUGAAGGAAAUAUAUAAUUCCAUAAAACCAAAAAAUAAAAAAAUAAAAAUGGCUAAGCAUAUAAUCUUCUAGGCAUUGAUAUCUGAAACAACAAUCAUCGUGAACCAAAUUGCAGCACAUAUAUUUGUUUACCACCGCAAUCCGUAUGCCUUAUAAAAUGUGUGUAUGUGGGUGAGGUGGUGUUUUUUUCUGGGAAAGGGGGGGUGGUAAGAAAAGAAAACAGCUAUUACAUCUUAAAAUAGCAGAGGUCUCCAUGAUGUUUAAAGGUUUUCAAUUUUUAUCCAUCACAUGGUUUUUCAUUCAAUUAGCAACUUUGUCAACCAAGCCAAUGAAAUAUGUCAGUUUUUAACCAUAUUUCCCCAAGAGAUGGAUUAUAAAUUAAAUGAACACUGUAUCAAUGAAGACAUAAUUCUACUUAAAAACAAAAAGAGGAAUCAAUUUACCAGAAUAAAAAAUAGAUUGCAAAAGGUACAAGAAACACUUUUUCUAUCUGAAAAUGUUAAAACACAAUUUGUUUUCCUUCAAAGAAAGCGAGAAGGACAAUUUGUUUUCCUUCACCAAUUUUUUAGAUUAUUCUUUCCGUUAGGCCCAGCUGCAAAUUUUGCUUUGUACUUCCAAGGAUUUGAUUGUCUCUCUGUAUGUCUCAAAUUUUGCUAUGUCUUUCCGUUAGGCUAGUGGUUUGCUUUGGAGGAAUUCACGGUGAAUGGUUACAAUUUGACAGGGCUGUUGCUUGGUGCUUGAGCCAAACAGGCAUUUAUUUUUAUGUGCCACGUCAGCCACAAGAAUAAGUGGAACUACGUAGUUUUGUGUUGGACAGGAAAUUAGACACAGAAAAUUGGACAGAGGAUCUCGUCUGCCUAGUUAGGGGUGCAGAGAAUUCGAGUAGCUUGAAUCGAGCUCGCGAGUAGCUUGAUUAGCUACUCGACUCGAUCUCGAGCAAAUUCGAGUUCGAGUCAAUCUCGAUCUACUUGCUACAGUAAACGAGCCGAUCUCGAGUAUUUAGUAGUAAGAAAUUCGAGCUCGUCGAGUAGCUCGAGCUCGGUAGCACAUAUAUAUUGUAUUUUAGUUUAUAUAUCAAUUUACUCUUUUAGGUUUGUUAGCUAGAAUAUUUACGGGCUUAAGCAGUUCCCUGCCAAUUAGUAAACAAGGGUGAAUAAGUAAUUUUGGCUCGAGAAUUCUGAUGAAAUGAGGAAAACUAAAAACGAAAAAUGAAAAAGCUUCCGUCGAAUUCAUCCUUCACAGUUCUUUCUUCUUCUUCGUUCGGCCGUUCCUUCCUCUUCAGCCUUGACUCUCAAAUCUCAAUCUCUUAUUCUUUGGCUCAUCUCCUCAACUGUCACAACUCACAACUCACAAGGCAGUCGAUCACCUAAAGCUUUAAACACUAAGCAAUUUAGCUCAACAUGGAGUAGGUAACAGCGUGAGCACUGAGCAGCCGACCUUUGAGUGGGGGUUUCAAAUCAAAUCAAAACCCAUCAAUUUCAACAGCUGUAUUUGACAAAUUAAGGUACUUAUUGUGCAUUUGUGUAGUAAAUAUGUGCAUUAUGAGGUUAAAUUUUAUAAAUGUAAUAUUAAUUUUUAAUCUCCAAACCCUAACCAAAAAAAUUGGGGGCUGCAGCCUGCGAUUCAAUAUAUUCAAUUUCCGUAUCCCAUUCCUUCUCCAUUGCUGUACUGGAAUUUUGAGGAAAUGGAGGGCAGCUCGAUUCCUUCAACAAGUGAUUCGGUGGUUGGCGCGACAGCUCUAAGAAUUGGUAAGUUUCUUGACGUUGGCUCUAACAUGUUUAUGGGUUUUUCUUUGAUGUGAAAAUGCACUGAUUUCAGAAAUUUGCUUUAAGUUGGAUUAUUAAGUGUUAAUUAGCUAGUAUAUUAAUGAGAUUAAUGAGAAUAUUCAGUUAUGUUCUCUGGAGAAUAAUUUUGAUGCUAGCUUAUGCAGUUUUAUUUAACGCAACAAAUUAUUCUAGGAAUCAGAAAAUUUAAAGACAAUCUUCAAUACUGUUGGUAGUUCUUUUUUGUCACCCUUUUUCUUUCUUGUUUGCCACGAAGGUUGUUCAUUUGAAAUAUGCCUAAAAGUGCUGUACAAGGACUGAUAAUAUAGCCAUUUUGACAGAGUAUAAUGCGUAUGUUAAAUCCAAUUUCCAGCAAUAUGCAACUAAUUUUUGUUGCCUUUCCCAAAGAGCUUGGUUCUUCAAGUUCUGUUUUUGAACUAACUUCACAUGUAUUUUGGGUGCAUUGACCAUUACAAUUCAUACUUAAGGUGUACAUUAAAAACUGAAUGAUGAAAUUGGGAAGCAUAAUUACCUCUAUAUGUCAUUUUUCUCAAGUAUUGAUGAAUUUAGAUAUGCAUACUCAAUUUUUUCAGGCUCAGCAGUCUUUCUUUAUUCAAACUGUUCUGAGUCUCUAGGUUAGUUUUAAAAAAAAAAUAAAAUUGGCAGCUCUCAGUCAAAUUUAACAUUUGAGUUCUUUCAAUCUGACUUCUUUUUUAUUUGUAGAAUUAUGGGUAAUGUGCUUUUAGAAUUCAAUCUAUUCCGCUUUUGAGUGUUAACACUCACAUCAAAUUAAAUUUUAUUUUCUGUUGUGAGUAAUUGCUUCGAGACUGAUACAGAUUUGAUUGAUGUUCUCUUUCCCUUUAUUAUGAAUUGUUUUAUACUUCAUACUUUCAUAGCAUUGAAAUAUUAUAUAAGAUCUGAAUUUGCUAUGAACUUUAGCCCUGAUAUGAAUUUUUUGGAAGCUGUUUUCCAGAUUUGGGUGCUUGUGUGUCAUUUUCAAUUUUUUUGGGAGUUGUUUUCCAGAUUUGGGUGCUUGUGUGUCAUUUUCUAUUUUUCUAAUGUUUGUUUGAUUUGAAUUUAAUGUUCCGUGUCAAAAUAUUUGAAGUGGAACUCAUUUUAAUGUAAAUGUUUGUUUUUCUAUUAAAGGCAUGUCUAUUAGUCCUCCCGAGGUUUCUUCAAUACCACAUGUGUCUGGGACCGAUUCAUCCACACCAGUCAUGAUUGACAGCCCAAUAUUUGUAAGCCGUGAUGCCUGUGAUCCCACACAAGAGGGUGGUGAAACACAACAAGAGGGAACCGAAGACACCAAUAGGCAGCAAGGAGAUGAAGCUGAAGAUGAUGGUAAAUUUCGAGUGCCUAAAAGGAAUAAAACUUCUGAGGCAUGGGAAGACUUUGAUGAUUUGGAAGAAAAUGGCAUAUAUUAUGCCAUUUGUAAACAUUGUAGUAAGAAACUGAAUCGGGGAAAAACUAAACAAACCAGCAGCAUGUGGAGGCAUCGAGAAAACUGUUCCGUUAGAAAAGCCAAGCUUAGAAAGGCCGAGCAGCAAACAAAGAUAAACUUUCAGCAAGCGAAUGAGCGUUUUCCAACUGUACCAUCAUUGCACACUGGCAAAUUCGAUAUGGAAGCAAUGAGAGAGGCUGCUGCACAUUGGAUCUUGAUGCACGAGCAUCCUUUCACAAUUUUGGAGGAAGAGGGUUUCAACAUAAUGAUGAAACGCGGCUGGCCGGAGUGGCAAAAGAUUUCACGAAUGACAGCUAAAAAAGAUUGUACACAGGUGUACGAGAUAGAGAAAAAGAAGUUGAAGAACUUGUUGAGGCAUGUACAAAAAGUUAGCUUGACCACCGAUAUGUGGAAAUCAAAGAAUCAAAAAAUUGAAUACAUGGUGGUGACCGGACAUUGGAUUGAUGGAAAUUGGAAGCUUCAGAAGAGAGUGUUAAAUUUUGUUCAUAUUCGACCACCACGUCGAGGAGUUGAGAUUUCGGAUGCAGUUUUCAAGUGUGCAAAGGAAUGGGGAAUUGAGGGAAAAAUUCACUAUUUCUGUGGACAAUGCCUCGAACAAUGAUGUGGCCGUGAGAUUGUUGAAAGAUGAUUUCGGGAGAUGCAAGAAGCUUUUGGGUGGAGGAAAACUGUUUCAUGUUCGUUGUUGCGCCCAUAUCUUGAACCUUAUGGUUCAAGAUGGCUUGAAGGAUAUAGUAGAUAUUUGUGAAAAUAUUCGAGAUAGUGUGGAUUUUGUGAACAAGUCUGAUGGUAGGUCAUUGCUAUUUGCAGAAAUUGCUCAACACCUACAAAUUCCUGGAAAAAAAUUACUCCAUGAUUGUAGGACGAGAUGGAAUUCAACAUAUGAAAUGUUGAAUUGUGCUAUAAAAUAUAAAGAGGUCUUUCCUCGUUUUCAAGUGCGAGAGCCCCUUUAUGAGUCUUGUCCAUCUUCAGAGGAUUGGGAGAAGGUUGAGAAAGUUUGCACCAUUUUAGAGAAGUUCUACACAGCCACACACAUAAUUUCGGGGAGUGAGUAUCCAACUAGCAAUCUAUUCCUCCCUGAGAUUCUAAAGGUGAAGAAACUCUUGGAUGCACGAGUGAAUGAUGAAGAUGAUUUUGUCCGGGGUAUGAUUACAAGAAUGAAGCUCAAGUUUGACAAAUACUGGAAAGAGUGUAAUUUAUUGAUGUCCAUUGCAGCUAUCUUGGAUCCCAGACAGAAAAUGCGAGCAAUAGAGUUUGCCUUCCCUAAGAUGUAUUCCACAUAUGAAGCUCAACAGAAUAUCACAUAUGUUCGAAAAGCCAUCUUUGAGCUUUAUGACGAGUAUGUUGCUAUGGCUACAAGUGGAAGUGCAGGGACAGGUUGUUCAUUAAAUCCUGCAUCCGAAAUAGUGUGUCCACCUCGAGCAAGUGCUGACUAUUGGGAUGAUUUGGAUGAGUAUUGUGGUGAACUCGAAUCCGAUGAACCCCAUAAGAGCGAGUUGGUGGAUUACCUAGACAAGCCUCGCCAACUUCCUGGACAAAAUCCGAAGGAUUUCAACUGUUUAGAUUGGUGGAAAAUCAACCGAUCAGCAUACCCGGUACUCUCUCAGUUAGCGGCUGAUGUAUUGGCCAUUCCUAUCACUACCGUCGCAUCUGAGGCCACCUUUAGUGCUGGAACUAGGGUGAUUGAUUCAUACCGUGCUUCACUUGCUCCGGAGACAGUCCAGACGUUAAUGUGUGCAGGCGAUUGGUGUAGAAAUUUACACGGGGUCAAAAAGAAAUUGAAAGUAAGUUAUAUCUAUAUGAAUUUGUUAUUGCAGAGAUAAAUUAGUAGUUAUUAGUUUGUUUAUUGAUUUUAAAGUAUUUCAUUAUUUGCAUUUCCACUACCUAAAUGCAGCCACAGAAAGCUCCAAAGAAUAUGAGCUGCCCAAUGCUUGAAGUUGUGUAAGGAGCAACUACUUUGCUGAAAAUCAGGUCCAUCUUUUUGUGAAUUCUCAUUUUCUUAUUCUUAAUUUGCCAUAAGUUGUGUUCAAAUUUUAAAUUUAAAUUGUACAUAAGUUGGUUGAUUUGUCAUUUGUGUAUGGCUAGGUGUUGUAGAUUGUACACCGAAGUUUGAAGAUGCAUAAGGAGCAAACAAGCUGUUUCAUUUACCAGAUUACAAACAAGAGCUUCUAAAUGCUCAUUAGACUCCAGAAAAUUUCCCUAAGUUUUUCCUUUCAAUUGGCUGCAGCACUCCUUUUUGUAUUUUCGUGAAAUUCUGAUGAGGUUGAGAACAGGUUGUUGCUUAUGUUUAAUGCUGAAAUGUUAAUGUGGAUCAUGGCCACUUAGUUUCUGCAUGCGUAUGGUGUUUCUUUAGCCAUUGUGUUUGUCCUUUUGUUUGUCAUUGGUUUCUCGUUUGAGGAAUUUCUGAAUUUUGGAAACUAGAAUUCUUGAAUCUUGAAUCCUUAUUAAUCUUAUUGAUUUCCCUGGCAUGUUGAUUUCUCAUCUGAGGUGACUGCUGCCCUUCGUAUUACUGAUGGUGCAUUGGUGCUGUUGAUUGUAUUGAGGGUAUGUGUUCGUGUGUUUUCUUUGCUUUUGGCCGUGUGUUUUCUGGAAAAAUUGCCACUGGCAUGAAGAUUCCCCUGGGCAUGUUGAUUUCUCAUCUGAGGUGACUGCUGCCCUUCGUAUUACUGAUGGUACAUUUGGUGGUGGUUGAUUGUAUUGAGGAUGUGUGUGUCUGUGUGUUUUCUUUACUUUUGGCUGUGUGUUUUCUGGAAAAAGUGCCACUGGCAUGAAGGUUAGAAUCAUGGGUCCCAACUAUGUUCCGAGAGAGAAAAAGGACUUGUAUGUUAUAAUGUUAAGACUUAAGAAUGUCUAAAGAAUAGUUAUUUGGAUGGGUAAGAAGCAGGAAAUAGUUGAGGAUGUGCCAUGGGGUAACACAGUUGCUAUGGUUGGUUUGGAUCAAUUCAUCACAGUUGCUAUGGUUGCUAUGGUUGCUGUCUCCCCUGUCGUGCGUGUUGCUGGGCAGAGUGCAGUGGAAGGUUGCAUCUGAUUCCCCAAGCUUGUUGAAGGUUUGAAACCUCUGCCGAAGGUUGUCUGUACUCUAUAUGCAAUGGCAUGCUUCUAAGUUUUGUCCAUGUGGCUCCAAGACUUUAAUUAGCUUCUAAGUUUUGUUUCUUUGAAUUGCAAUUAAUCUUGUUCAAUUGAUAUUAAUGUACUUUCAUUCGAAUGAUUAGUGCAACUUAGUGUAUUGUUUAGUACAAAUUAGUAGUGUUGCAUUUAAGAUACAAAGACUAGAUUCUUUAGAUUUGCGUAGGAACCAGAAUCAAUUCGAGCUCAUUCGAGCUCAUUCGAGCUCGAGUACUCGACUUGAUAUCGAGCUCGAAUGACAUGUCGAGCUCGAUCAAGUCGAGUUCGAGUCUGCAUAUGCUUUUAUCGAGUCGAUCUCGAUCUUUGCUUCUCGAGCUCUACUGAUCUGGGUCGAGCUCGAGCUCGAGUACCCCACUACUCGAGCUCGACUCGGCUCGAUUUCACCCCUACUCCUAGUUUGGUGGGAGUUAGUUUGCAUUGCUUUUGGCCUGGUAAAACAGCACCAUUUAGUACUCUAGUGAGAGAAAACAUGGGUGAAUUGGACAAUUAAUGAGGGUAUAAAAGAAAAGUAGUGUACAGAUUUAAACAAUGAAAAACUUUUCUUAAUUGGUGUGCAAAACCUUAAACGUCAGUUAUAAAAAAAGGGAGGGAGUACUUCGCAGGCUUUUCAAUUUGAAGUUAAAAAUAACAAAUAAAAAGGGUUAAUUCCAUUUUAUACCCCUAAACCAUAUAGUUCAAUGUAGUCCAAUUAGCCAAUUUCUGACAAUUAGGAAAUUGGAUUAAUCUUUUCUAUGCUUACAGUGUAUACACUAUUAGCGUUGGAUGAAAGACAACUAUGUAAAAUUUGAAUUUGAAAUUCAACUUUUGUACACAUGUCAUGAAUCAAACGGUGAUAGUGCAUACACUGUCAGGAUAUAUAAGAUUUAUUCAAGGAAAUUAACAUGGCUUGUAAAGGACCCUUUCACCCUUUGGUAAAUUUCUCCAUAAAAUGCCCUCUCUGCCGAGAAAUGGUAACAUUUUUAAAAAUUAUAUAAAAUUUUUAAAAAAAUUUAUUGUAACUUUUUUUUUUUAUAAUAUGAUGAUGUAUGUGAGUUAAAAUGAUAAAAAAUUAAAAGAAACGUAUUUAUCAUGUAAACAAACAAAAAUAUUUUACAAAUAAGCCUCAAUCCAAACAAAUCCAACUUUUUCCCUCCCACUUAGAGCUAAAUAAAAGAAUUUGCAAUAUAAUGGAUAAGGCCGAGUCAUCCUUUCUUUUCAUGAUCUCGUGUUUUCAUUUCAUCAAAACCUCUCUCUCAUUUCAAUUGUGCUGCUGCAUCCAUUCGAGAAUCUCAUGUUAAAUACUCAAAUCUCUCAAAUUAGGCCACUCCAAUGGCUUAAUCUUCUCUCAAAAGCUGCCGCAAAAAUCUAAAUUUGCAUUUCUCUCUCAAAACACCUUUGAGCCUUGUUUGUUGAAACCUGGUGGAACGGGACUCACCAAGGCACCCUAUACCUUUCCCAUUUGGAUGUAUCCUAUCAUUAAUUCACAUACACAUAAACCAAUCAUGUGGGCUCAUUUUCUUUAGCAAGUAAUUCUAUUGACCUAUCACUACCUCCGAAUCCCAUUCUAUUGGAUCUUAAGCUUUUCUUUUGGUAUUAGGUCAUUUUUAUUGCAAUAAUCUUAGCCAAUUCUUGUGAAAUUGGAUACUUCAUUGACCUAUCUUACCCGACUCUAUCGAUCCUCUAUAGAUCCUUAGUAGCACCUUUACUUUGGUAUUAGAUCAUCUUCAUCGCCUUAUCUUGGCCAUCCCUUUCCUUUUGUUAUUUGAUCAUCUCUAUCGGCAUAUCUCAGUUAUCUCAAGUUUUAGUAAACAAUUGCCUAUUCAAUUUUUCUGCUUCCCAUUCAAAAUUGUUAUACAACAUAUGUAGCAGUAGUAUUUCAAUAGAGGUGCUAUAACUCAGGGUACUGUUAAGCUUUUGAAAAAUUCAUAUGGUACUCCAUCUUACAGACAUUCCAAAGGAAAACUUAUUUUAAACUAUUACAAGACCAUGAGACCUCGAUGGAAAACUAGUUAUAAACUUUGUAUCGUGAAACGUUUGCCAAAUGAGUCUUAGCCACUUAGCAUGCUCAAAGCAUGAAAAGUAAGAAAUAACAGUGGAGGUGAAUGCGUUAGUGGAGCUGGAAGGUACUUCUUUGGGGGCAAGAUCUUUUCUUCGACUCUGUCCCAUAAUCAGGAAGUCCAGCAACCACGAAGCCAUUGCACGCCAUCUAAAAAAAAUUUUCAAUUAAUAUUUCGCUUACAUCAUUAACAUAUUUUUCAACCCACCUUUUUAUCUCACAUACAUCAUAUCACAAAAAGUGCUACAGUAAUUAUUCCAAAUAAUAUUUCAAAUAAUACUCUAUCCAAACAAACAUUUACUUUGUCCAGGAUAACAAUCGUCAAUGUUCUCCAUAGCAGAAGAAACAACUUAACAACAAAAGUAAUUCCAAGUGGUGUUAUUCUUAUCAAUGAGAUCAACUGUUGGAUGAAAAAAUUUGGAUAAAAGAUUAUUUGGGAUAAUUUAUUGAAAAAAACACUACAAUACUUUUUUAAUAUGAUGUAUGUGAGAUAAAAAUGUGGCUAAAAAAUAUGUUGAUAAUACAAACAAGUCAGUAUGUGUAAAUAAAGUGCAAACCAAACACACUAAACUUGGCCUUUAUCAAGCAUUUUCCUAUCCUUGAUUGAACAUUUAAAAACCGUAGAUGUACAAGAUAUAAUGUAUUUCAUAAAUGCGCAGAACCUAGACCCCUAGCAUACUACUUAUUUGCUUUAGCAAACCUAAGGUAGCGACAUUUCUCUCCACUAACUGUGAUUUCAAGAGCUCCAUCUUGAUUAUCUUGAUUUGAUGCAGUUCCCAUCAGUACACUUUUCUCUUUCUCAAGGAUUUCUCUUUCUAGCUUUAAUCUAGCUUCUUGUCGGGCAAUCUCCACCUGAAAUAGAAACAUCAUUAAGCAAGAAGUUUAAAGAAAUGCUAAACCUUAAAAACUACUCUCACAGUAAAUUCCAUAGUGUGGUGGAAAUAAAUAUUGAGCUACAAGGUAUGAAAUUGACUUCGAUAUGACAAAGUAACAUGGAUAUGAAGUAAUGGACUAGUAGUAUAGAAAGACAAAUGAAAGAACAGAUGGGCUCUCAUACAACCCAUCAUAAUCCAAAUUGCUCGGCGCUAGGCAAUCCAAGAGUAUAAAAUUAUUACAUGACAUGAAAGACUCUGGAAAGAAUACUACUAUAAUUGGACAAAAAUGUUUCUGCCUUUGUAGCGGUCAACAUAAAGGCUUGAUUUGACUCUUUCUUGACUUGGAAUCUCCCAAGAUCUCAACCAGUCCAACUCUUCAUGGAAGGAAAAACAUGUAUGAGUGGCUUCAAUCUAAAUUCCUAUUAUCAACAAUUUUGAACCUCUAGCAACCCCCACUUCACAAACUGUUUCAUAAUAUUAGUUGACACAGAACUAUCGGUAGUAGGUUUAUUAUGAAAACAAGCUCAUUUAGUUACAAUCCACUAGACUAAUCCAAUAGUUAAUUAAGGAAUAUGCUUCUUGAAAAAUCCAAGUUUUCGGGUAGAUCCUAUGUAGAAGAAAUUCAUAAAGCUCCUGUGAGUUCAUGUGUAAACUUCAGCCUGUGCAUAGUCUGCGAAAUAAUCAAGCAACUAUUGUCUGCUCGAGGCCUCAACCCAAAAAUCAUGUAGACUCUAGAUUCAUAGAGUGUUACCCAGGUUCAAAGCUUUGUCUAUGGAGAUUCCAUAUAACCUCAUUCCAGGCUUCUUAGUAGAAUUAAAUAAAGAAUGGGUAAUAGAAGAAGAAAUUGAGCCUCAAAUUACUAGCAUCAAGAACCAAGUCUAGCUAGAAGAUCAAAAUAUAAUCUCUUAUUGAAUGGUUCAGCAAUUGAUUAAUGUUGUAGGAGGAAAAGAGACAGGGAAACAGGACAUAAAAGAUUUCCAAGCAAAACAACUGCAUAUCUUUAGAAGUUUUAGAAGCAAAGAACAGAAAAGAAAGAAAUGUUGGUGAAACAAGGCUCACAUAAUAGGCCAUUUGUUCAUGUUUGGCAAUCAAUGUUGCAAUAAAGAUCAUGUAUUAGAGGAUCAAAUAGGAUUUCAAUAAAAUUCACUUUCAAAGCUUGAUUCACAUCAGAAUGAAAUACAUGUUAUUCUUUCAUUUUUCUAUUGCUUUGUUCUCUCUCACUUCUUUUUCUUUUUCUGAGUUGCAGCAUUUGCCAAAAUCUCAUCAGCAGCCUUGACUAGAUUAAGGUGACUUGGUGAGUUGUACCCAACAAAAGUAUCAAUCAGCUCUACAGUUCAAAUUGUUCAAAUAUAACGUCAACACCAGCCAAAAACCAACCAAAAAGAGGGCAAAAGUCGACUAUUAUAGGUGAUGGUGCCAACAUAGCAUACUCAUCUCCAUUCCAACCACCAAAAUAUCACCAUAUAAACGGUCCUCUUAUUACUCUAUAUCCCUCUCCAAGUCUGGAUCUUUCUACAACAUCCCAUUUAACAAAUUCAAUACUAUAAUGAGCUUCCUAAACCCACUCCAAUCCAGUUGUCAAUCAACAAUCAGCCAAAAAAUUGUCCAAAAAUAAGCAUCCUAAAUAUAUCCUUAUUGUCAUUUGAAACCCAAUUAAAUAAAAAAGGACAAUAAACCUACCACCUGAUACAACUGAUGCUAUCAACCCAAACACAAAAGCAAUUUUUUUUAGUAGGGGGAAGGACAGACAAAGAAACUGAUUAUGCAAUCAAUCUAAUACCUACUAGACCAUAUCAAAAAUUGUUACUACAUUUAUAAAGCAGGAGAAUGGGAUUGAGUUAAAAAGAAAAGAAUAAAAUGAAAAGCAUAUAGCUAAUUACCAAUUAGUGGGAAAUGAAUUAAGAAUAAUCAAAACAUGAUGAAUUGGAGAUAAAGAAAGCAAUCAACAAAUGACGAUGAACUUGGGUAGGGAAUGCUAUGCUAAAGAAAAGGUGAUGUACAAGUUUACAGUGAAGGGUUGGGCCGGUGGGGGUAUUAUGGGUGGUAAGAGGUUGGGGUAAAGUACCUUACGACGAGAGAGUUCGGCUUUCCAAGCGACUUCACGCUCGGCGACCUUGCGUUCCCAUUCCUCAAUGUAACUCUGCACCUCCAUCUCUUUCAUGAGUCAGUCCUAUAUGUUCGCGUCCAGAGCCUCAUUUAGCUCCUGCACAAACUUGUCCACCAUCGUCUUUAUUUUCAGAGACAUUUUUAUCAAUUCUAAUUCAAAUAACCCCAAGCUGCUCUGCUGCUUAGUGUUUUCUCUGAUGAUGACGAUGACGACGAUGACGAACAGACUUUUCUUAAUUUCAAGGCCCCAAACUAUCAAAUUAUGAAUCCCAAAUAGUUGUUUUUUUGACUUAUUCUUCUUGUUUGCGAUCACAAUUACCACCACAAAGAGCUCCAUUUCAUAAAUACUACUGCUUAAUUACCUUUUUUUUGGGUGUUUGGGGGAGGGGAAUAAAACCCAAACCAGCAAAAGAAAUAUGCUAGCCGCAGCACCUGUUUCACUAUUUAUAAAUCAAAAGAGAUGAUUACCCAUCUGAGGAUCGAUUUGAUUAAAGAAUGACCUUAACCCUAACCCUAACCCAUAUCCAGUGGACGAUGACAAACUAUAGUCUCUAUGGAGUUAAAAAAAAGUAACGCGUUCUUGUUCUUUUUUCUUGUAGUUGUACUAGUACUUUCAUAGUUCUUCUCGCUCGCUUUUCUGAAGGCCCAUCUCCAUUUGUGGUCCACUUUCAUUUCCCCAGAUUUUUCUCCUCAUUCUUUUUCCCUGGAGUACAUUUUUUCUUUUAUUUUUGGGUUAAGUAGGAGGUCUUCUAUUUUUUUCCUUACAAUGGAGGGUCGAGCCCGUUACAUAGCGACUAAUCUAGGUAAAACAACACCAUAAAUAUCUUGUCCCAAUAGUUUUUUGAGCUGGUGCGGAGGGUCCCUAAAAUUAGUCGUUGUUGGAGCCAAACUUCUUCCCAUAUUUGCUAAGUAAUCUGUACAUAUAUUCCCUUCACGCCAUGCAUGAACUAUUUGAUAAUUGACUCUUUUGUUAGCAUACUUGUCUUCUCAAUUAGAUUCUAGUGUUGGCUAUCCCUUGUUGCUUUCCUGAUUAGUAUUAUGGCUACUUCUAAGUCCGUUUCUAGGAUUCCUUCUUGUACCCCUCAUUCACUACAAUUGGAUUCCCAAUAGCAUAGCCCAUAGUUCUGCUGCUACAUUACUUGUUUUUCCAAUAUUUGCAUUGAAUCCUACUAUCCAUUAACCUAGCUCAUUUCUUCGUAAGCCUCCUGCACUGGCACUUCCUAAAUUAUGCUUCGAAACUCCAUCAACAUUCAUUUUUACCCAUCCUUGUGACGGCUUCUCCCAAUAGAUAUAUUUCAUCUCUUUAGCCACUUGGAACUCUUUUUUUUAGUUCAACUUCUAUGCCACUAGGGCCUGCUGUACUAGAUGUUAUCGGUGUACCUUCAUCUUUCUUACUAUUUCUUGGUGCACUUUCUCGUUUCUUGCUGUCCAUAUUAAAUGGGUCACUUGUUGAAACAACAUUGGCUAGUAUACCUUUUUCUGCUUCCUUACCAUUUUUUGGUUAACAUUCCAAUCAAUCCAGUGUAUUAGCUCCUUCGAUUUAAACUGUCUCCAAUUUAAUUGGUAUACCAUAUCCUGCUAACCCAAUCACAGUCCCUCAGGGCCUGAAUUGCAUUUUCUCUCCUUUUUCCACACAUCUAACAAUUCCCAUCUAUAUGAAGAUGUCUUUUGUAUUUCUCUGCAUCAGUUAAUAGUUGACCAUGUCUUGCUAGCCACAAAAGAAAUUACCAUCUGUUUGGGCCUUUGAGUUUCCAUAUCUUCUCCUAAUUGGGGUCAACUUGUUAUAGUUCUUCCAUUUGCCUAUCCAUCUCAUAUGCUGCUGCAAAAGUUCCCACUUGGUUCAAGUCUCCAUGUUAGUUUGUCUUUGUUUGUUGGUUUUCAUUUACUCUAAUGGCCCUAACUUCCUCCAUUUGUUGAUGACUCAAGUAUUGUGCUAAUAAAGUCCAAUCCUAGUUUUCAUUAAUACAAUAGUCACUCACCUUUUUCAUAUACUCCUCUUGUGGCACCUCCUUAAUUGUACUAUUUAUUAUUGGCUUCUGUAAGACCCAUGGAUUAGUCCAAAAAUUGAUAGUUCUCCCAUUUCCAGCCCUCUUUAUCAACCUUUUAAGCAUGAGUUUCCCCUCUUCUACCAUAUUCCUCCAUAUGUGCAACUUCCUAACUUUCUUCUCCAUUGGAAUCUGUUAUCUCCCCAUAUCUUUUUUUAAUUACUUUGGCCCAUAGCGCAUCUUUCUAUUUCAAAUACUCCAACUGGUUUUGGCCAACAAUGCUCUGUUUAUACUUUUCAACUUCUGACCCCCAAUCCUCCUCUACUCCUAGUUUGUGUGAGAAUGUCCUAGUUUACCAUAUGCAUUUUUCUUCUUUCAAUUCCUUUUCCCCAAAUAAAUUCUCUACUUUUUUCUAUUUUGUUGGUAAUCAUAGCUAGUAACAACGUUGUUUGCAUUGCAUGUGUUGGGAUUGUGGAUACUACUAUUUUUACAACCAUAGUUCUAGUAGCAUAAGACAUGCAUUUGCUUUUCCACCCUUGCAGCUUCAUAUUCACUUUUUCUAUAAUUUCUAAAUACAAUCUCUUAGUAACUCUUUAGUGUAGCAAUAACAUUCCCAAUAACAUUCUCAGAGCAGUACAGUUUAAACUUCUUCAAACUCAUACUCUUUCCUAAAGCUUCACAGAGCUUUGCUAGCAUUGCCCGUAUCAAAUUUGAGAUCAUCUGUAAAGAAAAGAUGUGAUAUUUCUAGCCCCCUUCUUCAAAUCUUAAUUGGUGUCUAGCUUCCUUAUUCUACUUUGUCUCAAAUUAGGUGCACCAAUCUCUCUAUGCAAAGCACAAAAAGGUAAGCUGAAAUGGGGUCACCUUGCCUUAGUCACUUGUUAGGAAUGAAAGUUGGAGUUCUUUCUCCAUUCCACAGUUCCUCCAUUGAUAAUGCCUAGACACAACUCAUGAUCAAGUCAAAUAUAUCUAUAGGAAUUUGCAUCAUCUCCAUGUUUCUUUUAGGAAACCCCAACUUAGUUCAUCGUACACCUUCUGCAAAUCUACCUUUACUGCAACAUAUCCUUUCUUUCCUUUCUUUCUUCUCAUAUAAUGUAUAAUCUCCUGUGCUAUUAUCACGUCAUCCUCAAUUUGUCUCCCAGGAUAACACUACACUGAUUUAGGGCUAUUAAAUCCUUUAUCAAUGGUCUCACUCUAUCCAUAAGGAUUUUUGUCACUACCUUAUAAGCAACAAUGCAUAAAGAUAUGGCCGAAAUUGUUUUAUAUGCUCUAGGCUGGGGAUUUUAGGAAUUAAACCAAUUAGUGCACCAUUCAUUUCCUUAGGCUUGUAUCUAUUUUUGAAUAUGGAGUCUACAAAGUCUAGUAUAGAUCCACUGACCGUGCUCUAGAACUUUUGGUAGAAUCCUGGAAUAUUCUAUCUGGUCCCAGCAACUUGUCUGCUUUGAUAUUAAAUAUGGCUGUUCUGAUUUCCUUUGGCACCACCCUUCUACUCAAAACUCACAAUCUUCUUCUCUCUAUCUAUGGGAACCUAUUAUUAAUAUGUUGUCUUCUGCUUGUAGCAUUCUCCAUCUCAUAUAGUUUUUAGAAAUAGUUCCUGACCAUCUGUUGCAAUACUCCUCUAUUGUGCUGCCAAUUUCCUUUAUCAUCUUUCAGGCAUGCUAUUCUCCUUUUUCUUCUUUUAAUGAUUGCUAUAGUAUGAAAAUCUUUCGUAUUUCUUUCCUCAUAUUUCAGCCAAUUGACCUUUUCCUUUUGAUACCAAAAUGUUUCCUCCUGGUCUAGGGUGGAGUUAUACUCUUGCAAUAUCUUCCUCUCCAAUUUCUCCAGUUUCGUAUCUGGGCCCCCAUCGAGUUUCCUUUGCCCUCCUCUAGUCUAGUCAGACAUCUCUUUUUCUAUGGAAUAUAUUCCCAAACAACUCCUAUUCUAUGUCAGUAGAUUCUUCAUAAGAUUUUCAUUCUUCAUGCUCAAAUCUCUUUCUGUUUGUUUCCAGCUCUCUCUAACUUAUUUUGCUAGUUUUGGAUGACUGAACUAGGCUAGCUUAAACUUUCCUGUUUUUUUUUCUUUCAACCUUCUUGGUUCUCUCUCCAUUUCCAGCAGGAGUGGAUGGUGGUCUGAAUGUGUGCACAUCAAGUGCUUAACUUCAACAUUAGAAAAAUUCAUAUGCUAGUCAGAGUUACACAGGCUCCUAUCUAGCCUUUUCCUUACAUUUGCUGCUCUUUUCUUCCAUUAUUCCAAGUAAACGCUGGAUCUAUCAAUCCACAACAGUGCAGACACUCUCUUAGUGUUAUCUGACUCGACUAUUGAAAGGGUUUUCCUUCCUCUUUCUUCAAGGCCUUCACUAUUUCAUUUAGAUCUCCAAUAAUUAGCCAUGGAAAAUUAAUCACACUCCUCACUGCAACUAAGAAAUUCCCUAUUUUCCUUCUAAUAGCAUCAUCUGGGAACGCAUAUAUAGCAGACAAUAGCCAUUUUUCUUAUUCUCCUUAAUAACUGCAUUAGUGAUUUGCUUAUUUUUUGUUAGAAUUUCAACUGUUACCUUCUCAAGAUCCCAAAAUAGCCAAAUUCCACCUGAGAAAUCUUGUGCCUCUACAGAGGAUCUUCUACUCAGUCUAGACAUAUGGAUUAUCCUCCCUGCUUUGAAACUAGGUGUUCUAGUCUCUACAAGGAUUGUGACCACCUAAUCACCCCCUAGAGCGUAACCUAAAGUUUAGCGAACCGCUUAUCCAACUCUCGUCAGAACUUACUCACUAACAUUAUCUUAAAAAAUAAUAUUAAUCCCAAAGUAAACAUGAAACUUCUCAAUCAAACAUUACAAAUCAUCCAACUUUUCAAAACAUUCAAACUUAUGUGCAUAACUAAAUGGAUCGACAUACAAAUUGUUCAAUCAAUUCACUAAGUACAACUACAGUGGUAAUUACUUAAAUCAAAAACUGUAACUCUUGAACUUACUAUUUUUUGGAUCCAUAAUUCCAACUCCUGUUAAGGAAAACAAACUAAAAGAAUGAGUAAAAUCAAGUGAAAUUUCAAGAAAAACAUGCAAUCAGAUUGACAAGAUAACAAUCACAUAUAUCAAAAUCUUAAAACAAAGAAAACAAAUAAUUACAAGCGAAGUCAUUAACAAUUUACAUAUUCAAAUAAAUAAUUUAACACAGUAAGAAAAGGAUACAACUACUGAUACGGUGGUUCCCGCCAGAUUCUAGAUAGAGUACUUAGUCCCAUUCAGGAUUCAAGUGCAGAUUCAAUCGAUACGGUGGCUCCUACCAGAUUUCAGGCAUAACGCUUAGUCUCGUUCAGUAUUUCACUUGUAAUUUAAAAGGAUACAGUUGGCUCUUGCAAGCUAGUUCAGCAGUAGCGUUUUUCGAGUCCGUUGACACUCCAUCAACGUUUGAAAUGCAACAAUAAAUAAUGCCGGUAGAUCACUGCUUGAUGCCAAUUUUCAUCCAUCGAUCAUCCCCCUUUAUUGGGCCCAAACACCUCAAGUCAAAUGAGUGGUAAUAAUUGAGUAUAUUGAUUUCAGAGGACACAUUCAGUGGAUUAAACAAGAAAUAGGAUCCAUGGUUUGUCAAUUGUCUCGAUCAAACUAUUGUUGGCUCGAUUUGACUAACUAGCCGAUAAGGUUUGGGAUCUUAAUCACGAGUAUAGUCGAUGAGAUAACAUUUUCAACCGACUUUCAAAUCAUGCACAUGUAUAUCAGUUCACUGUAAACAGGAUAACAAGAGUUCAGUCAAAUUAGGUCGAGUACAAUAAAGUACACACUGACCUAUUCAAUAUCAAGUCAAGCAAACAUAGUAAGUCGAGUGCGAUAAAGUAUACACUCGACUUUUCAAUAACAAGUCAAGAUAUCUAACAAUUUCAAACAACAAGCCACAUGAAACAUCAAUCAAGUAAAUCACAUGGUCCUAACAUGCAGUUGGAACACUCACCGACUUAUCGCAAUCUUUACACUUCAAUCACAAGUUUGCCUCCUUGGCCACUCUUGAAUCCUGCGAUCAUAUAUAGUAGAGCAUGCUAAAAGUAAUAAGGCCUCUAAAUUACAUCAAGAUCUAAGAUCAAAAGUGACUAAACCUGAGUUUUUAAAUCACUACUCAAGCUGUCAAAUUUUCAACAAACAUAUCUCAUAUUUUUCUUCAAAAUUCACAAGAUUUUCUUGUUCAAAUUCAGUGAAAAAUUACGUACAUGAUAGAUCAAUGCCUCAUGCAAAAUAUAGAGUAAAAGUAGGUCAAUUCUAGUCACGAAAUUUAAAAAAAAACGUGGCAAGACUCUUGAGAUUCAAAAUUAAAAAUUUUGAGAAAUAAAACAUUUUGGAGCAAAUCAGUUUCUUCCUUGUAAAUUUCGUUGUUUCAAUAAUCCAACAUAUAUGUGAAAAUCAAAAUCUUGUCAAGUGCCUUGAGACAAAAUAUGUCAAAAUUACGACACAAAUUUUAGCAAUAAAGUUGAAAUUCUCUCUUGCUCUCUCGGUUAACCCUAACAAAAUUUUCAACAAGGACUUGACAAUCUUUUCUCCAAAAUUCUAACUUUUCUUAUUUAGAUUCAUGGCAAAAAUUCAAUAAAUCAUAACUAACAUGUCAAGAAGCAUUUGGCUCAUGUUCUUAGUAAAAAAAUUCAUCAAAAAUUCACUGAUAAAAACUCUAAAUUAAACUAUAUGUUUUAUGCAUCAAAGUUGAAAAUUUAGAGUAUAACUUAAAAAACAUGAAAUCCUAUAUAAAGUUUUAAACUAAACUAAAUAGAUUACACACCAAAACUAAAAAUUACAACAUAAUUUGACAAAAAUAUGAAAUUUUUCAUAAAGAUCCUUCUUUUAUCUUCUAUAACAUCAUACAUCAAUUAAACUUAAAGAUAAGGAAAGAAAAAUUAGGUACCUAACUAAUUUCACCUCUUUACCUCCAAAAUCUAGAAUGGAAAGGAAAUCAAGAAAGUUGGAAAGUUGGAAAGUUUUCUUUCCUUCAAGAACUCCUCCAAAAACUUCCUCCCAAACUUGUCUCAAAGAUUUACGAAGUGGAUUAGGGUUUCCUCUCUUAUUUUCUUACUAAUUAGACAAGAAAUCAAGACUAGAAAUUUAAUGUUGUUCUCCCUCUUUUUCUCCUCAAAAUUUCAUCCAAGGCUACCCAAAAGAAGAAGAAAUGUGAAUGAAAUGGAAGUUUGGGUUGAAUAAAAAUCAAACUUGGUCUUGGUCAAGAUUUUAUGGAUGCUUGACAUGUGGCAACACAAGAUGAAAUCCUUAUUUAUUGUUUUUAAAUCACUAAAAUAUCAAACCCAUAUCUAAUUAUCUCUUGACACCUUAUAACACCAUAACCCUUUUACACAAAACUUUUCUUGUUUACCCAAUUUAUUGCGCACAUCUCACUAAUUGUUCACAUAGCUUAAUGCAUUAUGAAACUCAACAUGCACCAAGUUAAAUAAGGCAAUAGAAUAAAAAUCAUGAUUCAACCAUCAAAUCAAUCACAAAUACAAGGCAAGUAAGUUAAACUAAUAAAAACAUAAGAAACGAAUUUUCGGAUCCUCACAAGAAUUAAAAUCCCUAGAUCAUACACUUGCAGGAUUUCUCUCAAAUUCUUCCUAAAAUCCUAUUUUGUUGCUCCUUUACAAUUCCAACUCAGCAGCUUCAUUUUAAUUGCUUUACUUUAUUAAGGUCAGCAGCCCAACUCCACCGUCUCUGUAGUGUCCUACUCAAUAGUCUCAUAGCUUUGUUCUUCUUCCAUUCCCGACGGAUGGACCUGUUCCUCCAAAGGAGUUUCCGCUAUAACUAUUAUGCUAAUGUUCUAUCAUUUGUUUAUUGCUCCAGGCUAACUGCCAUAUUUCCUCCUAGUUCUAAUUCUUCUAUGCCAUAGGCCAUUUCCAUUGGGAAUAUUCCACUAAUUUUUUUUUACUAGCACAUCUAGGUUUUACUGUUUUCCCCAUUAAUCUCCUCGUUAUUGGUGUUUUUGUUCUUUCUAAUUCACACUUCUUUCCUUCCCGAGCUUUGAAAAGCUUUUUGGGUGCUAUAAUCCCUCCAUUUACAUUCAUUAGCCCACUUAUCUUGACUGGGCUUAGUGUUUUUUUACCCAUCCAAAAGCCUUGACUCCCCUGUUCUCCACUUUUCCUUGUUUCUUUCCCUUUUCUUGAGCUAUUUCCUUGCACUGUAUUCUUCCUCUUUUUCCCCUUAUUGAAGGAGAAAUUCUGUAGUGAUCCCGGUAUAUUAAUUACUUUAGUUCAUAAAAUUUCCCUGGGGGUCACUCUCUUCUUGUUGCUCCUUUUCUAUUUCUUCUGCUUAUAGAGCUUUAAAACAUGACCCCUGCCCCAGUAUCUGCUCAGCAGUUUCCAUUCCCUGAUCCUUUUUUCUGUUAUCUCUUCUCCUCUCUUUCCCACUAGUUGCCUUCAUCCAAUCUAGCAUUUGGGUAUGUUUCUUCAUUCCAGACGGGCUAGGCUUACUUUCUCUUUGUUUUUGGGCCUUUACUUUGAGCCUAGAUCUUUCGGCGUGGUUUGCUGGACCUUUUACUUCCUUUCUUGUUCUUCUUCCAUUCGCAACCAUCCACGGCCCAAAUGGCAGGCUUUUGGAUCCUUCAUCUCCAUCCACCUUCCUCUCUGAUUUCGGACUCUGGUUCUCUAUUCCUUCUGCUCUUUCAUUUCCAGCCUUUAGCCUCAGAGCUCUGUAAUGUGGCCAUAUUGCCAACAUCCAAAAUAGAUUUGGUAUAGCCCUUCGUACUCUACAACUUGAAGAUCCUAAUUUAUCCAGACAUAUGGAAUCUAGGGUUUGGUUAGAUCAGCCUCUAUGCAUAUUUUGUUAAAUUUCCCUCUCUCAGCUAUUAGAGUAUUCUCAUCCACUUUGACCAUCUUUCCUAUGUUGUUGCCUACUGUCUUAAGGAAUUUCUCGGUAUAAUCUCAACCGGCAAACCUAAUAGUCUAAUAUGGACCAUUGUCAAAGUUAUCUUUUUUGUUUUGCUAGAAAAUAUGGUCUCCAUUUUCUCACAGUAACGUAGAGCCUCUGUAUCAUCCAUGGCCCUCCAUCUAGGAUUCUGUGGUAGUCCUCCUUUAACCUGACUCUAACAAUGUAGAAUCCUUUUUCCAGAUCUGUGCUUUCAAACUCUUGGUCUAGCAACCACAUCUCCUAAAGUUUUUGCUCCAAAGUUCUAAAGCAACGUUUCUACCCAGUACUCUGAGUAUGAGUGCCUUCCUCCACGGUUUCCACAUCUCAAGUAUGUCCCCAUGGGUACCGUUGGUUUUGGGAACUUCAAUUUAAUCUUCUCUGCAAAUCUGGCUUCAUCUAUUUCUCCCUUUUCAAGCAUGGUGUUAUCCUCUCUUCCUCAGAUCCAUUAUAGAAAAGCUAUUUUUGUAGGAGUUCUUCUGUUAACACAAAUGUAAAAUAAAAUAGUUAGGCAAGAACUUGGAUGGACCCAAUCUGUGACUCACUCAUAGACGAGUGAUGUAUUAGUUUCCGCAUCAUCAACCAUCAUGUUAAUUAAUUCUAAAUGUAACACCCCAUUAGGUCUUCUAGUAACAACGGGCACUAAAUAAAUCCACUGGAUCAAAAAAAAGAUGCAAUCUAAUUCAGGACUCAAAACAAUUAUGGAAAAAUCUUUCAAAACAUCUCAUAUUUCGUUAAAUGAAUUUUUUCAUCCUUUACUUUUAAAAUGAUAAAUUUAUAUUCUUUGCCAAAAUUAUAUCAAUAAAAUUUGGUCCCAACUUUAAUUUUUUUUUACCACUUUUUACCCUGAAUUAAUCACGCUGACUCGCAUAUAAUCAAUUUUUUAGGACAAAAAGGUUAGACCUCAUUUAUGGUUAAACAAAUGACCUUAAUUUAUAUUCAUUUCUACCCUUAAACGAGUAGGAUUGCCGCCUAAAUCAUAUUCAUUUUUCUCUUAAAAAAGUGAAGAUUUGAGUCAAUUUUUGCCCAUUAAAAAAAAAGUGAAAUCUAACCUUUUUGUACAUAAAAAUGAUUGCAUAUCGAUUACAUGGUAAUUUUAUACUAAAAAAUGAUCAAAAACUUAAGUUGAAAUCAAAUUUUGCGAUAUUAAAUUUCUAAGGAACACAAAGUUAAUAUUUUAAAAGUGAAUGAUGAAAAAUUUCAUUCAACGAAAUAUGAGAAUGGUUUUGAACAAUUUUCCCAACAUUUAUUAUGUUUUUGCAAGAGCAUCAACACCUAGUCUGCUUCGCUAAAGAAGCGACUAAUAUGGCAUUCUAAAGUUUGAUUGUUUAAUGCCAAUAAGAUCCCAAGCUAACACACCGUUUGAUUUCCCAAAGUAGGUGAUCUGUGUCUCUCGAAUACGCAUUGCAAAGUAAAAUAUCCAUCUACCUUUAAAUCAAUACAAAAUACUUUGAUUGUCUAAUGCCAAUAAGAUCCCAAGCUAACACACCGUUUGAUUUCCCAAAGUAGGUUAUCUGUGUCUCUCAAAUACGCAUUGCAAAGUAAAAUAUCCAUCUACCUUUAAUCAAUACAAAAUACUCCGCCACAACAAUAUUUCCUACUGCCGAGCCAUCCAUAUUUUAACUUGACUCCUUCCUUCCCAUGCUUGAAAAUUUUCAUCUGAGUAGUGUAGGUUUUUAACUGCUUGAAAAACUUAGAAUUCCAUCUCAAAACCAAUUGAUAACAAGUGAAAUGGCCUAACAACAACUUUUAUAUAUGAUUAAAAAUCUUUAGAAUAUCAAUGUGUAAUAUUCUACUAACACUUUUAACUUGAUUCCUUCCUUCCCAUGCUUGAAAAUUUUCAUCUAAGUGGAGUAGGUUUUUAAUUGUUGAAAAACUUAGAAUUCCAUCUCAAAACCAAUUGAUAACAAGUGAAAUGGUCUAACAACAACUUUUAUAUAUGAUUGAAAAUCUUUAGAAUAUCAAUGUGAAAAAUUCUACUAACACCCCCUUACAAUCGUGACUUGACAAAUGGGCUUAAAACCAAGUCACGAGAGAAAACUAUAAACAAGAUAACUGAAUCACGAGUGAAACUACAACUCACAAGGUAACAAAUAAACUCAAAGCCCAGCUCUAAUACCAUUUAGAGAACAUGAACUGCCAUUUCAAAAUCAAUUGACAAUGAGUGAAGUGAUCUAACAACUUUUAUAUAUGGCCGAAAACCCUUGGAAUAUCAAUAUGAGAUAUCAACUAAUAGCAGCUUUUUUGAAUCUGUUGUUGAUAUUUCAUGGGCUAAGCAUGACUCACGCUUUCUGGAAAAUGCAUCGUGUGGCGCGGACGGCAGAACCCCCAAAAAGAAUGACGAAAAUCUCAACUCCGGAUGACCUGUAGACGGCAUAUUUUAGUUUUCAUGAAUAUACUUCCACCGCCGAAUAUGGUGAAUGACAUGACGAAAAUCUAGAUUCCACUUCCACUCGAGCACUAUACAAAAGGUUAGUAAUUAAAAAUUCAAAGAAUUGUUGCCGAUCCUUCUUCUUGACCAGCAUUGCCGCACACUGGCUGCCCAUCUACAAUUCCCACGGAGACCUGCUUUCCAAACCUGCACAAUUAGGACAAAUAUCAGUAUCAAUCAAAUGCAUAUGAAAUUUAAGGUUACGGGUCAUCAAUCGAUUGUGCAACUAGAGCCAGAGCAGUACACAUUGCACCUUUCUGAUCCCCUUCCUUCCCACACUCUUUUCCAACGCUAAGUUUCAUUUAGAUUCCUAUUAGAUCCAUUAAGCUGAUCAUAAGCUGAUUCGACGGUACAUGCUCCUGAUUCAGACAGGCAACAUCGAAGAAAAUCCAAAAUAUCAGGAUUCUGGAUGAGAAUAAUGGAUCUGAGCUUCAUCUUUGAUACAUGAAGGGAGUAGUCCCUGCAGCAUUAUCCAAUUCCAAUCAUUUAUUCCACCGCCCUUUUAUUGCACUGCUUCUUCUGGGAUUGAAACAUCCACUCACUGAUUGGUACAUUGAACAACACUAAUCAAUCCAAAAUCCUAUUGUCUCUCCAUUACCAAGUCUCCACCUCAUUCCUUGCCGUGUUACUACUUCAGCGUUACCUUCUAUGCUUCUCCAGGUAUAUGACCAUCAACAUACUCAAAGAGUCCCCAUCCUCCUUGCAAUAUUUUCUAAAAUGAAAGUUUCUUUCCAUACAACCCAUCCUCAAUCAAUAACUUCCAACCAACCUUAGCCAGAGUUGCUGCUGGUUUAGUUGAGAGAGAUGUCGAAUAUCUAAUCCUUCUUCCUCUUUUUUCAAACGAUCAACUUAAGAAUGGAACAUAGUCCAUGGAUAAGCGUCUUUGGUUCUCUGCCAUAGAACAUCGCAAGGGUUGUAUACUCAUCACUCCCUUUACAUUGUAUACUCCAUGUAAUACCAGCAGCUUUGCAGCUACAAAGAUUUCCAGAAAACCAGCUAUGGAGAGUGUAUUGCUGGGCAAGCCAGCAUGCUGAAUAGAGGAAAUACCUGUGGAGGCUGUAUUCAGGUGAGAUGUUUUGAACCAUGUCUUGUGGUGUUUGCCACGUGGCCCACCUAUCACUAUAACUGCCACUGAUUUCUGCCCCAAAUUACGAUGGGCAUUGGUGGAAGUUCCUUGAUCACAAUGCGGGAUGUCACCUGGUACAAAAAUUGCAGCAAUAGCAGAAAACGUGGUUCCAAUUCUAUUAAUGGUAUCAAUUAUUUGGUUUUAUUACUAACCAAUUCAAUUAACAAAUUCUUGGACUGAAUUAGUCUACACCAUAUGUCUCAGAUGCAAUGCCCAUUGUAGGUGCGAUCUUAAUCAGGGAAAAAUGUGGAGUUGACAGGAAGUUCAUACUUUGUGCAAGUCCUAAUCACCAAUGAUGGGGUGAAUGGUGAAGUCUCUGCAGGAAAAAUGAAAGGAUCAAAACAGGAUGGAUAACUAUGCUGUAGAAACUGGGUAUAGAAUCAGCGAUGCAGCAUCAGACUCAUGGGCAGCCCUUAUUACAAUUUUUCCCUGAUAAAACAGAGAUUUGGUCAGACAAAUGGUCUUGAGUUUGACAUUAUCAAACGGAGGUAAGCUAUGUUCAGAAGUCGUAUCCCACCCACUCUAAAGUGUACGUCAAGAUCAAUGUAGAGAUACAGCAAAGAAAGACCAAAAAAUGCAGUGUAUUUUAUGGCAGGAAGGGCAUAUGCAUAUCAACCUCAUGACUGUCCAUCAUGUGACCAUUGUGGGGGAGAUGGCAUAUAUUGCUCACAUAACCAUGGGUUAGCUAUUUUCUAUUAUUUUCCCAUUUCUUCUUUCUACAAUCAUUUUGAUCUGUUUGCAUCCUGAAAUUUAAAUUUUCAGGCACUUAUUGUUCAAGAUAUAGAUGCCAUGCAUCAUUUCGUGCACUUGCAACCAAUAACAAAUUAAAUUUCAUGGUUUGAAAAGCAUUCCGCAAAGCAUAACCAUUGCACUUGUCUCCAUAAGUAAAGAGUUUAAAGUCACCAGUAAAUUUGGCUCAAAUAUUUAAAUAGCUCCUAGCCGCUAAACAAAAAAAAAGUGCAAGAACUUUCCUGACAGGGUAGAAAAUGCUAAACACUUGCAAUGGGAGGUGCUAUCAGAUUGCAUCUAGCAGCUCCUGCAAGAGUAACCAAGUCAGUUUGAGCUCACAAGAAUAUCCUUCUCCCUCUCCUUCUCUUGAAAAUUUAGAGAUUGACCAAAAUAUUUCUGGGCUUCCAGUCGAAAACAAGUUGAAAGACUUGCUUCCUCAUUUGACUCUAAAACAUUGAUUAAUAUCUUGAAUGACAACUUAUCCAGGUCACAACCUAUAGAUUUCAUCAGGUAAAAGCACUCAACUGCAAGUCCAGUGAGGUUGAAAUUUGCUAAAAUCUCCAGCAAUGCAUUAAAACCGUUAAUAUCAGGCUCUAAACAAGGUUCCUUCUUCAAUUUAAUGAAAAGCAGUUCAACCUCUUCAAGCAAUCCAUUGCUUCCCAAAAGUGAGACCAAUUCAGCAUACAGUGAUAUUUGAGGCCUAUACCAAUACUCCUCCUGAAUUUCUUCGAAAACCUAAUUCAGGAAACGAAGGACACUAAUAGAUCAGACAAUAUCACUGUAGGCUAAAUGUACCAUUUUUCAGAAACAAAGGCACCCAAUACUAGUCUAAGCCCCCCACCCCCACCCCCACCCCCAAAAAAAAAAAAACCCCAGAAUCUCACACAAGAAAGGGGGGAAAAAUUACUGGUCUUCGUAAUUUUUCUUCUUUGCGCAAAUGAGCAAGAAGGUAAACCAGUUUUCACUCAAAUUUGAGCCUCAAGUUAGGCCCCUUUUUUUCGGCUGAUAAAACAGAGAGAUGAGUCAGUACAUUCUUUCUUCUUGCUUGAUCUUGUUUUGGCUGAAAAACAAUAUAUUAUGGUUGAACCAAACAAGCAGCUUAAAGAGUAAUUAAAAAUUGUGAAAUCAUAUUCAAUCGAUGAGCCUUUUCCAAAAUUGUAGGUUGCUGUUUUGCACUUGGGCAGUAAAAUUUUAUAUUAUCUCGGGCAAGCAAUAAUUAAGAGGUUCCAUGCAUAAAAUGCAAGUACUUUUGGGAUCUGAUCCAACUCGGCUACCCAAAACUUGAGUGAAUUGGAAAUAUAAGACAAGUUGAUCCCUAAAUUUUUAUCUCACGCCAUGGGAUAAAGGAUACCUCCAACCACAACAUAAUAAAUACAGUUAUUCUGGUUUCGGCCCCAGAUUAUGCUAUCUGAUCAUCUGUAUGGUGCAUCCUCUAUCAAGUAUAGCCUUGUUUAUCCACUUAGAAAAAGUAGAUAGGCACGUUUUAGUAAGGGGCAUAAACCCCUCCUCCCCCCUCCCCCCUCCCCCCCCCCCCUCCAACAACAACAACAAAAAAAAUCCAAAACAAAAUAAAAAAAGAAGGGGGAAGGGGAAAAAGGGAUAGGCAGUAAGAAGCAAACCUUAAGAGCCAAAUAACACUGGUUCUGGCGAAUGAGUUCGCGUAGAACGGCUAUCAUAUCGAGCUUGAGCAAACGCCUAAAAGUGGUCUCAAGGGCAGGCUCCAGCGGACAACUACUAGUGGCUCUGGCCCGCUUGAGUGCCUGAACCGUUUGAAUGGCUUCGAUGCUGAGAUUCCGGCCUUUCUGCAGCGGCUUCCUGUUAUUGCUUCUGUCUCUCAUGAUGGUUACAAGUGCAUUGUUUCUAUUCUUUCUACUAUUGCUAUUGUUUGCUGCUUCUCCCCCUAGUCCUAGCCCUAGCCCAUGCGUAAUUAAAUUCCAUUCCCAAUCCAAGCGGAAUUAAGCCUGCUGGCAGUGGGCGAGUGCGAUAUCUGGGUCAUACCUGAAUUCAUUGUUGUCCCACAACGCAGCACCAGCCGAGCCACAGCCCACAAGGAGGAGAAGGGGGAAAAGACCGCCUCCUCCGUCUCUGAUUCUCUUUUUACUGUACAGCUGAUUGUUGCAAGAAAAAAUAAGUGCAAUUCUGCGAUGAAGGUCCGUCUGCGGUCUGGCAAUUGAGCUUUUUACGUGUUUGUUUAAAAUUUUAGAGAGUCCAUUAAAAAUAAUACUAUAAUAUUUUAUUUUUAAAAUACUAGUUCAUUUGGAUUAGUUAUUUUUCGUAUUAUUUUUUAAAAAUUAUAUGAAAAAUUUUUACUGUAGAUGUUUUUGGAUUAUUUUUAGAGGUAUUUUUAAAACAUAUUUUUGAAUAUUUUUAUAAUUUAUAAUUUUUAUAAUUUUAUAUUUAUAUACAUUUAUGCAUUUAUAAUACAUUUAUAAAUAUUUAUAAAUAAAUAUAUUUAUAUAUAUAUAAAUAAAUAUAUUUAUAUAUUUAUAUAAAAAUAUAUUAUAAAUGUAUUAUAUUAUAUAUAAUACAUAAUAUAAAUAUAUUUAUAAAUGCAUAAAUGUAUAUUAUUAUAAAUUAUAAUAAAUAAUUUAUAUAUUUUUAUAUAAAUAUAUAUUUAUGCAUUUCUAAUACAUUUACAAAUAUUUAUAAAUAAAUAUAUUUAUAUAUUUAUAUAAAAAUAUAUAAAUGUAUUAUAUUAUAUAUAAUACUUAAUAUAAAUAUAUUUAGAAAUGUAUAAGUGUAUAUUAUUAUAAAUGUAUAAAUUAUAAAUGAAUAUUAUAUAAAUGUAUAAAUUAAAAUAUUAUAAAUAUAUAUUAAUAUUAUGUAUAAAUGUAAAAUUAAUAUUAUGUAUAAAUGUAAAAUUAAUAUUAUGUAUAAAUGUAAAAUUAAUAUUAUGUAUAUUAAUAUAAAUGUAUAAAUGUAUUAUAAAUGUAUUAUAUUAUAUAUAAUACAUAAUAUAAAUGUAUAUUAUAAAUAUACAUAAAUAUAUAUAUUAUGUUUAAAUGUACAUUUAUAUAAAUGUAUAAUAUAUAAUAUAUAAUAUUUAUAUAAAUAUAUUUUAAAUAUAUAAAAUUUAUUUUAAAUAAAAUAAAUAUUUGUAAUAUGAAUAAAUAAAUAAAUAAAUAAAUAAAUAUUUAAUAUAUAUAAUAUACAUUAAUAUUAAUUAUAAUAUUAUAAAUAUGGUGUUUAUAUAAUAUUUCAAUUUGUAAUAUUUAUUGUAUAUUUCAUUAUAUAAAUAUUUAUAUAAUAUAUCAUAUAUAAAUAUAUAAUAUAAAAUUUUCAAUUUGUAUAAUAUACAUAAUAUUGUAUAUAUAUAAUAGAAUAUACAUAAUAUACAUUUAUACCUUAAUACAUAUUUUGUAUAUUAUAUAUUAUACAUAACAUUAUUAUACAUUAUUAUACACAAUAAUGUACAUAAUAAUGAAAGUACAUUAAUAAUGUAUAUAUUAUAAUAUAAUGUACAUAAUAUAUAAUGUAUAAAUAUUUAUACAUUUAUGUAUACAAUAUUACAUAUUAUGUAUAUUAUAUUAUGUAUAUUAUAUUAUAUUAUGUAUAAUAUACAAUAUUAUGUAUAAUAUUAAUGUAUAUAAAUAUUUAUAUAAUAUAUAAUAUAUAAAUAUAUAAUUUUCAAUUUGUAUAUUUCAAUUUAUAUUAAUAUAAUAUAUAUAUAAUAUACAUAAUGGAAAUAUACAAAAUAUACAUAUUAUGUAUAUUUUGAGUUGUUUUUGAUAUAAUGUUUGGAUAUGGGUGUUUUUGGAAUUGUUUUUGAAAUACACAUUUACUUUAGCAUUUGGAACGUGAAAAACCAUUUUUCAAAGACAGAGGUAAAAACAGGAAUCCAAACCCCACAAACUAAAUACCCAAUUGCAGUUUACCCUCUAAACUAUAAUAAUAGGCAUUAUGCCCCCUUGAAUGAUAUGUUGGGACAAAUCUACCCAUUUUAUUUUAAGCAUUGUUAUUUUUCUUUUUUCCCUAUCAUUUUCUUUUUAAAUUCUUCCUUUUUUUUCUUUAAUCAUUGUUUAAAUAAGUAGACUAGAUUAGUCAAAAUUUGUUUAUUUCUUAAUUUUGUAUGUCAAUAUUUUAUUAAAAAAAAUCUAUGGAUUAUACAAGAUUUUUUGUCCAAAUGUUGAAGUCAAUAAGAAAAUUGGAAAUUGUAAUGAUGAUGUCAGCAAAUAAAAUUGGGUAAAUAAUGCUCAAUCCAAACAAACCCAAUGUCAUUUAAGAAAUUGAACUUUUCAAAUAUAUAACAACAAAAUAGAGAAAUUGAUUAAUCAAUUAUUACUAGUAUCAAUAAAAAAAAAAUUAACUACUAUUGUUGUUUAUUCUUAUUUUUUAUUUCACUACAAAUAACAAUUGCUAACUUUUUCUUUUUUAUGUGAUAUAUAAUAUGUUACUUUUAUUAUACGUAGUUGAGUAACUGUGAACUCCUAAUUAGUUUAUAGGUGCUUAAAUUGUUGAAUUACUAGAUUAAUACACUUUACAAUAUAAGCUUCAUAUAUUUUGUAAUAAUAAAGAGUUUAUGACAAAUUAUUAAGAAUGAAUUUAACAAAUAAACAAAUUUAAAAACAAUUUAAAAAAUAUUAAAAUUUUUGAUGUAAGUCUUUUCACAUCGGAGAGAGACGUUGGCUAGUUCCACGAGAGAAGGAGAAAAUAAAUAAAAGGAAAAACUGAAAAAUCUAAUAGAGAAAAAAAAAGAAGAAAGGAUUUAAGAUAGUAGGGGUAGUGUUGUCCAAACAUAUCAUUCAAGGGGGUAAAUUGCCUAUUAUUAUAGUUUAUGGGUAAACUGCAACUGGGUAUAUAGUUUGUGGGAGUUUUUUACAUUUAACCUAAAAUUGUACUAUAACUUACACUAAAAGUUGCAGGGAAAAUUUUUUAAGUUUGUAAAUUUUUGGAUAUUUUGAAGUAUAUAGUUUAAAAAUUUUGAAAAGUUUUUUGAGAUUAUUGUAGUUCAAAUUGUUAAAAAACUUGUAACAGACAAAUUUGAUAAAAAAAAUUUGCUUGCCAAACAUGUCCCAUAUAUAUAAAAAUAUUUUUUUUAUUAUGUUAGGAAUAUUAAUUUUUCAGAUAUUAAUUGUCCUGUAUUAUCAAAUACUAUAAGAGUUUACUAAUAAUUUUAGUAACAAACAAACAAAUUAAUAAAAAAUAAUGUUAUGGGAUAAAGAGCAAAACAAACUAUUUUAUAGGAAUUUGGUACAGUCAACUCUUAAGUGUAUAAUGCCUUUUUCGACAUUACCAUCCCACAAUGUUAACAAUGUUAUAGUUGAUUAAUGGUUUAGAUGAUAAAAUGAAAAUUAAAAAAUGACGGUAAGGGACAAAGUGGAAAAGAUGCAUAAUGGACCCCUAUGUGAUGGCGAUUUAGUUUCCGUCAGUUACCCGUUACUCUGUUGGGUCACCUCCCCCAUAAUUAAUUGGAAUAAGUUAGAGUAGGGAGUAGAAGUAGUUGUAGAUGACUCUUGCCAUAUAUAUAGACUCCUCUUUUGACAAGUGACAAUUUGAAUUUUUACUCCACUAUUUUCUUUGGUUAGGAAAAAGUCAUAAACUUUUCCCCUCCCAAUUUCUCCUCUUCUUUUUCUUUUUACCUCUACCUUCAACCCUCAUCUCCCUUUUUUUUCAUCUUUCUUUUUUCCCUUCCAAUUUUUUCUUUAUAAUUAAUUAUCCUAAAAUUAUUUUCUUACUAUUUUUUAGGUGAUUAUUAUUAAUCAUGGAGAGAUAUCGUAACAAUCAACUGAUUUAUAAUGCCACUUCCAGCUCCAUCAAUUUUAACUCUUUAAUUCAGUAUUUUGCUUUUUCCCUUCUUCUUUUCCUCCAUCCUAAUUUUUCUCAGCCUUUCCUCUUUCCACUCAAUCAAAUACAUCUUUUCCUUUUUCCUCUGUAUCAACUGAAUGUAUGUUUUUCUUGCCUAAGAAUAGAUAUUUCUUUUCUUCCUUUGUUCAAAAAUCAUGAUUCAUGAUCAUCUCUUUUUUUAAGAGAAAUAUAAACAAUAGAUCUUUUAUCUCCCUAACCUUGCUAUCUAGUAUGUUCCAUUUUUUCAUUCCUAUUUUUCCCCUGUUUCACACUGCCAAUUAUGGACUUAAAAUUUUUUCAUUAAUUGUAUUUAAUUUAGCCUUUAUCAUUUUUUUUUUGCCUCUUCAUUCUGUUACUAGGUGUAUUUAUUUAUUUUGAUUUGAUCUCCUUGAUAUUCAUUAAGCCUUCCAUUAUUUUGGCUCAGCAAGUCAAUUCUCCUUUUGUGAGGUUUGUCUUAAAUUUAAAUGCAAAAUUUGUAUUUUGCAAUUCUGAUGUUUUAGUUCACUUUCAAUGCAUAACUAAAUCUUGCACUUCAUUUAGUAAUUCAUUGGUACUGAAUUUUUGUGCUUUUUUUAUGCAUUGAAAAGCCUUCUAUUUCAAAUUUCUUGCAAGUUUUAUUGUGAAUUGGUAAGAUGAAAGUUUUUACAUGAUGAUGUCUUGUUUGAAAAAGAAAUAAUGGUGAUAAAUUCUAUGCAUUCGUAAUUAUAAUAGCAUGAUAUUUGAGCUUUAUGAAGCAUACAUCAUUUAUGUUAAUAUUGAAUUGAUUUUGUAUUUCUCACGUGCUUGAUUUUUCAUUUUUUUGCUAUUAUUUGUCCGUACAAUACAACAAGAUAUACCUCUACUAUGUCAAAAUAAGCAAGUUGGAGCAAACUUUUGGAACAUUACAGUAAAAGCAAACUUUAUUUUUUAGGCUCAUUUUUUGGCAAUUAUAAUUGCUCUUUAUUUGAAAGCAAAUUAUGGUAUAAUGAAUUUUAGCCAGAAUUUUAUAGGUGGGCAUAAGCGGUCGUCGUAUACUGCACAUCAAGGUUAUGCAGUAAUGAAGAAAGGUAGAGCGCGCACGGAAUACAAUCCUGUUAUUAUACUUGCCAGACAGAUGUGCACGUCAUACAGAUGGAUAGGCCUUUAAGAAUCUCAUUCAUGUGCUAAUACCGUCAUCCUCUUCAGAACGUAACGAAAGAAAAAGUUGAGGAAUCCAGAAAACAAGCCACAUAACGCGCUCAAGAGAGAUGAAUGUCUCCUAUCAGCAAAUGAAGCACAGUUUGACCGAAACUAGGCUAUAAUGCUUCAGACGUGCAGAGAGUACGAUAGCCGAGCAGACAGCACAGGCUUUCAGAACAGGCAACAGAGGCAAGAGAUGGAUGGCAAAACUAAUCGAUCAGUAGACUUUAAGGAACACCGGUAGCCGACUGCAACACAGGCUGAUCCCUUUGAAAGGACGUCCAUUCAAUCUCUCUCAGCAAAUUAAACCUUUGAUCUAAUGUCAAAAACUCAACUUGUGAUGCUACAGCACCAGACUUCCCCGCCUUGUAGAGUAAAAGGACUGUAGAUCCCAUUUCAGGUCCAUGGAGCUUCCCAGUUAGCAACACCCGGAGGGGCAUAAAAAGAGAUUUUCCCUGGCAUGGCGCAUAAAUAUUGAAAUUAAACUUUUUGGGCAACCAAAGAUACCAGUAACCAGUAAAUUCUUAUCAAGAAUGCAAUAGUAAAAACAAACCUUGCGUUUCAGUGAUUUACCAAAGCUCUUUACCCACUUCUGCCACCCUGAUUGGCCUUCUUCCAAGGCACCAAGCAGCUCACCGCCAUCAAAGGCUGCCAACAAACUAGCAGCAACAUCGGGGAGCCCAUCAUCGAUAACAGAUUUACACUCAGCACUGCAGAUGGCAAAGAGGAAAUCAAUUUUUUGUUUCCAAUGGAAAAGAAGACUAUCAAUAACACUGCUCCUGACCUGUUACUACUAAACGUAAAAUUAUUAAAGGCUCUCCAAUAUAUAACUAUAACCUUAACAUCAACACAUCUCUGCAGUUCACAUACUGUUUCCCUUUUACCUAAAGAUUAUUCUUUUUUGAAUCCAUAUAUUAGCACCAUCCAAGUUGAUAUGUUCAAAACAGAAUAUUUGCUUUCACAUGCUACAAACUAAUUUGCUUAGGACCCACUCACAAUCGCCCGGAUGAGUGUCAUAGCAUCCAUCAAAUAUCUGAGUCACACAACACUUCAUGAUAGCAAUACCUAACCUUCAGUAACUGGCUAUUCAAUUUUAUUUUUACUGAGUUGGCGAAUUGAAUUUGCAACUAAAAAACAUUUUAAUAACGAAUAGAGUUUGCCAACUUAGUACAGGAAACGUAUAAACAAUCCUCAGGAUAGUAAACACAAAGACUGGGAAGAAAAUAAGAGCAAAAGGUAAGAAAUUCAGAAUUCAUAUACUACUACAAUGUCUAGAAAGCUUCAUUACAUACAUGCAAGAAUUCAACUUACCUUGUUAAUGUUGCAUAUAGAGGAUAUGACAGCAAGCUUGAAAGAACCUUGUCUGAAUCUGUUAUCAGGUCAAUUCCAUCCUUCAGGAGGUGAAAAGCUUCCUGCUUAUACAAAUACACAUUGCAACCAUUAUGAUGCAAUCCCUAGAAAAACACAAUAGAUAUAGAGAAGCUACUUGUACUACUAAACAUGCAGUUGAUAGUAAUGCACACUUACUUUUCACUAACCAUAGCUUACAAUGAUAAUCAGAAUAAAUUCAUUUGUUUGACUACUCCAUAAUGCAAAAUUGGUAGCAACACAUUGCUGUCUUAGAAAGCUACCAGGUUGACCACAGAGUUGCUUUUAAAUUUGCACACAGGAACAAAAUUUUAGGAUAAAUAACAAAGUUACACAAUAUGAUUCACAAGAUAUAACGUUGAUCAUACCACUCCAUAGAAAUUGCACAUGACAAACACUUGAUCUGAAUCAUCAAAAAAUGCACCAGAAAGAUAGGAAGCCCUUACUUCCACAAUGAGCCCCUCUGAUUCAGUGAGGAUACCAUUACUCUUCCAACGUUCACCAAUCAGUUUGAUUACUUCCCCAGUUGGAAGAGAUCUCAAAUGCAGACCAUUCAUCCACCUUUAGAUUCCACAAAUAUUGAAUGGAAAACCAUAAAACAAUAAUCAAAACAAUUUGCAAAGCUAUAAAAUGGUGUUUAACCAGAUUAUUAUAAAUAAGACAUCCCCUGAACUAUAAUAGCACAAGUUGCUAUUUGCAUCAGUAAUCCAAAAGCAAAUAUUACCUGAGCUUGGUCACAUCAAAUAUCGCCCCACUUUUGUUAACACGCUCAAUUGUAAAUUUUUGAACUGUAAACAGCAUGAGAAGGUCCAACUCAUCAGACAUGUCUAGCUAAUAGAGUUAAGGACAGCUGGAGGAACAUUCAAUUUGCAACAUAUAAGUGUAUGACUUUCAGGAAGUAAAUGAGAUUGAUCAAGGAAGCACAAGAAGAAGUACAAAAUCCUGCCAUACAUCAGCACAAAAUGAAGCUGCCAGAUGUAUGGAAAUGACCAACUAUAGUCAAGGAGAUAUGACUCACCAAGUUGUUCAAGGGUGAAAAAUUCAUUCUCAGAGCCAUCACCCCAGCCCAACAGCGCAAGGUAAUUGACCAUUGCCUGAGGUAAGUAUCCCAUCUCCCUGAACUGCCAGAUAAAAGUACAAUUGUGACAGGGGAAUACUACACAAACACUCAAGGCCUGGUUGAAGAAUUACAAGGCAUUCAAAAACCAGAGAAAGAAGCCAAAAUGGCCAACCUGACCCACUGAAGUUGCACCAUGACGCUUGGAGAGUUUGCUCCUAUCAGGAGCAAGAAUUAAAGAAACAUGUGCAAAAUAAGGCAUUGAAAAACCCAGAGCCUACAACGGCAAACACAGCAUCCCCCAUCAGAUGUCACCAUUUGCAAAAGAACUUACUUUGAUAGAGUAAAUGAGUUCGAAACAUCAAGCGGACCAAUGGAAGGUGAAUGUACCUUGUAAAUUAGUGCUUGUCUUAAAGUAUUGGGUAAAUGUUCUUCUGCUCUGUAUUGAAAGUUUUAAUAAGAAAUCUUCCCAGAAUAAGCAAAUAAACAAGCAAGCAACUGAAGAAGAGAAAUAAGAACAGCUUUGAUUGUAGAAAAUCUCCACUAGAAUAAGCAAUGUCUCACCUAAUAACAUGAGAGAUAGCCAUAGAUGCAUCAUCAACUGUGACACAAAAAUUGUACACAGGUUGUCCAUUACUUCUCAUAAUGACAAAAUCUCCCAAUGUGUCCAAGUUCCAACUAACCUUCAUUACACUAUCAAACAAGAUUAGAAAUGAAGAAUGAUGAUGCAAAACAAAUAGACCAUCAUAGGAAAAGAGAACCAAAACAAAAAUGUAGAAGGAGAAGAAAAGGAUUAUGGUCAUUGGUCAAGUAUAGAUUUAUCAUUAAUGCUGAAUCCUUAGACACUUAAAACCAAUAUAGUCUAAAUCAAAAGGUUAAAAAUUACAAUUUGUGUGCAUUUAGUACUGAACUAGUUUCAUCUCACUCCAUGUUUCAGUUCUAAUGAAUGGGUUUAUAUAUACAUAAUGAAUUUUAGCAAGUUUCCCCACAUCUUUUAUUUUAAUCUAUGUGGUCCUCAUGUUCAUGAAAUUUUGCACUUCUAUUCGCUGUAACAUGUCAACCACAAGUUUGAUUUAUAGCUUAAGAGAUAACAUGUUGAAAUAUCAGUGUUCGGCUAGGACUAGACCAUGAAAUAGAGGACCAAAACUGCAACAUGCCCAAAUGGCCCAAUUGGGGGAAAAAAUAAAAUGCACUAUCAAGUGCUUCAGCAACAACUCCAAAGGAACUCAAAAUAAAGCCGUUGACAUGCAAAAGUAAGUUUUAUUCAUCACUUACCUCACCACGGAUAAGGUCAUUUAUUUUCAACUUUCCUUCUUUCGGCACUCGAAACCUACAUGUAUAGGGUGUCCCCUUCGACAACUCCUCUUGCACUUCCUCAUCAGUGGCAUUGGCCCACUUCCCAGUGUAAACUGGUGGCAAUUGCUUUAGCUUCGCAAUCUCCUUCAUCUUUUCUAGUUCCUAAUAAGUCAAACAAAGAGAGACAUGAAUAACAAUUCCUAUUCCUGCUUCUUCUUGGAAAAAAGUCAAGCUCAAAGAGUUAUAAUCCCUUUCAACUAACUGAUAGUUGAAAUUGAUAGAGUAUUUGUAUCCUAUUUGCUUAUACUCAACUGGUCAGUUUUCAGCUAAGUUUUUCAUAAUCUUAACAACUAAGGACAAAUUUUAAGUGAGAGGCCAUUGUCCCCUUCAGAGCCUUGCUUAUUCAACUGGGGAAUAACUGAAUAGGUAUUAGGUGUUUGAUGCUCAAAUCAUCAUUGAAAGGACUGUCGAAUAGGUUAGGGACAUGUCCGCAUGUCCAGACUCCGCCUUAAUUCCGCAUUCACUUCGAUAAUUUAUUUUCAUGAAGCAGCCUUUUGAAAAUUUACUUCAUCUAACAAAUGAUCCAAUUCUCUCAAAUCUAAAACACUAGAAAUAUAUUUUAGUUAACUACUUAAACUUGCCUAAAUUUAAAGUUUCUCAAUUUUUAUGAAGCUGAUACUUCACUAAGCAAAUCUCAGUCCUUCUGUUAACGUCUUUCCUUCAAUAGAUGAGUUCACUUUCUUUAAUACUUGCAUCCUUAGAUGCCAGUAUUAUGUUUCAUGCUUCAUAAGCAAUUUACAAUUCCUUCUUAAAAGUUUCAUUAAUGUACUAAACUUUCAAAGCCAAAGUUGCCAUCUUGUUAAACUUAUGUACUGAUGCUUUACCAUUAUAAAGUCUGUAGCAAAAAGAAAAGAAAAAAGAAUCUAAGAAAAUACCUACAGUUUGUUAUACAAAAAAUACUUGUACAAAAUGACAUUGAAAUUGAUGCUCCACUAAAUCAGUUUGGUCAUGGGAGAAGAAAGCUGCUUGUGGUUUAUAAACCAUGACAGAGAUCUAUUUUCAGGAAGAAGUCUAUAGCAGGUUUAGUCUCACACAUAUAGCUAACCUGUGUCAACAAGACCUUGCCAAAAAAAAAAAAAACCCCACCCAUUUGAAGCAAAUAUGACGAGCAUCUAUACCAUAAAAAUCUAAAAUGCUCUUUUAGCAUCAUUUAGCAUCAAAGCUUUAUCCCGUCUCUAAACAAAGGGACUGUAGAAAACUUAUGAGCGCAAUAUCAACCUCCAUGUUCAGGCUUAUCAAACCAGGACCUCAAUGGGAUUUAUAACUGCAUCUAGCAUUAGUGGUAAUGAAAUUCAACAUCAAUCAUUCCUGAUAUGGCGUACAUUUCCCUUAGACACCUAUUAAGGACCCGUGAUAUGGAGCAUCUCGUCAAAGGAUUGUAACUUGCAAGAUAAUCUUCAAUGGGUUAAUAGUGGAGGGUUUAUGUCAGAAGAUAAUGGAAUAGCUUAGGGUGACGUGGGUAAAACUCCAGCCCGUGACAGUUCAAAUAAGAAAAAAGUACAAAACCAAUUUUGUGACGAUAAAAAAGUACCUCAUUAGAACAAAAGCAGCGAUAAACAUGACCAGACUGUAAAAGCUUCUCAGCGUAGUGCUUGUAGAGAGAAUUUCUUUCAGACUGGCGAUAGGGACCAUAGUUCCCUCCAACACCAGGGCCUGCAUUGCCCACCCCCAUAUGCUAUCAGUGUUAAGUGGUAUUUGCAACCAUGAAUAAAACUUGGAAUCAGAAUUUUAGCAGAUUAACCUAUGCAUUUUACAGUACCAACGAAGAAAAUACACAGCAAACGACUAAAGUUGGUGACCAGAGGGCAGAUGACAAUUAAGAAGACGAAGAGGAAAAGGAAAAUAAACCUUCAUCCCAUCCAAGGCCAAGCCAAGAAAGAUCUCGAAGAACAGCUUCUUCAGAUUCUUUUGUGGAUCGAUCCAAGUCAGUAUCCUCAAUCCGAAUGAUAAACUUGCCGCCUUUAGACCUAGCGAACAAAUAGUUGAAGAGAGCUGUUCUGGCCCCUCCAACGUGAAGAUUUCCAGUGGGCGACGGUGCGAAACGCACACGGACUUGGGAAUCCCCGGGUGGUGACCCUGCGUGGGCAGCCGAGAUUGACAAACACCUUCUUGUUAAUCUUCCGUUUCCAGGAUAACCACAGUUCUUCUUACCAGAAGAAAUAUCUUUGUUGUAAUUAUAAAGCAAGUAGAAUGAUGACCGGAGCAUAGGAAUAGGAAGUACUGCUAUCUCUUGUAGCGGAAUCACCCUCGCUCUCAACAACGGCGUCCCUGUCCCCGCCAAACUUGCCAUUUCCUUUUACUUCCUGAGACUGUAAUGGUAGUAUGAAUUAUUUAUUCAUUUGUUUUGUUGAAGUGGAAGAACCCUAAUGCUUUUGUCGCCGGCAAGGGCCAAAGGCUUCCUGCUGUUCUGCAGUCAGCUACAUGGAUAAGGAUUAAUAACGAUGUACGCAGCUGUAAUUUUUUAGGAGAGUCGACACUUGCAAAUUUACAGUGCAACGGGGCUGGCUCAGAGGAUUAACUAGUUGAAUACCAGUAAGGCCUGGCUACUGCCCACCCUAAAGUGUUUAAGGGUAACAAAAUUUGAAUGAUUGUUUAUGAAUUGAGUGUCGCAAAUAUAUUUUAUAAAGAGUAUCUUAAUAUAUUACUGGUUAACAAAGGGAAAAAAUUCGUUGUAAUAAAAAGUAAGUAUUAAAGCAUAAAUAAAAUAAAAUUGAUAGGAAAAGUGUAUAUUAUGUUUGGUAGCAAUUCCAGUUGAUUUAUACAAGUUUUACUGGUGCUAAAUAAAAUAAGUGAAGUGACUAAUCUAAAGUAAAGUGACAGGCAAAGCAAAAAUCUUGAGUACCAAAAGUAAUGCGGCAAAAGGAAAACACAAAACUAGUAAAAGAAAGUAUAUGUUACUACUUACUACAGUAAUAUAUAAAUGCAUAGAUUUGUUGAAGUAAAAAGUAAGAAAAAUUGUAUUACCAAACGUGAAAAAACAAGAAAGUGAAGGAAGCUUUCUCUCUGCUAUGUGAGAACGAGAAGGAAAUAAAAAAGGAAAAAAAUGAAACACAAUAAAGGUUGGUAGUGUAUGUAAGGGUGUGUAGUAUACUAUUCAAGGUUAGUUUGUUGAUAAUAAUUUCAUCUAAAAAGCUAGUCUAUGAAAGUUAAAUUAAGCUAGUACUUUGUCUUCAAUAUAAUGGUUAUAAACGAUGAAAUACAAUUGAUAAUUCAUCAAAAGGUUGAUUUUCUUGUGAAGGACAACCUAACUUUGAAAAAAAAUAUAAGUACCUAAUCUGGUUAGGUAAUUGAGAAAAAAUUGAAUAGUUGAACAAUAAUUGCAUUAUUUGACUUUUGACUUAUUACAAGCAAAGCAGAGGAAAAAUAAGAGAACCAAGAAAUCUGUAAGCUGGCUCAUUGAAUAAUGUAAUAAUGCAAUAAGGUUGGAAAAAUGUUUUUCUCUCCAAAUUAAAACUUAUAAUAAAUAAGCUUUAUUGAAUAAUUUAAUAAUCUAACAACAUAGAAAAUAAGAAAAAAAUGCAAACCUAAUGAUUACCAUGAAAACAACAACAAAGAGCAUUUUAAUGAAAUAUAAUAGAGAUACACAUAUUUUUGUCAUUAAGACGUUAAUGCAUUCGUUUGAUUAAGAAAGGAAAAAAUUAAUUGUAAUACAAAAACACAUAUUAAGGUAUAAAUGAAUUAAAAUAAAAUUGAUAACAAAAUAUAUGAACAUAAAGUCAAAUGCUACCAAAUAUUUAAAUAUGAACAAAUUAAAAUAAAUUUGAAAUAGAAAAAUGCACAUUACAUUAAGUAGCGGUAAUAAUCUUUUUUUUUCUAAUAAGAUGAAAUUAGUUUUAAAUAAUCUUUUUUGUUGCAUUAACAAAAUAACAAAAUGUCAAAAAAUAUAAAAAAUUGAAGAAAUCCAUGCAAUUCGACGAAUUUUAACAAAUACAACUUAAUUUGUCAAAUAUAACUUUAAAUGAUAAUUCAUAUUGAAAUAAAUAUAAAUAUAAAUUCAAAUAAUAAUGAUAAUAACGUUGCAAUCCGAUUAAAACUUAAGUUAAUUUGUCAAAUAUAAGUUGAAAUAAUCAUGUAAAUGAUACUUCAAUUGAAUUAUAUCUCUCCAAAAUCUAGAGUUUAAAAAUCUAUUCAAAAUAUUUCAGCCUUAUAACCGUAGACAAAGGACUUACUCCCCUACUCAACCUUAUAGAGUAAUGCUAAAUCCACAAGGCAAUGUCAAGUCUAUAGAGAAAGCUCAAAAUUCACCCAUAAAUGUCACGUGUCAGCAAGAUAACAUUGGACCUUUGCUUAUAUUAUAGAAAGAUAAUAAGUUGUAUACAUGGUAAUGUAUAUAGAAUUUUGCCAAGCAACGAAAAUAAUCAAAGUAGCAAGGAAAGGUGUAUAGUUAAAAGAGUAUAACAUAAAAUAGGAAAAAAUUAGAUAAGAAAUGGUUCAGGAUAAAAGAUAAUGAAGAUAAUCAAAGCAUUUCAUCUUUAUAGGUAUCAAAAGCAAGAUACACAAAAAAAAGGGAAACAUGGCUAGUACAUUUGUUAGGAAAAUAGAAGAAAUGAAAAGAUAGGAAGCAAGCUGAAUAUCCCUAGUUUCCUAUGGUAAUUUGCAAAUGGAGCAUAUUUUGGUGCAUAGGACCUUGAUCUAGCAUCAUAAAAUACCAUACUGAUGCAUCAGGAAUGCAGGCUGAAUGUGUUGAUCAGAACUCUAACCAUCAAAAUAAACAUGAAAGGUGUAAUACCACAGAAAUAUUUUUUUCGACUCCGUUAUCUUCGAAGAUUAAAAUAGUAAAGGUUGUAUUUGAUUUGGGAAUAAAUACAAUGAUUUCAUUAUGUUGUAGUCCAUGCUCGAACUUCUCCAAUUUUUUUGAACUUUUUCCCUUUGACACCAAUUUCGAUGGCUUUGUUUCCUGUCUUGAUGAGAAGAGUUGGAGUCACAUCACCAUUGACGUAGUGAUCGACAAACCUUGGAAUUUUUUGAUAAUGAUUAAUGAAAGUUAGAUCGUAGAAGCUGAAAAACAUAGAUUCAAUCAAAAGAAAUGGAACAAUAGCAGCAAAAAAAGAUAGUGUAAAGUUAGCUUCCAAUGUUUAGGAGUAGUCGAAAAAAAUUUGAUAAAAGCAAACCGAAUUAGUUAGAUUUUGGAUUAAAUCUAGUUUCAUUGAUAUAACCUAUGAGUUGUUUGGAUACUACUGACCGCACACAAGCUGCACUCAUUCAGUAGAUAUUGUAUUAAGAAUAAGAAGAGCAAAAAUGGAUAUAUAGAGUAAAAUGAAGCACAUACCUGCCUUGCAUCUGCUCAAUACCAUCCUACAAUAGAUCUGGCAUAGAAUUGUAAAACGUAAGUAAACUUAUUUCUGAAGCUCACAAAAAAGAUUACAUCAAAGAUGAGAUUGCUACUGUGUCAAAGGAACAACAUUGUCAUGUUUUUUCAUGAUAUUUUCAUGGCAAUAUUCAUCCCAUCCAUUUGCAAAUGAAUGAUAGUGACUGUGAUAGCCAUCGGUAGGUUUCGUAUCUGAGAAUAAUUGUACUAUUGGUGUCGACUAAGCAACAGUGCAAACUUAGAAGGCAAAAUCUGAAAUUGAGGAAUAGAAAAGCAAUGUUAAAUGCAAUCGCAAGACUUAAAAUGUGAGUUUUUUGAGAUAAGAUAGCCAAAGACAAAUGACUGCAUGUAAGUACAUUAUACAUUACUACAUUAGCUGUUGAAAAGGUUAGGCUCAUCGGGUUGGACAGCAUAUAAGUACAAAUGACUGCAAACUCAUCGGCCUUUUUUUUGGGCCAGACGAGCCAAAUUCGGGUUGGACCAACCUCCAUCAACAGUCCUAAAUAGAGAUGUACUCGAAUCAAAUCGAGCUCUGACUAUAAUAAUUACUAUACUCGACUCGAGCUCGAGCUCGAUCGAGUCGGAGAAUUUGAACUUGAGCUUGACUCGAGAAAUGCUUAAAAAGCUUGAGACUCGACUCAAUAAAGCUCGAAUGAAGAUCAAGCCUUAUCAAAUCAAGUAAUCUGAUCAAUCGAGCUUCUUGACUCGGCAAACUGGAGGAAAAUAGAAAGAUAACAACCUGUUCACACAUCCCCGUUAAUAGUCAUUUCAAAUUGCAAAUAAAAGAAAAAGGCUCCAAAAUAUAAACAUACUCCACAAUACAUAAUAAGUUACAUGUCUCAUAACUAACAAGUUCCAAAUUAUGAGCUAAUAUAAGUAGAAGAAAUGAACAGUAGCAUAAAUCUUCAAAACUUUGGCAAGUCAAAUUCUUUGAUUAUCUUAGUUUCCUACAAAAGAAAAGAGAGACAAAACACAAAAAAGUUACAUAACUUCCCAAAGAAUAAAGUAACUUAUACUCAAUAACUCAAAUAUGGAAGUUUGGUAGUAAAACAAUAAAGCUGACCUUCAUCUUCUUUUUGCCCCCAUGAAGAUUCUACACCAAUCUCCUACACACAUCAACACUUUAUAUAGGUGAAGUGCUGCUCAAUACAUGUCAAUUACUCAAGUCCCAAGACUAAAUGUGACCUCCAAUGCAAACUAUAGUUAUCGGAAUGGCCAAGAUAUCGCAGGCUAUUCCAGAAAAUACUGGGGUAUGAGAUUUGAUUUAUUUUUCACACACUCCAAACAAUCAAAUUCAUCGAGGUCUUCUCCAAUCUUUUGGUGAGACUUGUCUAAAUAAUCAACCAAUUCUGACUUUAUGGGUUCGCUGGUCUCGAUUUCGUCACAAUAUUGAUCAAAAAGUCAUCCCAUCCAGUCCUUUUGGUCACAUUUGUUCCUUGCCUUUGUGAAGAGCUAGAAGCCAUUGACCCUCCAAUUGGAUCAACGCUAAAGCAACAUACUCAUCGUAUAACUCAAAGAUCACUUGCCGAAUGGUGGAAAUGUUAUGAGAAGCCUCUGAAGGUGAUACAAUUGAGGGCAGGUGAAGUCUACAACCCUCAUUUUCUAUCUUAGAUCUAAAAUGGCAGCCACAAACCACAUCAAAUUACAUUCACUCCAAUACUUGCAAACUUAGCUUUCAUCCUUCGAACCAUGACCCGAAUAAAAGGAUCUUCAUUAUUGACUUGAGCAUCUAGCCACUUUUUUUUAUCUUCACCAACUCUUGAAGGAAAAGAUUGCUGUAGGAUAAUCUGAGCCAAAAAUUAUAUGCGUGCACUCCCAAAAAUUUUUCCAAGACCGAACAAAACCCUUUCUGCUUUUCCCAAUCCUCAGCAGAUCAGCAAAAAUCGUAACUUUGCUAUCUAUCUUAGAAACGGGGAAAAAAUAUCCUUAAAUUUGAUGGCACACAUUCAACAUCUCGAAGGUGUCAUUCCAUCCUGUCUUACAAUCGUAAAGCAACUUUUCUUGGUAUCUAGAGUUGUUAAGCGAUCUCAGCAAAUAUAAGCUUGACCCUCUGAUUGAUUCACAAAUUCCAGAAUCCCUAAUGGCUUUGUUGAUGUCCAUAAUCUCAGAAAUGUUAUCUUGAACCACAAGGUUCAAAAUAUGUGCACAACAUCGAACAUGGAACAAUUUUUCAUUACAAGAAAGCUUUUGGACCUAGAGAUGUCAUCCUGUAAUAUUCUAAUAGCAACAUCAUUGUUCGAGGCAUUAUUAACUGAUAUGAGUAAAUCUUGUGCUCAAUGCCCCAUUCUUUUGUACUUUUGAAAAUUGAAUAUGCUAUCUAAACUCCGAGAUGAGGUGGUGGUAUGCGCACAAAAACUCAAGACUGUUUUUGUAGUUUCCAAUCAAAGUCAAUCCAAUGUCCGGUGAUGACCAUGUGUUAGAUCUUUUGGUUUUUUGACUUCCAAAAAUUGGUUGUAAUGCUCACUAUUUUCACAUUUUUCAACUUGCUCCUCAGCUUAAUUUUUUCAAACCUCAUAUACUUGUAUACAAUCAUUUUUUGCUAUUGCUUGAGAGAUUCUCUUCCACUCUCUGGCCACCGCUAGUUUCAUCAUAAGAUUGAAAUCCUCUUCUUCUAAUAUGGUGAACGGAUACUCGUGCAUUAGCAUCCACUAUGCAGUUGCCUCUCCAACAUUUUCUAUGUCAAACUUUCCAUUCAGGGAUGGCAAAAUUGAAAAAGAUUCAUCAGCUGUUGAAAAUUUAGUUUCGUUUGCUACUCCCCUUUCGAAUGCUUGUUUUUCGAGCUGAACAUCUAUUCCGAUGCCUCUACAGGCUACUUGUUUGUUUUGUCUUGCCCUCUUGACAUUUUUUUCUUGCAAUGCUUGCAAAUGACAUAGUACAAUCCAUUUUACUCAAUUUCAUCAAAAUCAUCCCAAGCCUCAAAUGUUUUACUUCUUUUAGGGAUGCAGAAUUCAUCUUCAACUUCAAUCACCUCCCGUGUGUCUCCUCCUAUUUGGAUAGCUGGUUCUUUUUCUUCUUCGGGUGGUACAGACCCUGUUGUUGAGAUAGGAGCAAUUGCUUGAUCUCCAGCUGUUAGUGUUGUAUCAUUACUUAUAAAAAUAGUGGUAUCCAGCAUGAAUGGAAUAGAUGAAUCUAUAGCGGAUAAUCGUGGGAUAGAAGAUACCUCGGGAGGACUAAUUACCAUACCUACAAUUUAUCCAAAAAAGUAAAUAUUUAUAUAUAUAUACUUGUGUCAGCCAUACAACCAUUAUAAACAUUCAUUAGUACUAGCAUAUCACCACCAAAAACUGCCUAAAAUCAAGUACAUUUAGCUUAACAACUCCUUUGGCAUUGCUUCUAGUCUUGAGCAACUCAUUGAAUGUCUAGUGUUGCUUUGCAUUUUCUUGAAAGUUUUCUAGGGAGUGAGUCAAAGGUUCUUCUAAAGAAUUGUCAAAGGUCUUUAAGUGUCCAAUUGGACAAAUUUUAAGUGUCAACCAGAUUGCAAUUUUUAUGCUGCAAUUACCAUUACAACUUUAACAAAACAUCCCAAGUUGAUAAUGGUCAGCCAUACAAGAAUACAAUAUUUUUUUAUCAAUUACUCAUACAACUUUAAAACUAUUCCCUAACAAGCAAUAUAUAAUCUGUGGAAUGUAUACAUACACCCACAACAUAAGCCAUCCGAAAGUACUAAGUAGAAACAUUUCAUCACUUGGACAAUUUAAGAUCCAUUAGCUUGUGAAUUUGCAGUAUAUCUACCUCUUGCCAAUUGCCAAUUUACCUAAAUUCCCUAACAUUAAAAACUAAAAUGAUCCAUGAAAGACAAAAAAAAAAAAAAAAUUCCUGUGGAUAAAAUUAACUCAUUAAUCAAGAUAAAUUCAUAUGCACUAGUGACCAAUCUCAUUGGGGUUUCGGCCAUUGACAAAAGUAAAAUUAACUCAAGAAAACUUCCACAAAACCAAUGAUCAAUCAACCAUUUACAGUAGCAUUUAGCAAAUUUCACAGAAAUUCGCGCAUUAGGGUUUUGACCCUUCAAUAAUAUUGUUUCAAAUUCCCAAUUUUCCUUUAAUUGACAAAUAUUUUCUAAGUAACAAUUAAUUUCAGAAGUUAUGUUGGCAAAUAAAAGCUUACCUUUAACUCAAAUCAGCUCUGGUGGCUAGUCUGCGAUCGGCCAAAAGUAGCUCUGAUGGCACCUUACUCUUCUUGCUUUGCUCUUUAGAUUUUAGCUGAACAGCCCUAGCGGUCAACUAGCUCUGCAACAAUGGCAAUAGAGGCUUACAGAUGUGGCGAGCAACGGCGGCGAGUGAGAGAUUGAGAGUGACGGAGAUGGGGUUUAGAAGUUUAGUUUCGGUGGUUCGAACAAAGAAGAAGAGACUAAAGCAUUUCACAAAUUUUUGAUGAAUUUUCCAUCUUUUCUUCGUUUUUUCCCGACAUUUUUUCUUUUUAGUACUUUUACAAUUAUGUUAUUACUUUUCUGCUAUUAUGAAAUUUUAUUGUAAAGAAGAGUAUCUUGUAAAUUCAGUAUAAAUUAUACCCAUAAUGGUCAUUUUAUAAUUAUAAUACAUAUAUAUUAUUUAAUUAUACUACUCGACGAGUAGCUCGUCGAGUCACAAGUUGCGUAAUCCUGACUCAAACUCGACUUGAAUGUAUAAUCGAUUUACUCGAGACUUGGUUCGAAUUCGGUCAAAUCGAGUACAAGCCAAGUCAUUGACCGAGCUUCUUGUGGUAGAAUUUAUUUUAAAUACUUAUAAGAAAAUUAUAAAAGUUAUGCAAUCUUCUUGUGCCUCUAUAAUAAAAAAAAUUAAAUUUUUAGUUCAUGUUAAAAACUAUAAACUAGAUUAGAAUUUUCCUUUCUUGUUAUCCUACAUGAUAAUCAGGAUAACUAGAUGGCAACAAUAAUACCAUUAUGGGAAUAAAUUUUGAAAGUGAAUCAUAUUGAAAAUAUUUUUUAGCAAAAGUGUUAUUUUGGCAAAAAAACUCAUGAUACUAAGGCAAAUCCAACAAAUCUCCAUCUUGACGUGUAUCCAACAUCGAUAAAUGACAAAUAUGUUUCACUUUCUCCAUAAAAGUCCCAACAAAUUUCAACAAAUCACAAAAGUCUAAAUGGAGCCCAAUGAACCACCAAUGAACAAAGAUGCAAAAAGUUCAACGGGUUUCAAUAGGUCAAAACUCAUAAACGAUUCAACAGAUUCCAACGGGUUAAACAACACGAAUAUAAUAAUCUUAUACCAUCUUUUGCAUAAAAACCCUUAACGAGUUCUAAUGGGAUAAAUUGCCCUUCUUCCCAAAACUCGAACUGACCUCCAAUGGGCUCUUUCUCCAUUUUCUAUAGUGCUAAAUCGACAUCUUAGACUAGAUAUUGAUAGUUUGUUAUCAUAAUUGUUGCCACAGAUGCUAGAGUCUGAAUCUCUAAUAUUAGUUUGUUAGGUUUGAUUUCAGGAAAUUGAUGAAGGGUUCUUGAUAACCCCAAUAGACAAAUAACAAAGUAAAAAAUAAAUACAAAAGACACAAAAUUUAUAUGGUAGAAUAAGCUCAUCGAGUAUUCGAGCAUAGCAUUCUAAUAUUCAAACUUGUCUUCUCAUUUAAGUAAUUGAGUAUGCUCGACCUCAAUUCGAACUCGAUCAAUGAUCGGCCAAAUCUAGUAAUUGAUUAAGCUAUUCACAAAUAGCUUACGAGUAGCUCAAUAGCAUUUGAGGGACGGAGAUAUAGGGAGGGAGAGAGAAAAUAGAGAAGAGAAGAGAAGAAAUGAGAGAGAAAAAAAGUGGUGUGAGAGAGAGAGAGAGAAAAGAAGAGGAUGGUAGCAAGGAAGAAGAGAGAAGAGAAAGGGAGAAAAGAGAUAGCAAAAGGUAGAAGAAAGAUGAAGUAGUAGGAAAAAAUGAGGUGUAGGAAUGGGGGCUGACGAUAGGUGGUGGUGAGUGACUGGAAAAGUACAAUGAGGAUGAUGUUUGCAAUACAACAUUAAAUAUCCCAAAAAUACAUCCAUAAUGGAAACUUUAAAUAUACAACUUUAGUAAAGUGUUUUUUAUAACCUAAUCAAUGUGGAGUAUUAUAAACAUCAUUUAUUCCUAUUUUUGAAAUAUAAAAUGAUAACCACGUAAAGAAAGGAAAAUCAAACUUUUGUUUCUCUAAUUCAUUUUUCCAUUCUAAAAUUAGUUUUUCUUUAUAUAUUGAUUCUAGUUGAAAAAACCAAAUUCUUUUUCUAUAUUUUCCUCAUCAUCAAAAUCUUCUUGUAAAUAUUUAUGAUUUAUUUUAUAUGGUCUAUUUAUAACAUUUAUUUCACCUUGCAUUUGAGAAUGUGUUGGGGAAUUUUGAUUUACAACUUCUGGAAUAGGAGUUUUAUAUUUGAAAUUUGAUGUAUUUUCCAUAGGGAAAUUAAUUUCAGUUGACUCGUAAUUUGAACGUCUAGCUGGUAACCAUGAAUAAGAUGAUUCUGGUCUUUCUCUAAUGAUGUAAAUCUUAUUAAAGUACUUCCAGCUUCUUUUUCUAUAAUAUCUUUUGCAGUCGUCUGUUCUAUGUUUCUUGCUACUUGUGGAUUUUUAAUUUCAAAUUCACUUGGUAUUGUUAUUUCGUUCCAUUUUAAUCUUUUUGGAAUAUAUGUGGUAGGUCUAUCUGCAUCUACUUGUAAUAAAGUUGUUUCAUCUUUAAGAGUUGGAGUCAUUAUAAAUUUUGGAUUUAAAUGUGAAGACAAAGGUCUGUAAUAUAUUCUGUAUAUUAUUGCAAAAUUUUUUGUAUGUUUUUCAAAUUCAUUUCCUUGUAGAUGAAUAUCUAAAAUAACUGAAUUUAGUAUAUGUGGGUCUGUUAAAUCUAUUGAAAAAUUUGGAGCACAGUUAAAAUAUAUUGGUCCAUUACAUACAUUUGUUUGAAUCAUAGAAAGUAAAGAAGUUUUAUAUCUUUUGAGUCUAGUAUCUCUUAAUGCUAAGUAUAUUGGAGCAUCUACUCCUAGAUGGAAUAAGGGCUUCACAGCAAUUUGUAUUAAUCCAAUAUGAAUAUAACGAUAUCCUUUACUUAAAUAUUUUUGAAUUGUACUAUGAUUUAAUAGUUGUAUGGUUUGAUAUUCUUCUUGAAUAGAUAUUGUUUCUUCAUGAGUUUUAACUGAUAAAGCUGUUUUGAAAUCUAAAGGGCCAAUUCUGUAAAUGUGUUCAAUUUUUCUUCUGGGAUUGUCCAAUCUGAAUUGUUUAUAGGCAUAUGAUAUUCAUGACUUUGUACUACAUUAUCUUGUUUUGAAUUAGAUCCUAUUUUUAAUUGUCUAAGAAAUGCAGCCAUGUUUAAUAUUUAAUUAAAUCUUACUUAGACGGGAACAACCGAGCCUAUGCCUGGAACAUCCUAUCCUGGACUUACCAACGGUCUAACAAAGCAUCAAGUCUUACCAACGUUUUCAGUAAAGUUUAAUAAAAUAUGUAACAUAAAUGCAUGAAAUAGCCAAGUCAAAAUAGAAACGUAAUUCAAAUAAAGUAAAUGUAAAUGCAAAGUUUAAAUAUGCGUAUGAAAUAUAAACAACGGUGUGGCUCUGAUACCACUUCUACCCAGGACUUUGCAAUUAAUCAUGUACGUUAACUAAAAGCAAAUAUUGUAGGGACUUAGAAUGUAAUUAAUGAAACUUACUUGACUUUUGAGAGUGCACAAUCGGAAGCUUGAAUUCAACAAUGGAAACUUGCCAAACUUGUUUGACAAAAUGAUACAAGAGGUUUGAAUAUUUAAUACAAGGCUUUGACUAUGUAUGGAAAUAUGUGGGAGUGGUUAUUACAAUGAGUUUUUCUAACUUUGCUCUGAUGGUUUUUUCGCCGAUGCCUGUCUUCUGAAUCUUGAAUCUAUUUAUAGAGGCUCGGUUCUGCAUUUCAUCUUCAUUUGAAUUUCAAUUUUGCUUUCAUUUGUUGUGGCCGACAUUCUUUUUCAAAGUCGUUUGGAUUUUGUCCACCGAUGGGAUCAUCAAAAGGAUCAAAAGUAGAUUCAGAUGAUCCUGCUGGCUCCUCUAUUUUGUCUUCUUCUUUUGGCUUUUGUAAAUAAUUCAGAUAUUCUUUCAGCAUCUCGGGAUUCUGCAUGAUUUGCUUUAUUAAAAAGUUACUGGCUGUUUCUUCGGAUGCCAUUUCCGUCACUUUUUCUUUGCCUCUUUUUGGAGUGAGUGGAGUUGGUGUAGUGGUUGGAAUGAUUGUUGACUGUCUUGUCUCCUUUUGAGAAGUGGUAGUAGCUGUCCACUUUAAUUUGUCUCCAGUGGUCAGGAAUCUGAUCACAUUAGUUUGAUCGCCAAAUUCUUGAUUGAAUCCAGUCCACCAUUUUAUUUUGAAUUCUCUUACCAAUGACAUUGGCAGAGGUUUUUCUAGUUCUUGAUGAAUUUUGAAACUCCAACAAAAUAUCCAUGGCACUUUGAAUUCCAUGUGGAAUAAAAUUGGUCUUGUAUACUCUUCCCCCUUUGCUCUUUUUAGAUAUGUUUGAAAUCCCAUGAGAACAUUUGGAGGUAGAAUUUCUGGUUGGGGUCCAAACCAUUUCCACCAGUGAUUAAACCAAAUUGGGAAUUCUUUACUGCAACUGUCUUUGAAUGUUAACAAACCAGGAAUGGUUAACGUAUAUAUUUUGGAGUGCAAUUGCAAUUUUCUUCACUUUCUGAACUAGAAAUAUCAUUGUAAUAAUCAUCUUCUGUACUUUGUUCUUUUUCAUUUAUUAAUAAGUUUAAUAGUUUAUUUUUAAUUUCUUCUUCAUUAGAGCAAAUUUCUGUAAUUUUUUCUUUUAAUCUACAUUUGUUUGCUUUAUGUCCUAUUUUUCCACAUUUAUAACAAACUAUUUUCUUUUUAAUAAAUCUUCUCUUUUUAGUUGGUUCAUUUUCCUUAGGUUUUAUAUACCUUGGUUUCUUAGAAUAUUUUUUAAUUUUCUUUUUGUAUGCUGAUGGUGAUUUGAUUCUUUUAAUUCCAAGCAUCACAGAAUGAUCCUACUUCUUUUGUUUUAGAUCCAUAUUUUCCACAAAUAAAUGUUCAAACUAAUUUAUAUAAAAAAUGGAAAUUAAAAGACGAUCAAAUCUUAACAUCAAUACAUCCAUUACAAGAAGUUUAAUAUAGGACAUGGAGAAGUAAUUGCCUCACCUUUUAAGGGGUAGGGAAGCUGAAUCAAGUACAAAUAAUUCAAUAAAUCUAGAAGAUCUUAAAAAAGUUUAUCAACAAAAUAAUUAUACAAAUCAGAUUCUUCAUACAAUAUCUCAACAUAUGGAAGUAUUAAAUACAAAAAUUGAUACAUUAAAGAAACCAGAUUUAAAAUUCCCAAUGAUAUAUCAGCACCUCAUUUUCAACCUAGAAGUUUGACAAGAGAAAAAGAACAAGAUUUAGUACAAAGUAUUAGUAAUCAAAAGAUAAGUAAUACAGAUAAUUUAUUAAAUAAAAUAUCUAAUGCAUUACAAAAUCUAACUACAGAUUCAAAACCAUCAACACCUAAAAUAAAUACUCUAGAUCAAAUAUAGAAGAAAAUUCAAUGAAGAAUUAGAAGAAUUCAAGAAGAAUCAAUAAAUUCAGAUAUAGAAGAAAAUAUACUUUUACCAAUAGAAAAUCAAUUUGAAGAAGAAAAUAAUCAAAUAAGAAUAAAAAGAAUAAAAAGAAAAACUAUAAUAAUAAAUAAUUGGAAAAUGUAAGUUCAAAAAUUAUUAUCCAAGACCAAGUCCUCCUGACAUUCAAUAUGAAGAAAGAUCAAAAUUUAGAACAACUAAAUAUGAUGGAGAUUCAAUAUAUGAAUGGAAUAUAGAUGGCAAAGCCGAAUAUGAAGUAUUAAAUAAUUUGCAAGAAAUGGGAAUGGCAAGAUUAGCUUAUAAAAUAAAAAAUAUUCAAGAAAGAAAUAUUGCAACAUUAUUAGUUUCAGGAUUUACUGGACAAUUAAAGAAUUGGUGGGAUAAUGCUUUAACAUUACAAGAUAAAUUAUCAAUAUUAGAUCAUACACAAGAAUUAGAAGAUGAUCAAGGAAAUAUUCAAAUACAAUCAGAUGCUGCAGAAUUUCUAAUUGUAACAAUAGUUAUGUAUUUCAUAGGAAAUCCAAAAGAAGAAUUAAAUUCUAAUAAAACAUUUUUAACAAAUUUAAGAUGUCCAACAUUAUCAGAUUUUAGAUGGUACAAAGAUAUGUUUUUAACAAAUGUAUUAAGAAGACCAGACUGUAAUGCUUCAUUUUGGAAAGAAAGAUUCAUAACUGGAUUACCAAGUUUAUUUUCACAAAGAAUAAUGGAUAAUUUACAAAAAGAAAUGGGAACAGAUGUAAUUUCAUUUGAAAAUAUUACUUUUGGACAAUUAUUUGCUUUUGUGAAAAAAGAAGGAUUAAUAUUAUGUUCAGAAUUAAGAUUACAAAUAAAAUAUGGAUCUAAAACAAAAGAAGUAGGAUCAUUCUGUGAUGCAUUUGGAAUUAAAAGAAUCAAAUCACCAUCAGCAUACAAAAAAAAAUUAAAAAAUAUUCUAAGAAACCAAGGUAUAUAAAACCUAAGGAAAAUGAACCAACUAAAAAGAGAAGAUUUAUUAAAAAGAAAAUAGUUUGUUAUAAAUGUGGAAAAAUAGGACAUAAAGCAAACAAAUGUAGAUUAAAAGAAAAAAUUACAGAAAUUUGCUCUAAUGAAGAAGAAAUUAAAAAUAAACUAUUAAACUUAUUAAUAAAUGAAAAAGAACAAAGUACAGAAGAUGAUUAUUACAAUGAUAUUUCUAGUUCAGAAAGUGAAGAAAAUUGCAAUUGCACUCCAAAAUAUAUAAAUGUAAUAACUAAAAAAGAAGAUAAAGAAUUUUUAUUAGAUAUAAUAGAAAAAAUUGAUGAUCCAAUAGCCAAAAAAGAAUAUUUAGAAAGACUAAAAAGUUUAAUUAUUCAAGAAGAUAAAAUGCCAAAAAUAAUAGAACCUUUUAGUAUAUCAAAAUUAAUAGAUAAAUAUCCAAAUAUUAAUAUAAUGAAAAAAGAAACUACUAAAGAUCUUCAAUCAGAAAUUAAUAAUCUCAAAAUACAAGUAAAACAAUUACAACAAGAAAUUAUAGAAUUAAAAUUAAAAGAUUUAGAAAUAGAAUCAAAAUUAGAAUUAAUAAAUAAUCAGCCCUCAACUUCUAAUUCUAAAACAGAAGAAAUAUUAAUAUCAGAAAAAUUAGUAGAAGAAUCUCAAUAUUUAAAUACUAUUGAAAGAAUAACAUUUCAAAAAUGGUUCGCUUUAGUAACAAUUACAGUAGAAGAUUUCAAAGAAACAUUUGUAGCUCUAAUAGAUAGUGGAGCUGAUACUAGUUGUAUUAAAGAAGGAAUAAUUCUACUAAAUAUUGUGAAAGAACAAAUGAAAAAUUAAUGGCAGCAAAUGGCGAAGAUUUAAAAGUAACUUAUAAAUUUACAAAAGGAUCAAUAUGUAACAAUGAAUAUUGUAUUAGACAUAAUUUCAUAAUUGUAAAGAAUAUACAUCAUGAUGUAAUAUUAGGAACACCCUUUUUAAUUCAAAUAUAUCCAUUUUUAGUAAGUAAUGAAGGAAUUUCAGUAAAUAUAAUGGGAAAAAUUGUUAUCUUUAAAUUCUUAACUCCAAUAAAACAAAAGGAAUUACAUACAUUACAAACAUCUUCGAUAUAUAAAACAAUAAACAGUAUUACCAAAGUACAACAACAAAUAAGCUAUAUUAAAGAAGAAAAAUCUUAUCUAAAAAUUGAAGAACAAUUAAAUGAUAUCAAAAUACAAAAAAGAAUAUCCGAAUUAGAAAAAUUAUUACAAAAAGAAAUUUGUGCAGAUAUUCCUAAUGCUUUUUGGGAUAGAAAACAACAUAUGAUAGAAUUACCCUAUGAAAAAGACUUUGAUGAAAAGAAUAUUCCAACAAAAGCUAGACCAAUACAAAUGAAUUCUGAAUUAUUAGAAUUUUGUAAAAAGGAAAUAAAAAUAUUACUAGAUAAAGGAUUAAUAACUCCUUCAAAAUCACCUUGGAGCUGUGCUGCAUUUUAUGUAAUGAAUCAAGCUGAAAAAGAACGAGGAGUUCCAAGAUUAGUAAUAAAUUAUAAACCUUUAAAAAGUUUUACAAUGGAUUAGAUAUCCUAUUCCAAAUAAAAAAGAUUUGCUUAAUAGAUUAUUUAAUGCAAAAAUAUUCUCAAAAUUUGAUAUGAAAUCAGGAUAUUGGCAAAUAAUAAUAGACCCAAAAGAUAGAUACAAAACAGCAUUUACAACACCUUUUGGACAUUAUGAAUGGAAAGUUAUGCCAUUUGGAUUAAAAAAUGCACCAUCAGAAUUUCAAAAUAUAAUGAAUGAUAUUUUCAAUCCUUACAGUUCAUUCAGUAUAGUCUAUAUAGAUGAUGUAUUAAUAUUUUCAGAAUCAAUAGAACAACAUUUUAAACAUUUAAGUAUAUUUUUAAGAUAGUCAAGAAAAAUGGAUUAGUUGUUUCUGCUCCAAAAAUGAAAUUAUUUCAAACAAAAAUAAUUUUUAGGACAUAAUAUAUAUCAAGGAACAAUAAAACCAAUUAAUAGAGCUUUAGAAUUUGCUACUAAAUUCCCAAAUGAAAUAAAAGAUAAAAAUCAAUUACAAAGAUUUUUAGGAUGUUUAAAUUACAUAGCAGAUUUCUUUCCUAAAUUAAGACAAGAAUGUUCCAUAUUAUUUAAUAGAUUAAAGAAAAAUCCAAAACCUUGGACAGAAGAACAUACUCAAAAAAUAAAAUAUUUAAAAACAAAAAUAGAAUCAUUACCAUGUUUAUGUCUACUCAUCCUAAAGCAUUCAUGAUAGUUGAAACAGAUGCAUCAGAAUUAGGAUACGGUGGAAUAUUAAAACAAAAAUAGAUAAUUCAAAAGAAGAAUUAGUUAGAUUUCAUUCAGGAACAUGGUCUGAUCCUCAAAAGAAUUAUUCAACUAUUAAAAAAGAAAUUUUAUCCAUAGUUUUGUGUAUAUCCAAAUUUCAAGAUGAUUUGUAUAACAAGAAAUUUUUAAUUAGAAUAGAUUGUAAAUCUGCAAAAGAGAUUCUACAAAAAGAUGUUCAAAAUAUAGUUUCAAAACAAAUAUUUGCAAGAUGGCAAGCUAUUUUAUCUGUAUUUGAUUUUGAGAUUGAAUUUAUCAAAGGAGAAAAUAAUUCUUUACCAGAUUUUCUAACCAGAGAAUUCCUACAAGGACAUGGAUCCAGCAACGAUGGCAAAUGCUCGUGAAUAUGCAAAUUAUUUGAGAACUCAACGAGAUUCUCUCAGCCUUCAAAAUAAAGAAAAAUCGAUUCAAUCCAGAGGAUAUGUCUAUUCCAUUCAGACUCCAAAUGGAAGACAAUUUAUUCCCUCUUACCAAAUUCCUAAAUACGAUGAAAUUUAUAUUCACAAAAGUCCCUAUGCAACCAUUACUCCAAAAGAAAGAGCCUUUCUUAUACAAAGACAAAUUCAGAAAAACACUAUCAGACUUCUUACCCAUCAGAGAUUAAGCAGAAGUGGAGAUUUUCUUCACAACGAAUUUAUUCAACAUUACCAAAAACAGAACAGAGAAUUAUCUGAUCAACUUAAAGAUGUUGUUUAUUAAUUUUGCAGGAAAAUGGAUUCAAAAGCAGGAAGUUCCAGGCCAAAGACUCCUCAGGAUUAUGAGAUGAGUCUUACCCCUGUAACUCAAAAUAGAUUUCAACUUUUAUCAGAUUUCCCAGCAUUGACUUAUAGUCAGGCUGCUACUCCAAUUAUUUCUCCAAUUAGACCCAUUCAACAACUAGCAAAAUCCCCAGAAAAAUCUCAAGGAAAUACUUAUUUCACAAAGCCAUUUACUCAACAUAUUACUUUAACCAGAUUCCAAGAAAUACCCAUAUACUCUACUCUUCAUCAAGUUACUCAAAGGAUCUUUCCUCCAAAAUGCUAUUGGCAACCAGAUGACCCUUCAAAAAAUCUAGAUUAUUAUGAAUUAAUCCUUACAGAUACUCAAUCUGUAGAGAUUUACCCAUUCCAGAUAAAAAGAAUCCAACAUUAUUAGCCAUUCUAAGUGUAUUAUAAAGAAAGUUUGUUCUCCUAAUGAAUGACUUCUCUUUAUUCCAAAAAAUCCUUUUCAGUGAACUUUAUUCCAGAUGGAUUUACAUAUCAAGAUUACAAAAUGGCAUGGUAUCGUGCUUCCUUUUUAGACCAUUCAACCAUUCCUGGUUCUUCACAUUCAAAGACAGUUGCAGUAAAGAAUUCCCAAUUUGGUUCAAUCACUGGUGGAAAUGGUUUGGACCCCAACCAGAAAUUCUACCUCCAAAUGUUCUCAUGGGAUUUCAAACAUAUCUAAAAAGAGCAAAGGGGGAAGAGUAUACAAGACCAAUUUUAUUCCACAUGGAAUUCAAAGUGCCAUGGAUAUUUUGCUGGAGUUUCAAAAUUCAUCAAGAACUGGAAAAACCUCUGCCAAUGUCAUUGGUAAGAGAAUUCAAAAUAAAAUGGUGGACUGGAUUCAAUCAAGAAUUUGGCGAUCAAACUAAUGUGAUCAGAUUCCUGACCAUGGAGACAAAUUAAAGUGGACAGCUACUACCACUACUCAAAAGGAGACAAGACAGUCAACAAUCAUUCCAACCACUACACCAACUCCACUCACUCCAAAAAGAGACAAAGAAAAAGUGACGGAAAUGGCAUCCGAAGAAACAGCCAGUAACUUUUUAAUAAAGCAAAUCAUGCAGAAUCCCGAGAUGCUGAAAGAAUAUCUGAAUUAUUUACAAAAGCCAAAAGAAGAAGACAAAAUAGAGGAGCCAGCAGGAUCAUCUGAAUCUACUUUUGAUCCUUUUGAUGAUCCCAUCGGUGGACAAAAUCCAAACGACUUUUGAAAAAGAAUGUCGGCCACAACAAAUGAAAGCAAAAUUGAAAUUCAAAUGAAGAUGAAAUGCAGAACCGAGCCUCUAUAAAUAGAUUCAAGAUUCAGAAGACAGGCAUCGGCGAAAAAACCAUCAGAGCAAAGUUAGAAAAACUCAUUGUAAUAACCACUCCCACAUAUUUCCAUACAUAGUCAAAGCCUUGUAUUAAAUAUUCAAACCUCUUGUAUCAUUUUGUCAAACAAGUUUGGCAAGUUUCCAUUGUUGAAUUCAAGCUUCCGAUUGUGCACUCUCAAAAGUCAAGUAAGUUUCAUUAAUUACAUUCUAAGUCCCUACAAUAUUUAAAAAAUGAAUACAAAAGAGACACAAAAUUUAUAUGGUAGAAUAAGCUCAUCGAGUAUUCGAGCAUAGCAUUCUAAUAUUCAAACUUGUCUUCUCAUUUAAGUAAUUGAGUAUGCUCGACCUCAAUUCGAACUCGAUCAAUGAUCGGCCAAAUCUAGUAAUUGAUUAAGCUAUUCACAAAUAGCUUACGAGUAGCUCAAUAGCAUUUGAGGGACGGAGAUAUAGGGAGGGAGAGAGAAAAUAGAGAAGAGAAGAGAAGAAAUGAGAGAGAAAAAAAGUGGUGUGAGAGAGAGAGAGAGAAAAGAAGAGGAUGGUAGCAAGGAAGAAGAGAGAAGAGAAAGGGAGAAAAGAGAUAGCAAAAGGUAGAAGAAAGAUGAAGUAGUAGGAAAAAAUGAGGUGUAGGAAUGGGGGCUGACGAUAGGUGGUGGUGAGUGACUGGAAAAGUACAAUGAGGAUGAUGUUUGCAAUACAACAUUAAAUAUCCCAAAAAUACAUCCAUAAUGGAAACUUUUAAAUAUACAACUUUAGUAAAGUGUUUUUUAUAACCUAAUCAAUAUGAGAAAAAAGAGGAGAGGAGGAAAGAUAGGGUAACUGAAAAAGAGAAAAGAAAAGUGGUGGAGGAAGUAAGAAUGAAAAGGGAGAAGUGGUAGCUAUGUGAACGUGGCAAAUUUGAUACUAGCGAGUGACAGAGGUGGUAGUGAUGGUGACAAUGGUGGAGAAAAAAGAGAGAGGAGAAGGGGCGGUGGUGAUUACUAGUGGUUAAUGCGAUGAGUGGUGGGUGAAGAGCCAUAUAGUUUUGCAACCAUCAACAAUAUAUUUUAAAUACUAAAUAUCUCCUAAAUAAUAUAAAUAAUUAUAGGAAUUUGAAAGAAUUUCAAAUUUUUGCCAAAUCCCUCAUUUCAAAUACUGGCCUAAGGUUUCCAAGCACUCUGAGUAAUAUAUAUAUCCUUUAUAUAUAUAAGAAGCACUUGGCCUUUUACUGUUGCUGGGAUUUCGAGUGCAUCUCCGUGCUUGAGGAUGUUGUACAUUGGAGUGCACUUUUUGAUGGUUUGUUUUUUGUACGUUGCUUUUGUGGUUCUCAUUGUGGUUCAGGCUGAGAUUUCUGCCUUUUCCUUGUGGCUCGUGGACCCCACAUUCAUUGCAUGUAUAGUUCAGGCUGAUAAUGGAUGUUCCAACUUAUUCAAUUAAAAAAUAUUAAUUUUUUUAAAGAAUUAAACUCCAAUUGAACUCUUGAAUGAAAAUUAAAAUUAAACUUUUGGGAAAAAUUAGAAAAACUUCAACUAAAUUAUUGAAUUGUAUGAUGAUAUACCUAACAAUCAUGAAAAAAAAAUGAAGAGUUAUGAUAGGCAUAAUAAAAGAUGGAUUUAGAAAUAUUAAAAUUCAACUCCAAUUCAAGAUAGAUAAUUAAACUCCAAUUAAACUUCUGAAUUAAAAUUAAAAUUAAAUUUUGGGAAAAAUUAAAAAUAAAAUUCAACUAAAUUAUUCAACUAUAUGAUGAUAAACCUAAAAAUUCAAGAAUUAUUUCGAAGUCAUAUAUAAUAAUUGAUGAUAUUCUUGGAUAGGUUUUGGGAUGAAGAUAAAGAUCAGAUAGAUUUUACUCUUAAUUAUGAUAGACCUGGUUAUUAUGAAAAAAAUUCAAGAAUUAUGGUCCUUUUAUAUAUAUAAGACACUUGACCCUUUUACUGUUGCUGGGAUUUUGACUGCACCUCGGUCCUUGAGGAUGCGUUGCACGCUUGGUUUAUUGCUUUUGGAAUGUGGACCUCAUUUUACCAUCACACUGGAACGUUGUGUUUCUCAUUGUGCUUCAGGCUAGGAUUUUUGCUUCCUUCCUUCUGGACCGUGGAGCCCACAUUGAUUGUAUGUAUAGUUCAGGCUGAUAAUGGAUAUUCCCAAAUUAUUCAAUUAAAAAAUAUAAAAUUUUUUGAAGAAUUAAACUCCAAUUAAAUUCUUGAAUGAAAAUUAAAAUUAAACUUUUGGCUAAAAUUAAAAUAAACUUCAAGUAAAUUAUCAUACACAUAAUAAUCGCAACUCAUAGAUUUAGAAAUAUUAGAUUUCUGAAUUAAAAUUAAAAUUCAACUCCAAUCAAAAGAUGGAUUAAAACUCCAAUUAAACUCCAAUUCUAAAUUAAAGAUGGACAAUUAAACUCCAAUUAAACUUCUGAAUUAAAAUCAAAAUUAAACUUUUGGGAAAAAUUUAAAAUAAACUUCAACUAAAUUAUUGAACUAUAUGAUCAUAGACCUCACAAUCAUGGAAAAAAUUCAGAAUUAUGAUCAACAUAAUAAUUUGGAAGUCAUAGAUUUAGAAAUGUUAAAUUUAUGAUAUAUAUAAUAAUAAUAUAUAUAAUAAGUGAUGAUAUUUUUAGAUAGAUUUUGGGAUGAAGAUAAAAAUCACAUAGAUUUUACUCUUAAAUAUGAUAGACCUAACAAUCAUGAAAAAAAUUCAAGAAUUAUUGUAAACAUAAUAAUUUGGAAGUCAUAGAUUUAGAAAUGUUAGAUUUAUGUGAUAUAUAUAUAAUACACAAAGAUGUAUAUAUAUAUAUAUAAAUAAUAGUAAUAAUAAUAUACACAAUAAGUAAUGAUAUUUGUAGACAAAUGUGAUAUAUAUAUAAUAUACAUAAAGAUAUAUAUAUAAUAAUAUAUAUAUACAAUAAGUGAUGAUAUUUUUAGAUAAAUCUUGGGAUCAAGAUAAAGAUCACAUAGAUUUUACUCUUGAAUUUUGACCAAGGAGUUAAAUCAUCUAGCUGGAAGGUUAAAUCAAUUGUCUGCCACUACCUUUUGUUUUUUACUCUUUUGGUCAUUUAGAUGCUUAUUUUCUGGCCUUCUGUGCUUCCAAGCUUGGCUAUUUUUGUCAUUUUGACUUCCCUUGUCUCGGUUUUCCAUAUUUCUUAUUUUUUACUGAUGGAGCUACAAUACAGAGGGAGGACAGAUUCAUGCAAAUAGUUUGCUACAUGCACAUAACCAGUUUACAUGCAAAUUCCCCUGCAUUGACUACUUGCUUGACAUCAGGUAUUCUUUUAUCCUCAACCAAAUUUACUUAGGAUUAGCUGUUCAUUUCUUGAUAGUACUAUGUAUUUGUUUGAUGUGAAUCUUUGCUCAGGUGUUUCAGCUAAAUCUUUCAUCAAGUGUUUCAGAUCAGCAGUGAUUUCCUGUCUUCAUGGAGGUCUUGUACUCUUUUUGCUUGCUUUAGUUGCUUUCUACUUAUGUAUUCGUUAGCUUCCUGUUUUUUACGUAGAUAGUUUGUUCCUUACGCAUCAAUAUAUAUAGUUGUUUACAUCCUACAAAGAAUACAUAUCUGUGUAUACGCCUACAUUUUUCUUCCUCUGUCUUUGCCUGGUUGGUCUCUGUGUAUAAGAAACAUGAGCUGCUCUAAGCUGUUCGUAAGGGAUGAUCCUGAUAAACUUCGUGAGAAAAAGGAUAGCCGAAAUUGUAAAAAGAGGGAAAAAUUUGCUGCCCUUUCGGCUGAAGAAAAAGAAGCUUGUCGAUAAAGAAUAGAGAGGCUUAUUAUAGAAAAAAAUUGGAAAAAAUGCUUUCCAAGUCCUUGCCAGAGCAAUUUCAACAGGCUUGCAAAUCACCAACUUCUGUAUCUGUUAUGCAUACCCUUGCUGCUGAAUAAUGUUCUCACGGUACAUGCUAAUUCCAACACUCUUAUUAUAUUUUCAUCAUCCGUCUGUUCACCAUUCACUAUUUCCCUUACGUGGUUUAUGUUUACAUUUGAAUGAUAAAGUUAGCAAAGUAACUGAUUCUCAAAAUGUCAAAGACAAAGAGAACGUUCAUCGAAUUAUUGAUUGUAAUCAAGGUUAGCCAUACUAUUUAUUGUUCUGUAAGCAACAUAUUUACCUAUACUAAAUUCACAUUUUUUGUAAAUCAUUCGUAACUGUUUCCCCUAAUCAAUUGUUAUACUCUCAUUUUACAGGACACUGCAGAGGUACUAUUUCUACAUAAGCUACUAUAUUAUGAUCACUUACACUUUUGAUUGUUUCUUAUGCUGAUCAUUAAUUUUAAUAAGUGCUGUAAAAUGUGGUAUUCAAAUUUCUGAGUCUGCAAACAAUAGUGUUGAACUAUCUCAUACUCAGUCGAGUAAAAAGUCAAAGCAACAGAUUUCUUCAUUCUCAACGUAUGAGAAAGGUAGAUUAGAUAGUUCAUUUCCAAUGUAUUGUUUAUACUCAGAUUAUAAGCAUUAUUCUAUUGAUACAAUGAUUUAUUUUCAAUUUUUAAACGCAGGAUCUACAUCUAACUCUGAGACAAAACAUACGUGCCUAGCUUUUACACAUAGUGCAGGUCAUUUAGGCUUCAAAAGUCAUUAUUGAUUGGUGUUCAUUAUAUAUAACCAUGAACAUUACGAUUAACACUCAUAUUAGUUAGCUUUUUUGGUUAUCAGAUGAAUCAUUUAUAUGUAUGAACUGCUACAAAUUUUUGACAGAAAUUGCUGAAGAGGCUUCAGGUGAUAAAUGUUUUUCCAACUUUUUAACAAAAGUUCUGAUAUCAUUAUUUGUAACAAUUUGAUGAACUUUAUCUUUAAUAGAUUUGUCAGCUAUCCUCCCAACAUACCAAGUGUAUCAGCUUCCCGAUAGUGGCUCUGCUAGAAGAAGGACAACUGGAGGUUACUACCUUGAAUCUUAUACUCAUUGUAUCUAUUAGCUUUAAUGUCUCAUCCAAAUACAUUAAACUCUUUAAUUGCUUUUGCUAUCCCUGAAAAUACUUCACUUCAAUGGUCCAAAUGAUAUUUAUGAUUACCACUCACAUACAUUCAAUGCUAUUACAACUCAUUUCUUCUGGUAGCCUUCCAAAGCCUCAAUAUCAGCAUAUCUCACUCAUUCACAACAUCACUUUCACAUGCAUAACUAAUAGUUGAAAUCACUUCUGAUUAUACAUAAUUGAAUUAUUCAGGUAGAACACAUUCAUCAAUGAAACAAAUGAAAGCCAUAAGUAGUAGAAAGAAAAAAAAAAGAGGUAUACAUUACAGACCAUUACUUGUUGCUUUUCUACAUAAUUAUUUUGACUCUCAACCUUUAGUUUCACUCAAGUAAUUGAUAAUUUUACAGCUAAUCAAGUUGUUGAUGGAGUUCAUGCACUGCAGUUUAUUAAUGAGAAUGCAGAUAGAUUACCUACUAAACCUGAUUGUCAAUACUGUGGAGCAAAAAGGAUGCACUCGGAGACACCUAAUUUCUGUUGCUCUGACGGACAAGUAGUUCUACAUGAAAAUAGGCUUCCAGAUAUUCUUGUAGAAUUAUUUACUGGUCACUCUAAUGAAGCUUUAUCCUUCCGCACAUAUGUCAGAACAUAUAACAAUAUGUUUGCUUUUACUUCUUUUGGUGUACACUAUGAUAAAUCGCUUUGCAAGAGAACAAAUGGUAUUUAUACAUUCAAAGUUCAAGGACAGACCUAUCACUUCAUCAAAGACCUUAUUCCGCAUGGAGGAUGUGGAUUAUAUCUACAGCUUUAUUUCCAUGAUACAGACCAUGACUUCAAAAUAGAAUGGCAGUUUCCGAAAGAUUAACAGAAAGUAUAGUAAUGAGAAUCAUGGAACUGAUGAAAUCUAAUCCAUACGCAUGCUUUCUGCGAAGCCUCAGAAAUGUUCCAAAUUUAUAUUCAUAUCAAAUAGUGCUCAAAUCACAUUCAGAAAAUGAUCAACGAGUGCUCAAUCAUCCAACAGCCUCUCAAGUUGCAGCUCUUUGGACAGAAGGACAAAACUCAGAAUCAAGUUAUGCUAGACACAUCCAAAUUUAUACAAAAGAAGGGAGGGAUCACCUGGUGCAAUACUAUUAUGGUUGUUACGAUCUUCUAUAGUAUCCACUAUUAUUUGGACUUGGUGAAACAGGCUGGCAUCCUGGCAUCAGAAGAGUGACCAGAGAGAAUCCAAAAAGAGAAAAAGAUGUAUUCGGAAAACCAAAUGUACUGCUGUUCUGGCCAAUUACAAAUCUGCUGAAGAAAUGAUAUUUGCCGAACAACAAGGUACUUCCUCCUUAAUCUGACCCACAGUUUCGGGUGGCGAGAAAGCCAAUAAAAUUCUCCGGCAUGCCUUGCUACUCUCCUCACAGUUACUACUGCUACUGCUUGGUACGGCGGAGCAUCACAGAAAACAUCACGAAAGAAAAUAUCAUGAAAGAAAAUAUCAUGAAAUCGCACUCUACUAGUACCAUAUAUUUUGCCUCUUUAUACAUACAUCUACCUGUGAUUAAUAACAGAAAAAGGAUCCCCAGCAGCUAAACCACCAAAAAAAAAAAAAAAAAAAUCAAUAAUCCCAUCUUCAUCUUUGUAACCCACCGUCAUUUCGCAAUUCAUGAUAGUCGCCAGUGUUGAAUGAUAAUGGAACUCCCCGGCAGGCAGGAAGGCGGCGGGCAAAUCAAGAAAGAAUGAAUGUAGACACUACCAGACUGACUUAAAAAGAAUAGUACGCCAAAAAACUGUAGCAAAGUGCUACUGACUGCUACUGCAGUUGUAGUAGUAAUGUCUACUACAACUCUACAUAGGAUAGGAGCGAGUACAAUUGCAGAGGAGAGGAGAAGACGGGACUCGCCUCUCCGGGACUCCUAGUCCAACGCAUUCGGACCGGCACAGGCCUUCAAAACAGGACUCCAGAUCCACUGCACCAAAAACUUCCUACCCCUCCUCCCCUUCACGUUGUACGUCCUUCCCUCUCUGUCCCUCAUCACCUGCCCGAUGUACCCACCCCCGCCCCCCGUCCCGUACAGCCCCUCGCACAGGUCCCCGAUCUCCGUCGGCGCCGUGGGGUCCUCCCCCGCGUACCACGCGUUCACCAGCGGGUUCGAUGCCAGCUCCGCCAGCUCGUGCCCGAUCACGCUUAUCAUCCCGUCCACCCCCACGUCCGCAUUCGGAGGGGCCAGCGCUCCCGGCCCGCCUCCCCCCAUGUACCCGGGCACGGCGAACGGGUACGCGCACACCUCCGGGCACUGCUUCCCGGAGUUGCCCACCCAGGCGUACGGCAGCGUGUAGCCCACCACGGACGGGAAGGUGAAGUAGUGGAAGCCGCAUACGGCCCGGCAGAAGUCCUGGACGGUGACGUCCCCGGAGGUGAGGAUGAGAUAGAUGCCGUUCUUGUGGUCGACGGGGAAGGGCUUGGAUCGGACCGCUGCAGCGAUGACCUGCUGCAUGGAGAGGCGGGUGAGGUGGGUGCCUUGGGAGCAGCGGGUGUCGGAGUACUCGCCUGCGACGAGGACGGAGCUGGAGAUGUUGGCGCCGGUCUGGUCGGUGUAGAGGGAGACGGUGCGCCACCACUGGGAGACGGAGGGGGAGGGAGCGGCGCGGCGAUCGGAGGUGGAGAUGGAGAGGAGGAAGUCCUUGAUGAGGAGCUGGUGGGAGGCGGCCCAGCGGCCGUACCAGAUGAGGUAGAUGUUGAUCGGGGAGGAGAGGACGGGGCCCAUGUGGUAGCGAAGGUCGACCAAGUCGGAGGAGCCCUCAAAUUUCUUGGAGGCGGAGAGGGACUUGGGGGGAAGCUUUGGGUUGAAGUAGGAGUCCGAUUGUGUUUGGAGAGUCUGCUGCUUAGCCGAGGAAUUGGAGGCGGCAGCAGCAUUGUUGAAGGGGACGAUGAGGAGGAGGAGGAGAAGAAGCAGCGGCAAUAGUGUCUGUGCUCCUCCUCCUCCUCUUACUGCUGUUUUAAUCAACAUUUUUGCGUGUAAAUUUUUUUUAUAAAAUAAAGUCACUUUCCUCCUCCGGGAGGGGAAUAAAAGUAUAGCGCCAGAAAUGGAAAUGGUUGAGGCGGGGGAAGGGGACUGGGAAGAGGAGGGAACAGCGGUAGGGAAGCAAGGGGGAAGUUUGCGUUUGCCGCGAGUGAGGAGAGGGUUUCUCUGAUCUGUGAAUUUAUAGGAAAGGGAGAAGGAAGUCCCUACUCCGAUUUCUGAAACUCUCCAAGAAGUUCUUUUUUUUUUUAAAAAAAAAAAAGUGUGUAUUAGGACAGUAGUGUCGCACACACAAAAGUGUGGGUGUGUGUGUGGGGAUCUCUCUGCGCUGUGGUUUGGGAGGGAAAUGGGCUGGUGACAGCUAUUAUCAGGGAUUUGGAUUUCAAUUCAUUUUAUGUGGGCACGGGCACAGCAGUCGAGUACCGACCAGUGUCAAUUGCGCUUUUUGAGUUAUUUUAACAAAUUUAAACUCGACUCACAAAUUCAUAUAUUAUAUGAAUGAUUGGAUAUUGAGCUUUUGGACUUUAAGCUCACAUUAAAAGGAUUAAACUUAAUUCACAUUGCUAUAUUAUAAGAGUUUGGAGCUCAAAUUGACAUUGAUCCAAAGUCAUGAUUAAAUACAUAAUUAUAUAUAGAAUUAAAUGCAAAAAAGCCUCACGAAUUUAUUGCACUAGUUGCAUUUUGCAUCCUAAAUUAUUUAAUAGGCACUUUACAUCCUUAGUCAAUUAGAAAACAGUAAGAAAAUUAACUCUAUCCAAAUAAUUGAUGAAAUGACCCAUUUAUCAUCCACUAAAAGCUUGUAAAAUGACAAAAAUAAUUUUUUGGUAGGGAAAAUUGUCACCUUAAAUGGAUUAAUUUUCACUUCAUAAUAAAAUUCUGACUGAAAACAUAUAACAAUAAAAUAUAUGAUCACUUUGAACUCCAACUCAAACAAAAGAAGCAGGAAAAAAAAUAAGAAAGGGAAUAAAUUCAAUUCAAGAAUCUUAGUAACCCCUUUUUAUUUUUACAUAUUUGAAGUUAGCCUAGGGAAAAAAAAAUUUGUUAUCGAGCAAAUUUAAAUAAUUUUGGAGUUUAAUUUGGAGUCCAAUACUAAUAUGUGAUUUUUAAUUUUGGUUCGGUAUUGCAACUUUAUUGUAGUUAUUGUGCUAAAUUCAUAUGAAAAAUUUUGGAUGCUACUCUAAUUUUAUUCUUGUAAAGAUUUCAAGUGAAAAUUUGCUCAUUAUAUGAAGUUAUGGCAUUAUGAUGCACUAAAGAAAAUUAUGAGAUUCUAAAAUUGCAACAAUAGUCGUUUAAUAUUUCCAUGCCUUGCCCUCAUUUUGACUUCACUAGUCUUAAUUCUCAUUCAAAACAAAGCAGUAUUUUUUUAUGUGUUAAUAAAUAGACUUUUUGAUAUAAAGUGAAAAUUAGUCUAUUUAAAGUAGUAAUCUUUCCCGCCAAAAUAACAAUUUUGUUACUUAAGUUUUUAAUGGAGAAUAAAUUGGUCAUUUCAUCAAUUGCUUUGAUGAAAUUAAUUUUUGAAUUAUUUUUUAGUCGACCAAAUGUGUAAAGUGCCUAUUAGUAUGCUAUAGGGUGUAAAGUGUAACUAGUGUAAUAGUUCGUUAGAGUUUUAUACAUUUAAACCUUAUAUAUAAGAUAUAUUUUAUAAUUAUGAAUUAAUACAAAUUUAUAUAAAUUAUUAAUAUUUUAUAUCCUAAUAUGUAUAAUUAUAAAUUAUAGAUAUUAUUAUAUAUUUUUUAUAUAUAUAAUUAUACUCAUAUAUGGGUUAGAGUUUAAUUGUGCUCGAGUCUAGAAUAACCCAAACCCAACUUACAUUUAAUUUGGUCCUAAUAUUUAGUUCCACACUCCCUCCAUCCCCAUCAAAGCAUAGGUUUGGUGAGCUUUUUUCGGGCUGGACUGACAGAACUCGGACUGGCUGCACUGGUAUACCACAUGUAUCAAAAAUGUGUCCUUUCGUUUCCUUUUCCUGCCUCUCUGUCUGUCUCCUUACUUUUAAUUGGACCGCAAUGUACAUGUAGCAUUAGCUCGCAGGACCGGACGGGAAUGACCAUGGACACGGACAUGGUGGCAAAAUGAGCGGAAUUUUAAUUGGACCGCAAUGUAUCAGGCACGAGACUUGUAAUCAAAAGAGAGAAUAUUCCUUAUUUUUCUAUCUAAUGUAAAAUUACGUAGUUUCACGUAUUAAUAUUACUGAUGUGACACAUAAUAUUGAAUGUAUAUUUAAGAGAUGUUUGAUAAAUGGGUUUCAAAUUCAGUAAUAUCCGUAAAUAAUGAUUGUUUAUGUUUAAUUGUACCAAUAAUCUUCUACUUUGGAAUUUCACGCCGCAUGAUUCAUAUGAGAUUAGGCAAUCAUUUGAGGAUGGGAUUCUUGAGUUUGUCAGAGUUACAGUUACGUGCAGUCAUGUGAAUUUGAUAUCCAUUUACCAAACACUCCCUAAAUAUGCAUUCAAUGUUGUGUCACAUCAGCAGUAUUAAUAAGUGGAACUACGUAGUUUUACAUUCAACUGGAAAAAUGGACAUAAGAUCCUAUCCUCUAAUAUACAGUAUGGGUUUAAACUUUAAACCCAACCAAUCCUAUCCUAAACAUUUGUUGUGGGAUUAUUAGGGACGGGAUUAAUUUGAGCUAUGCCCGACUUAGGCUAGCACCUUUUUUUUUUUUUUUUUUUUUUAGUGUUUUGUUCGUACAAGCAGUAAUGUAUUUCCAAAUAACGACUUAUGUUAAAUCAAGUUAAUCUCUUGUUAUUGAGGUAGUAAUUAUAUUGCCAAAGAAAAGUAUUAUAGUAAUUAUGUCAAUUUUUUUUAAUGGGUGCUAUGUGAUUCCUAGAUAAAUCCUAGCUAUUCCAAAUUUUUUUUAUCUAAUUUUUUUGUACAUAGAAAAAUAGCUGCACGUAAAUGCAUUCAAAACGUUAAAUUUUUUCUCAUUUAUUUUUAAAAUAUUAAUUGUGCGUUCCUUAUAAAAUUAAAAUUAAAUUAGUGGUCUUGGCCUAAAUUUUUGAUAAUUUUUUCACCUUAUUUACACACAAAUUUACUUGCAUUAUCAGCGUAUUUUUCAAUUACUUUUUUAUAUUACAUAUAUUAAUAAAAAAAACUUACAAUAAUAUUAUUCUUUUAUAAAAAUUAUUUCAAAUAAUUUCCUAUCCAAACGCGCUUGUCUCGUGACUUGUGAGUUAUGACUCCAUUAAGGAAAACGCCAUCGGAUACGUUGCUGCAAAAGUGGAGUGGGGAUAAAUAAAGUGUUGAUCAGUCUCUUGUUGACUCCCCGCACCCACAGAACACGCUAGCUAGCAGUAGGCCGGAGAGUUGACUAGGACGGGGCAGCGGUGGCGACCAGAAACGCAGAAUAGGAGGAGGACGUCCCCAAAAAAGAUCAAAAGUCAAGCCGAGAAGCCACCGGAAAACUCCACUAAGAGUAAAUUACAAAAAGAAAUUAAAAAAAAAAGAGAUUAUCCAUAUAUAGUUUUUUUGUCAGUCAUGUAAUGGUAGUAUCAUUAAGUAAGUGGGGUGGUUUAUUAAGAAGGUCAGGUGGCAAAAGCCGCAAAGACUUGGCUGCUUUUGCUUCCAGCUGCUGCCGCCUUGCUCGGUAGACCCGGCGCCCCAAACCUACCUAAUCGGGGCUUCUUUCGAUUUUAGGUGUAGAAAUGGGGAAGUGGUGGCGGUGCGAUAUCCGCUAUCUUCUCCUGCUUGCUGUGAUCCCUUUCAUCUACGUCCAGGUCCCUCUCUCUAUCUCUCUCUGCCCACAUUGCUUCCAUUUCUGUUAUCGAUAAACCCUAAUUUUUCUCCUUUCAUUACUCCUCCUAUUUCCUUAAUGACGAUUUCAGCUUUUUAUUGAACAUGCUCACCGUGGUUAUGUGAUUGGAAUCUAUCCCUUUUUUGGGUCUCAGAUGCGGCUCUUUGGCACCCAGACUGACUAUGCUGAUCGUCUUGCUGCUGCUGUAUGUAUGCCCUUUCUCUUAAUUCACUUCCAUAUUCUUCCAUACCUCUUGAACAUAUCCUGUUUCUUUAGGGAUUUUCCAUUUCAUUUUAACUAUUUGGCUAUUAAAUCAUGCCCGUACGUGUAAGCUCAUGCAUCCCAUAUUUCCGUUUUUACUAUGGCAAAUGGGGUCUAUACUACUUUUUACUUGGAGGUGAACUCAUGGAUGCUUCUAGGUAUUAAAACUCUGCUAAUUUCAUGUGGAUACAGCGUAAUGCUGUCAAUAAAGGCUUCAAGGUCUAAAGGAUUGAAACUUGAAUCUCCUUCAGGGAAGAAGAAACUAACUGAAAUGUGUGGAGAAGAAUCCUUUAGGAAGGGGGUGCCAAAUUGCAAAAUUCCAGCUUAUUCACAUGGUGUCUUUUGCUGAUUUUAUCACUAAGUUUAACGUUGGAAACUAAUUACUUUGGGGUCUUCUGUUUGACUUUGACAAUAUUUCAAUGACUCAAAUUGCUAAACCUCUAAUUUUGCACAUGGACUGUUUGUUGAGUAAAUUCGCAUUUUUCCCACAUUACUGUCAGUUAAUGCGUAAUAGUUACCCUUGCUUAAAACUGGGGAGAACAUAUGUACCUGAGACAUGGUAGCUUGUUGAUUACAUUAGGUAGAAGCAGAAAACCAUUGCACUAGCCAGACACGAUUACUGAUUGAUCAGAUUAGCAUGCAACAAGGAAGGAUUGUGGCCCUUGAAGGUAUGCUAUACAGACACAUUCACACACACUGACAUACAGGCAUACAUGUUCUUCAAUCCUAAUAUUUUGUUAUUUUGUUUCUAACCAUUCUAUGUUGUUGGAAGUUGUAUGCUCCUAUCGACCAACAUUUGCAAAAGGAACACUAUUGUAGUAUGAGCAGCACUGGGAAUUAGACAAAUAAAUAUUCUGCAUCAUGCAUGGAAAGUUCAAUUUUUUGGUGCUAUAAUUUGUGAUGAAGGAAAGAACAGGAAGCCGGGUUUCACGUUAUGUGUUUCCUCUUCAUCCUUUUGCAGAAACCAUAUCCUAAUAGCACUUAAUUGCUUGUAUAUGGUUUGAAGUCUGACUUACUUCAACUGUUUCAGGGAUAGUGCAUUAUUAUGAUAUUUGCUUCCUUCAAUUAUCAGAGAGAUGUGGGAUUUUUAUUUGGCCUGCCUGACCUGAGUUUUUGCUUAUCAUUUCAGAAGAAAAGAUGCGUCAGGACCAGGAAUGCAGACAAUUGAGGGCACUUGUUCAAGAUCUUGAGAGUAUGUUCACACUACUUAUUGAUGUUUCUGUGUCUUGGCGACGGUGCCAUUAUACAGUAAAUUUUCUUUUGGCUAAUGAUAGAUCAGCUAAUAAAGAGCUAUAUGAUGUUCUCGGGAGAACUCACAACACCCAUUAGAGCUAUGUGAUCCUGACAUUUUUCUUUCAUCCCCGUGUUUUUUUCUUUCAUGAAUCUGUAGGGGAGUGCCUUGGACUAAUAUGAAAUAUUUUUUAGGGCAGUUGAAAUCCUGUAUAUGUCUGAUCCACAAGUACAUAACUAAAUGGGAUGACAAUGUAAAUUGUUCUACUUAUCCAACCCCCCCCCCCCCCACCACCCACCAAAAAAAAAAGGUUUUCACACUUCUGCUAUAGCUUUUAAAUGAACCCUUGUCUCUUAGAAUAUCAUGUCAAAAACAGUACAUACAUGGAGCUACUUCUGUUCUUUUGUUUCUGAUUUCCUAAAUUAGGUCCAUAUUUGGUCAAGACAUUACAUCAUCUCAUAUAUCAUUUCAAAGCAAUAAGCACCCGACCUCACACCUAUUUAUGUGAAUAAGUUUAUUGGCUUGUGCAUGAUGGGUGACACUGAUGUUCUCUUGUUGUAGGGAAGGACCUGAAGAAGUUAAUUAGCAAUGUGCAGGUUCACUGUGAAAUAAGAAAAUUUUGUUAUAGCCUACUUGAUUAGAGAUCAUAGCUUACUGUAUUCCAACUAUUUUGUUCUUUGUAUAAAUCAGGUGCCAGUAGCAGCCGUUGUAGUAAUGGCUUGCAAUCGUGCUGAUUACCUUGAAAGGACCAUCAAAUCUAUCCUCAAGUAUGUUUGUGUUUAUAGCUACUGUUUGGAUUGAUGGAAUUGAAAAGGAAAGGCAAGGAAAAGGAGGGAUUAUGUAUUUUAUUUUGGAUUGAUUUUUUGAGGAGGGAAAGGGAUGGGGAAGAUAAGUUUUAAAUGUUAAGUUCAUUUUUGUCCUAAAGUAUGUGUGCUGCGAGGGAAAGGAACAUUUUGAUUAAUAGUUUUAAAAUAUAUACUUUCUAGACAGAAACUUUGCUAUUUGAUUCCUUGCCUUUCUAUCUCACAGUUUUUUAAACAUGUCCUCUAUUUGCCUUUCACAUCUAUCGAAUCAAAAAAUAAAGUAAUACUACCACCCUUUACUUUUUUUUCCACCAUUAUCUUUUCCUCUCAUUUCCUUUCAAUCCUAAGGGUGCCCAAGCAUUAUUCUUCUGCUAAGUAAAAGAGUCGUACGGGAUUUUACCUGACCAUUAUUGGUAUGUUCUUCAUGUCAACCAGAUAUCAAAAGUCUGUCGCAUCAAAAUUUCCUCUCUUCAUAUCACAGGUACAUUGAUGAGGUGGAGAUUGUCUCUUCUAUUUGAUAUUUUGUGUUUGAUGAUACUUGUGGAGAUAGGCUGCAAUUUUCAUUUUUUUUUCUUUUCUAUGAGCAGGAUGGUUCAGAUCCAAAUGUUAAAAAUAGGGCUUUGAGUUAUGAUCAGCUGACAUACAUGCAGGUAUUUCUUGUUAUUUGUUGUUUGUGGCGGCUUUGGCUAUAAGUUGCAUAUAUACAGCUCUCAAGUGAAUUGAUACUAGGGGCCUGUGAUUUUGUAGGCAUUCCCCUUAAAGUUUAGCACCUUUUUCUGAUAUUAAUGCAUCUGAAUAGUGAUCCAAUAGAAACUGAGACACAGUUUAUUUGUCAAGAUUAUGAAGGAAAGAUUGUCCUUUUAAUUUGCAUCAUUGGCCUGAUCCUAUUAUCUUAAUAAACUCUGAGAAUACUCUUUCAAUGAGUCUGCUUUCUAACUGUUUUGAUGAUUCCUGUUUUGUAGCACUUGGAUUAUGAACCUGUCCACCCAGAUAGGCCUGGGGAGUUAAUUGCCUACUACAAGAUUGCACGUAUGGCUGCUUUUAUGUCUUCUUUAAAUGACAUAUAAGUGUAUCUCUUACUUUUGAUGAUGUUAUAGGUCAUUACAAGUGGGCAUUGGAUCAAUUGUUUUACAAGCACAAUUUCAGCCGAGUCAUCAUACUUGAGGGUGCUGACAUCUCCUUUUGAAUACUUCUACUCUCUUGUCUUGCUUUCACUAAGAGUCAAUUCUUGCGAACUGCAGAUGAUAUGGAGAUUGCCCCAGAUUUUUUUGCCUAUUUUGAGGCUGGAGCAAUGCUUCUUGACAGUGACAAGUUAGUUUCUUUUGAAGAUCAAAUUCUUUUUGAGUGUAAUAAUUUCUGUAAUUUACACGCACUUUAAACUCUUGACACUAGGUCAAUUAUGGCUAUAUCUUCGUGGAAUGACAAUGGGCAAAAGCAGUUUGUGCAAGAUCCUUGUAAGAUUCUUAUCUUUUUUUUUUUUUUUUGUUGACUGUUCAACAGACAUAGCUUGAAUAAGAAGUUUAGCUGGAUUAAACUGCAUAAUGCUGUUAUUGGAAACCAUAAUUUCAAGGGCUGUUUGAGUGCUUUUAUCGUUGAGUGGAGCUCCUGUUCUCUGAUUAACUUGAUUAAUGCAUUUCAGACAUGAAUUAUCAUCAACUUCUAUUGUAAACAGAGCUUUCCGUUUCUGCUUGUAACCCAUUAUGUUAUUUGCAGACGCGCUCUACCGCUCAGACUUUUUCCCGGGUCUUGGAUGGAUGCUUUCUAUAUCUACAUGGGAUGAAUUAUCUCCAAAGUGGCCAAAGGCAUAUCCUUCUACAUAUUUAUGUUUGAACAUGACACUUACAGAAAGGGACUUGCAUUAUUUCAUUUUUAACUUCUCCUCCUUAGUUAUAUCACAAUAAAAAAUUAGGGUGCAAUCUUUUGAGCAUUUUCUUGACCAAACAUUCACUUACUGGGAUGAUUGGUUGAGACAAAAGGAGAAUCACAAAGGUCGACAAUUUGUUCGACCAGAAGUGUGUAGAACAUACAACUUCGGUGAGCAUGUAAGUAUAUCUGAGAACUUUACAGAUUUCUUCUGUUUAACACAGUUCAGGUUGUCUCUGGUGAUAAAGAGAAUGCAUUGGAUGGUGAUGUCCUGUCAGCCAUGGCUGAGUUUUUCUCUGGAUAUAUUGUCAUCUAUGAUCAAGUCUAUCUUCUGUUUUAAGGACAGAUGUGGUCAUAACGAAGAUACUUGGUUUUGAUUCUGAAUGCUGUAAAUUGUCAUCUUAUUUGCUUCUGAAGAAGUUGCUGGAGCUACCUACCUCUAUAGUGUCAGCUAAUUUGAUUCUUUUGUUGCCUUACUGGUAGAGUUGACACUACUAGAUGUUUAGUAAUCAUGGCCUUCCUCUAUCUCUCUCAUUUGAUGUUGCAACUUUCCUCUUUACGUUCAUUUUUAUAAAAUUUCCCACUCUUCCAUUCCUUUUGGCAUAUGAUCUUUUUUCUGAAGUCUUGUUGAUUUACUUACAGGGGUCUAGUUUGGGGCAAUUCUUCAAGCAAUAUCUUAAACCUAUUAAGCUGAAUGAUGUACAGGUAUGUAUCUGUUGUCAUCGCUUUGUUCUUCGUUUUCACUUUCUUUAGCGGCUGCUACCAGACUCAGUUUCUCUGAUAGUAUAUUUAUUAUUCUAUUGUUGGCCAUAGGUUGAUUGGAAGUCUAUGGACUUGAGCUAUCUAACGGAGGUAUUAAUUACAGCUUAAACUGAAAUCUGUUUCAUAAGGCAAAAAUACAGGACAAAAUUACAUAGAGAAAUUUAGUGUCUUCCGUACUCAGUUAUUGAUUGUAAAUCAAAAUUUUCAGGACAAGUAUGUCAAGCAUUUUGCUGAACUGGUUAAAAAUGCUAAACCUGUGUAUGGAGCUGAUGCUGUUCUAAAAGCAUAUAACAUAGAUGGUGAUGUGCGCAUUCAGUACAGAGACCAAAUGGAUUUUGAAUUCAUUGCCCGCCAAUUUGGUAUUUUUGAAGAAUGGAAGGUAAUAAUAUGGAUUUGGUUUUCUUUUCUAUUUCCAUGGUGUUACCUAACUUUGAAGUUUGGAUUUAAGUUUCCUUUUUAAUUCCAUGGUGUCCAUAUAUCUAUUUGAUCGAACUUUGAAGUAGAGCUAUAUCAGAACUUGAAUGUCUGGAGGGUAUGUGGUCAAAUUAGUUUAAAGACUCAGAAAAUACACCUCGUACACAUUUCUAAGAUUGAAAACACAUGCAGUUUUUUUCUUGAGUUCUCAUUCAUAAACUUGUAUUAGUUUAGUCUCUCCUAUUUCCGCUGUGUUAAUGGUACACAAUUUUGAUUCCUGUGAGUUUACGACAUCAAUUCUUCUGCUUUUCCCAACAGAAGUGAAGUAUCAUUGAAAAACAGAAAUGAAUCAGCCUAUCUGUUAUGUUGAAACAUAUGUUCUUUAGUUGUCUACAUAUUCUUCUGUAUUCAACCACCUACAGUUUUGCCCCCAUUAUUCUGUUCUCUUUCCUUUUGUAGGAUGGGAUACCACGGGCUUCGUAUAAAGGAGUAGUAGUUUUCCGGUAUCAAACCCCAAGACGUGUAUUCCUUGUCGGUCCUGAUUCCCUCCAGCUGCUUGGGAUUGGACGCACCUAGAGGUAACAAGCAUCUGCUCUUAUCCCAAUUUCUUUUCAACAAAAGCAAGCUUAAAGGGCUAAUACCUUAAAGGUUACUGAAGGGAUCUCUAUUUUUGUAUGUUACUUCACACGUUCAAACACUGUUUUUAAGUGUCUUCCUGUAUGUUGCAUCCAUCACCAGAUAACUGAUGGAAGCCACAAAGAAACAUAGAAGCUGAGUAUGGACCUUCCGCUAUUAGUUUAUGCCUGAUGGCCCACAAUUGUUGAACAAAGAAAGAAUAAAGAUGGUUGAUCUUCUUUUUUACUUUAAGAUCACGUCUUGAAGUUAAUUGACUGACAGAUACCUCUAUUUGUCUCUGAGCAGUUUUGUAGAAGAGGACACGAUUUUCGGAUAAAGUGGGUUUAGUGAUGUGAAAAAGAUUCCUAUAAAAGCAUGCAGAGGCAUUAUGGGCAGUUUAUCGUCCAAUUCACUGUAAGGAGUAUGUGACUGGAGCUUACAAAGUUAAGUUUUUUUUUUUUCCCUAAAAUUAUCACACAGGAGAGUCAAAAGUACCAGUUUGCUACCAACAGAUGCAUUUUCGAGUGGAGAGGAAGAUGAAUUGCGACCAUCCCCCUAUAUGAGCCCCUUCCUCCCUCCUUAGUAGUGUAGACGGGUGGUCGUUACUCUUUUGUAGAUUAUAGUACUGAGUAAUUAAAUGGACACAUACUGUUAAUAGUUAAAGACAGUUCAGUACCCAUAACGAAUCCUGAAACAUUUUUUUGCCUAAGCUGCAUAAAAUUUCACUUGGAUUGUGAUUCUAUAUUUCAUCAAUUAGUAGUUCUUUUUUUUUUUCCCUCCUUUUUCUUUUGGUAAAAAUUACGUUGUGUUCUAACUUUUAAGCAGUGCAAAAUGUGGUCCUCUCAGCUGCAGAUGGUAGCUGCUUGCAAAGAGGGCUCUAUUUGGAUACUGUGCACCUCAAUUGUAACAGAGAGAUUAGUUUAAUAAGAUGUCUGGUCCCAAUUGUUGCGAGAGGAGAGGAUACGCCAGAGUUCCUGCAAAGACAUUUUUAAAUUCCCAAAUGGCAAUUUUAGGCUCCAACAUUUUCUAUUUUUUACCCUUUCUUGGACUAGAAAAGUUGUAGCGUUUAUCUGAAUCUUUAGAAAUUAAGAGCCUCAAACAGGACAGAGUUGCAACUGGGAUGGUAGACACAGGACUUUUGCACUAUAACAACGCAAAUAAAGACACAAUAAACCCUGGAAAGCCCUAUGGAAAAAAGGAAAAAAAAGGAUUCUGAACCAAGAGUAGACAUAGUCAAAAAAUGGUCUUUUGACUUGUUGCAGUGACUGUAGUCAUGGCCAAGAGUAGACGUUGAUCAAGAAGAAGAAAGGUGGCCUUGUUCCACCAGGGAUGCGAUGCAGUCAUCGAACAUUUCCCGGAUGGACCUGAAGUUCUUGAAUCCUAAGCCCUCCAGCUUCGAUGUAUUCAGGUCAUAAGAUGGUCUGUUAUCAAGCUUGUGAAACCUGAAACGGGCGGAGGUAUGGCAUGGGAAUCAUUUCGAUACAAAGGUAAGCUAGUAGUAACUAAGUAGAAUACUAAAUAGCAAGCAAACCUUUUGGGUAUAGGCAGGGCAGGGUAGGAAGCGGAUAGAAUGGAGGCGAGCUCAUCAUUGUCAAGGACAGUGGAAGAACAGAGGUAUCGUCCUUGAGCAUUCCUGCGUUCAUACACCAGGAUGUGACACAGCGCAACAUCGUCAAUAUGCACAUAUCCCAUUCUUCCAUGCCAUUCGAAUUUCUGCGUCUCCCCUGUAUUAUUAUAGUGUAUGCUACCCAUUAUGCUUUAGGGAUAUGCUACGAUUAACAGCAAAUAGCACACGAGAAUGAGAGAGAGAGCAGCUAGUACUCUACCUUUGAGCAAGCCAAGGACGUCGGCCGCUGUGGAACAUAACUCCGGAGGCAAGCUACGUCCAACCACGAAUGAGGGGAGAACGGUGACCAGGUCAAUCUUGUUCUCCUCGCAGAAUUUCCAGGCAGCCUUCUCCGCCAGAGUUUUUGAUAAAACAUACCAGAUCUUCUUGCAUUUGCCAGAGCAUGCAAAAUUAAGCAUUAUAUCACGGCAUGUUUUUUUUUUAUCCAAAAAUCUGUGUUUCUUAGUGCUGUUGCAAAUUCACAAACUGAUUUAUGCAGAGUUGCUGAUGAGGGUACGUACCUUAAGUCUCUCGCAGAGUAUCUCAGAGCUCCAAGAUGAUUCGUCCAGUGGUACGUUGGGAUCAAAAUCCUCUCUUGCCCUCACAGUUGAGGAAGACGAGGUCAGAACAACACGCUUCAGAAAUGGAUUUUUCUUGCACGAACGCAGCACAUUUAGCGUACCCUCAACAGCAGGUUUCAAAAUUUCAGCCUAUGCAAUUUUAGGAUUAGAUUAGGAGUCUUGAGAGGAGGUCAAUAAGAAGGCAACGCCCACUUGAAAAGAAAAGAACUUGGAACGCAAUAACGAAAAAAAAAAAAAAACCCUUCUUCCCCAUUUCUUGUUUCUCUCAGGUAACAGUUACACUGAAAUUGCUUUGCUAGUUCAUUGCAGUCCACAAUGUUAGUUUAGUGCCGCCAGCACUGCUGAGGAUUUUGUUAUGAGAAUUAUUGAGUUAAUAAAUGCUGUCAAAGUGGCAUCCACAAUCAAACUUUACAUGCCUUGGGAUCGGAUGCUGGUCGCCCUAGAACAGGGGAAGCAGUGUGAAAGACACCUUCAGAGCCCAUUAUUGCAUCAUCGAAGCUGCCUUCCUCCAUUAAGUCGCCCUUCACCAGCACCAGUCUCUCUUUUGCUCCCUCCAGCCUCCAGAGAUGCGCUACCUUCUUGGCAUUUUCUGUUCAUGUCACAAACUCACAACAGAUACCAAGGCAUACAUGACUCGCCGCCAUUCAAUUACAUCUUGGCAUGCUCAGUUCCCUGGAAUGUAUUCAUACCAUUCCCAGCCCAGGCACCAACACCAAAACAAUGAAAAGAAAAAAAAAGGAAUUAACAAAAAAUAAAAAGAAAGAAAGAGCUACCUGGAUCUCUGACCGUCCCGGUUACUUGAUAGCCAGACAGCAGCAGUCGCUUGAUCAGCCAAGAAGCCAGAAAGCCAGAUGCACCGGUAACGCAUACUUUGCCCCUGAGUUCCACGUUUUCCUCCAUCGCUCGUUCUCUCUUGUUUUUUUGGAGUUUCUUUCCUCUUUCAUUUUUUGGCUCACCCCUUUUAUAAUAGUUCAAAGCUAUUACAUUUAAGGUAACACCACCUUCAGCGUCUUUAUUAAUUCAUAUACUUAAAUAGUGUAUAUAUUCAUCCAACAUUUGUGAAGCAUCGGAGGUUUUACAGAUGAGGCAAGUCAUCGCAGGUUUGUGAAGCAUCCACUUGACAACUAACUGCAUAAAACAGAAAUAAAUAAAAUCUAUCCAAGGCCUUCAGUCGAGAGUCGGCAACGAAAGUAUGACAGCUUUAAAUAUCUAUUGAACCUUUUAAGCCAACCAUGCGUCUCUUGCCCUCGUACCUAUUCACCCCAAGACAUAACGCAGCCACCAUGGCAACUCGUAACAAAUGCUAUUUUAAUUAGCAUUACAAGGGAAAAAAGUUCGAACUUUGUUCUCCAAUACAAUUUAAACACAAUGCAACUGCAAUGUAAACGUUGAACUGUGUUCUCCAAUACAAUUUGAAGGACUGCCCCAAUUGUAAAAAUGCAGACCAUCAAAUAACAAUAUGCAUGGAUACAACAUACUGGCGAACCCAGCACAAUUCAACUAACAGUGUAGUAAAAAUUGCAAAUCCAAUCCUAUCAGCCUCCACUGUACCCCACACACACACACACACACUUGUAUACAACCAGCAAUUGAUUGUCCUAAUAUACUUUAGCUUGUCAAACCAUGGUACCAACUGCCAAAUUACUUACCUACAACCUAUAGUCACCAAGCAUGAUUGGCAAGUCGUCAUUUUUUGAUGUGAAACAGAUUAGUAAGUUGAAUAACUGCUCAAUGAUGCAACCCUAUACCCCCCGCAGCAACAAGUCGCACUAAAAAAUUAAGGGAGGCAACGGCAAUGAGCAAAACUUUUCUUUUGGCGAAAGAGUACUUUCUUUACACAGGUACUAGACACUGACGUUUCACAGAAAUGUGGUCAUGUUCUUUGGGUGUAUCCACAGUUCCAUUCUCAUCAUUGACAGCAACAGGCUCCCCAUCAUUGAGAUCAAAAGUCCAACCAGGAAAAUCGGAUUCUGAGAACAAAGAGGUUGGAGUAGAUUUAUAGAAUGCCAGAGGCACCUGUUUGACCCUGCGUCUAAUCUGCAAGCAAGGAUAGUGAUUCGGGACACUUUAUUAUAUAGACACCAAAGCUUGCUCUAACAGCAAUGAUCUGAUUGCUAUCGCAUAGAAGACAAUCACCGCCAGAUUUAGCAAUUCUGAGUAGUGCUUGUGCAAGGACUUGAUAAGCACAUAGAAACAGAUGCUACAAAUGUUUGUUAAAAUAUUAAGAAAGCAACAAAAACGAGGAGAACAGAAGAUGCCUUAUUUCUGAGGCCACCUAAAGGAUCCAUGGCAUGAUUUUCAAGUAUAAAGAUUGACCAUAUUACCUCCUCGCCAAAAAUAGUUGCAUAUGAUCCAGAACUGAAAUCUUGCACAGCAACUUCAGAUGUUUUGGCUCUAAUUGUUAAGUCACUCUCGAGGGACAACACAAAUCUAGUACACAAGAACAGUGACCAGUUAAGAGAAUAUUAAAUGGCAUUGAGCUCCCAAACUUGUAUCAGCACUCCCCAUUAGUUUACUUUUACACCGACAGAAAUACCCUCACCUAUUAUGAUAAAGGUAACUCUUCUUUUUCACUAACUUAAAGUUACAGCUCUUUAUGAAAAUCUAUAAAAUGUGUAUUAGGUAGAGAAAGGAAGUGAGUUAAUCUUUUAAUUAUCAUAUUUUUAAAAUUUUUCUUGAUUCCUAUCAAUUAUUAAUUUCAAAUACUUCUCUUAGGUGACAGAAGUAUUUUAAUCAGCAUCUAAACUUAAAAACAAAUCAUUUUUGUAGCAACUCACCUGAAACAUUACUUCCAUUGUAGUGGUUCUCUUUGUUACAUGUCCUCGUGGUUCAACUAACAUUUUGUGUGAGACAUUGUACUGAAAUUUAAUUUUGGACAUCAUUCAAAGUGCUAUAUGCAAGUCUUAAACUCGUUAAAUCUAAUUUACACAGUCAAAAACUAAAUUUUAGCAUUCUCUAGCAAAAUGUUUUCUUGAAUUUUGUAAACCAGUCAUUUAAAUUGCAAAUAAGUGUUGCUGCCAUAGAUGCAGGUUGUAUUAUUUCUAGUAAACAUGGGCAAAAUGGUGAGACAAAUGAGGUGUUCUUGUUAAAUUUUGCCAUUAGUGCAAGAAAAAAGAUAGUGGGACUGCCAUUAACGAUUCCCUUAUUAAAAAUCAAAGACGAGGUCAUUGCAUUCUUGAUUGGAAACAUGUACCUUGACACUGGUGGGCAAUAGUGAUGCCGGAGUGUAUCAAUUUCCCAUAAAGAGCUUCCUGGCCAAUGAUUGUUGUUAGCAUAAUUGAAGGGGGAAAAAAGGGUAUUAUCCACUAUUUUGUUUGUAAAUUCAGAUGACUUUCUAUAGAAUGCACACAAUGGAUCAAGGGUAGAAAGUCAAGGAAUGCUAAGCUUAGAUAGGAAAAUAGUGGUCUACAUAUAAUCUGCAACAAAAACUCUUAAGCAACCAGUCCCCCAACCCACCCCCCAAAAAAAAAAAAAAAGAAAAACCAAAAUUAGCUUGCUUUUCUAUAGAAUAGACCUAAUAAAUUCAAAUCUUACUCAUAGCAUUAGUUUUCAUGGGAUCACUUUGCUCAUAAUCAAAUUGAUCAAUGCCUUGCUUGCUCGCAGAAUCCGUGUCAUCUGUUCUGUCAACACCACUCUUGUCUGUUGCGGAAGUCUCUUUACCAGCCUCAUUGACAUACCCCUGCAGCAUAUAGGUGUCAGUUCAUAAGGAAGUAUUUAUGCAGAUACCAUUGAAUGAAAGAAUUGCCACAUUAGAAACCUUUCCGGCCACCAAGUUUUGCAUGAUUCAUAAGAAUAAUCAGUGUGGCAAUUGAAUGCAAGUGACUUGUGAUGCGAAAUUGUAUACUUACCUGGUGCACCAAGAAGUUGAUUGAAGGAUGUCUCCUAAGAAGAUUGUGGACUAAAGCAAUAAUGAUUAAUGCUCCUGAAGGUGGGACAGAAAGUGCAAGUCUACUCAGUUUCUUACAGAAAGCAGCAGCCAAAUAUGCUGGAAGAAGCGGUGAUUUCAAGCAAGAAUCAAUAAGCUGCAAACAGAAUUCAAAAUCAGUAAGAGGGUUACAUAAUAAAAGAAACAAAUCUAAACAGUGAUCCAAGCAAAACACUAUUCUAGUCAUUAAAAUCUAGCGUCACGAUGACAUGUCUCUAUUACUCUUUCCCAUUGAGAUCAACCAUGACACACACCUCCAAUGAGUGACUCAUACCACAUAGAGUUGAAUGGAGGCACAUGACUAACAUUACUCUCUCAACAUUUGUCAUCUUCCUUUGCCACAAAACUCGUUCUUCUCAAACCCACAUCUAACCUUCUCCUCUCCCUCUUAUAACCAAGCACCUUUCCUUUCCCUGCAUCCUUCUGUCACUAACUCUAGUUUCAUUAAUGUACCAUCAUUCCAAGAUUCCUCCCUUAACAUACAUAUCCCACUAUAACACUGCUCAUGACUCCAUCUCUCCAGUUCGCCUCUUUUUAAUAUUGAUUGUAAUAUAUAAAUCACCAUACUAACAAAAGAGAAGAAUACAGAGCAACAAAUAGGACUGUGAUCAUCUAAAUUAGUGAAAUAGUUAAGUCUGAGGAACUGCAUGCUGCAUGUUUACUAAUCAUAAUUAAAUUCUGAACAAGUUUAUAACAUGGCUACGUUAAAAUGUAGAAAAACUCCCAAAAUCCAAGAAGAGAAAGUUGUUGGAUUCCCUUCUCAUCAGUUAUUUGAUGAUGCUAAAACUUCCAAAUAAAUCUAAAAAUAAAACACAGACUGCCUAGCUCCUUCCCUCUGAGUAAUUCUCAAAAGCAGAUUCUGCAGGUCACCUCUGCAAAGCAUUAGUAACAUCUAAGACACAGACAGGUGGUUGCAAAAAUUUACACAUUAAAACAGGGAAAGCUGAACAAAAUCAUCACAAUAGACACUAAGCAUGGUGAAGUCAAGAGGACCAAGGAAAAUAAGUGUUUGUAACAAAUUUGCACAACCAUCUCCAGGAACAACACCUAUGUCCACCAAGCAAGGCCGAAAAAGUGAGAAAAUUAUCAGUUGGAUGCACAAUAUGCAAAAUGUAGCACUCAGCCCUUACAUAAUUAUAGUACCAGCGCACAUCCAUUUCACCAUCAUAUGAAACAUACUUGUAAAAAACACAAGCAGUUAUUGACUAAUCUUUCUAAGCCUAAUUCAUUUAACCUCACUUGUCAAAGAAAACUGAAACCUGAAACAUACAAGAGUACCUGAAAAAAUUUAACCUAAUUCAUUUAAUCUUUCAGCCCUUACAUAAUUAUAUUACCAGCGCACAUCCAUUUCACCAUCAUAUGAAACAUACUCGUAAAAACACAAGCAGUUAUUUACUAAUCCUUCUAAGCCUAAUUCAUAUAAACUCACUUGUCAAACAAAACUGAAACCUGAAACAUACAAGAGUACCUCAAAAAAUUUUGCUCGAUAUUUAGCCAUAAAGAUAGAAGGUUCCAACAGUGCAUAAAGCUUCCCAUAGAAAUUUGGAUACUCAAGGCCAUGUUGUGUCAUAAGGAUAUAGAGACUGCUGAGAGCCAUUACACUCACAACACCUCCUAUAUCAUAUGAUCUUGUUAAGAAAUCACUGCAAUUUAUGAGGAAAACUUAUCAUGGACAUAUUGACGGUAAAAGAGUAACAGAACAUAAAUGUAAAUAAAAAGCUCUUAACAAAUUACCACAGCAUGAUUGGGUUAGACAGGUGAGGAAUAACAGCUUGAUGAAGAGUAGCAAGAACCUAAGCCACAAAGCAAGAGCAAGAGAGCAUGAAUUUUAAUGCAAAUCAAAUCAUUCAAACAAACAAUAUAAUGAUACAAGAAAAGCAACCAAAAAGAUAUCAAACCAAUGACAUGUGUGAGAGCCUUCAAAGCCAGUUUCAGAUAACAGUAGCAGCCCCUUAUAAUCAGGAAAGGUGAAUAGUAUGAACACCGGGGAUAACUAGAAUUAUCAUUCAACAUGGCAACAAUAUAACAAAUGAGGAACUUCCAUCAAUUAUUACUCUUUUUGUCCAUAGCCCCUUAUAAUCAGGAAAGGUGAAUAGUAUGAACACCGGGGAUAACUAGAAUUAUCAUUCAAGAUGGCAACAAUAUAACAAAUGAGGAACUUCCAUCAAUUAUUACUCUUUUUGUCCAUACAGCAUUUGCUUCAUGAGAUCAAUAUGUAUCAGAUUAUAUACAUCUGGUGACAGUAAACUCCAUACUUCUACACAACAGAGAAACUGAAACAGAACAUAUAGGAGCUCAACAUCCAGAAGAAACACUCUUAAGAUGCAAAAUACACAUCAAAUUGCUAAUGAUCUGCUUACUUCCUUGUAUACAUCAAGUGGAAGCGGCAAUCUAAGGAAUGAUAUCCAUGCUUUACUAAACUUUAAUUUCAUCUUUUUAGUAACACUGGCUGCAGAAAAGUCCUGAUAGAGCCAAAAGAGUGGAAACUCAGGUCAAAGACAAUAUAAAGUGACACAGGUUUGAUGUGAAAGGAGAUCAUCUAAGUAUUAAAAAUGGAAGCUACAUGAGUGAGAAAAAUUCUAAAGGUUCAUCGCAGUACAAACCUUGCGAUCAUGUAAUCUUAAUUUCUGCUGUUUAUCCUCUGCAUCUGAAAGGUGAUCAUGGUUUUUCUUGUCGAAUUUUCUAGUAAAAAUAUCUAUCAAUUUGGAUACAGGUCAAUACCAAUAUAACAUCAAUUGAAUUACUUCAUUCAAAGAAUACAGAUUUAAUGCAAAAAACUGUAAAGCUUAGGUGAGGACAACAUAUCCAGUUUUUCAGAAAAUCGAUACACCUUGAUUUGAUCAAAUCAAAUGCAACUCAAAUUUAAAAUAAAGUAUUAGGAUCUGCAAGGGAUGUGACUAUGAAGCAUCUUGAAUUCAUUACAAAAUAGAAAAGAUCUUCAAUGUUGUAGAUUAGUGUUAGAAAUACAUCAUACAUGACAAAUAUUUUUAACAUCAGACACAAAAAACUGUUAACCAAAAUAAUGUGAGUAGGGAAAGAAAUUUUUGAACUAAUAGUCAAGGUCAAAAAUUAAAGAAUGAACUUACCAACACAACUCCACAUUUCAUAAUUAGACUCCACAACUGAAACUUCUAAUGGUGGGAUGCGCGAUAGCAAAUGAUAUAUGAUCCGAAUACAGACCUCCAUGCUACAACCAAAUAUACAUGGUCAAAGAUUUAGUAAUAGUGCAAAUCCUAUAAUCAUGUGAUUUCCAAUUAUGUGAGUUCAGAACAUAAGUAAGCCCAAGUCGAAACUAAUUAAAAAAAGCACGCUUACAUGGUUCACAGAGAUUACACAUUUGUUAAGUUGUGCCAGUAUUGGCUUUGACGCAAAUGCAAACUUGCAACAUCAACGACAAACAAAUAAAAAGGAACACAGACAAGCUUUUUUUUUUGGGGGGGGGGGGGGACCCAACGUAAAUUGUUGUAAUCCAAAACCCUCUAAAAGUAAACCAGAAACAUAAAAAACCAACACAGAGACCCACAGAUUCACAUACAUACAAAACACACAGAAAGGGCAGCAAAGCCUAGACUCUAAAACAUCAAAGAGAUGUCAUUGCAACAACUGUUCAUAGUGAAGCAAGCAAGUUUGGACCCUGCAUUCUUGAUCCUUAUCUCUUGUAUGAAGCCAAGGAAUCUGGCUUGCACCAUAUUCCAACUAAAGAGCAAGGUCAACAGUACAAGAAAAUGAAAGUGACCUUGUAUGAGUAGCAUUAGCAUAUAGAAAUGAAAAUAGCUCCCAUUUAGCUUAUACAAUGCCAUAGCUCAAUUUAUUGUGCAGGAUGAUCUUAGCAAUACAGCAAGAAUCAAAUUGAUUUGCCUUGAUUAAGACGGCUAGGAACAUGAAUAAUCUACAGAUACCUUGCCCUUGACCGAUUUCCAGCAGCAGACUCUGAAGUUGCACCUUUAUCAUCUGAAGGACAAACAGGUCAAGGAAGUUUAUUAAAGAAAAAAAAAGUUGUACCAGUUUUGCAUUCCUUUUGGAAGUGAGACAGAGUAAAUGUAGCACUGAAUGCUAUGCUAGUGAAAAAAAGGGCCAUUGAAGAGAAUAACUGUCAAAAAUUAAUAAGUACCAGCUGAAUCUUCAGGCUCCAGAGUUCGUGCUAUCUUUUCCAAGCUUAUGUACGUGAAAUAACUGUCAGAAGAGAAUAACAAGUCAGAAACAUGGCUUGGAAUGCAAGACAAUGUUCUGAAGUAAGAAUGCGUGAACGUUAUUAAGUAAGCAUUGGUAUGUUUGGCAUCAUGCUAGAUGACAGAUAUCCCCAAAAAAAAAAUGCAUAGAAAUGCGUAGGAAUCAAAUACAUUGUUUUAGUUGCUGAAAGGUUGGGCUAAAAGAGUGAAUAGUGUUUCACCAUUAACAACAGAGUUUGAAUGAAUGCCUUUACAGCAAUACAUAGACAGAGUAACCAUAGGGGAGAUGUCAAGUCAUCAAGAAGAAUAGACAUCAUCAUACCGGACAUCAAUAUACUUGAAGUACUUGGACGCCAGCAACUCUAACAGUAUAUCACCAACUCCCAAAGUAGAGUGAACCUACAAGUGCCACAAAAAAAUUUUUUUAAAACAAAGGGAAAUAGAUUAAUGGUACUGAUUAAUCAAAGCAAAAACACAAAAGGUAACGUCACAAGAAAUGAUCAGCAUUCCAAGAUGAAAAGGCCAAUAGAGAUCAAGAAAUAUAUGGGAAAAAAGAAAGUAGCAGGGGGAGAGGGAGCGAAACUCAAAUGCGAAUGAAGUGUAGAAGUAGAGAAUGGAUAGCAAUAUAUGAUUAGGGAUUACUUACAAUGGCAUGAAGGAACCGGUGGAAGAUAGAAGAGUGGAAGUUGCCGGCAUUGGCUACCUUGACAAACUCCAUGAUUGUCUCCAACACAACUUCCUAAUAUCAGAACCAAAACAAAAUUCAGAAUUUUUUUUUUAAAAAAAAAGGAGGAAAGCAAAAUUAAUAAAUAACAAAAUUAGAGUAGGAGCAGCAGUAGUAGUGAAAAUGGUGUAGUAAAUUAUUACCCGGAGGGUUGGGUCGGAAAGGGCAGAGGUAGAGAUGGAGAAUAAAGAUUGAAGGAAGUCGUCGAACUUGGAGCGGAGCCAAGUGGAGUAAAUGAGAUGGGCGGCGGUGGUGGUGGAGGCGUCGGAGGAAGAGAUGGAGGAGCGGGAGCGGGAGGCAGAGAGAUCCAGUAGAAGGGGAGUGAAGAAGGAUUGGAGAGAAAGGAGGGACUCGAGAGCGUAGGCAGGGUGGAAGUCCUCUCGGGGGUGUUUGAUAAAAUUGAGGAGGCGAGGGAGGUUGUUGAUGUGGGACCUGGACGACAGCAGCUGCUCCCCUAGGGUUUUGAGCUCCCCCAGGCUCAGCUGCUGCUCUUUCUUCCUCUUCCUCUUCUUCAUCAUCAUCACCUGCUGCUGCGAAGAUUUCAUCAUCGUCAUGGCAUUGGAAGAAGCCAUCCACAAAAAAUGAUUGGUUCGGUGUUGGAUAUAUAUAUAUAUAUAUAUUCUCUCUGUGUGUUUGUGUGUAAAUUGUUCCAAUGGCUAUCUAAAGAGUUUUAUAUGUCCGCCUCCAAAGCUAAACCCCCUUCAAAACCCUCCCUCUUCGUCUACCAUGUUACAGGGCCAGAAGCCUGCAGGGAACGAGUAUUUAUGAGUAUAUAUAUAUUUGGAUUAAUUUCACUUUGCACCCCCAAACUUAUAUCAUUUUCUCACUUGCACCCUAAACUUCAGUUUUAAACGCUCUACGCUCUAAAUUCUUAAUUUUAGACAUUUUACGCUCUAAAUUUUCAAGUUUGCCCUAUUUACAUCCAAUCAAUAACAAAUAUUAGUAAGAAAGACUGUAAAAAUUAGGUGUCUUAAAAAUUAGUGGCAAAUAAGAUUCCUGGGUGACUUAAUGAGAUACAAAUGCGAUCCCUAGGUUUGUUUUAUCCCUAGGUUUUUUUGCCUAGGUGUCCUAAUGAAAUACAAAAAAUAGGUUUCUUUCCCUAGGUAUUUUAAUGAGACACUAGGAUCCCUAGGUUUCUUUUUCUUGUAAUUAAUUUAUAUGGUCUCAAUCACUAUUAAUGAUAAUACAUGUCUAUAUAUAUAUAUAUAUAUUGCGACUUGGAUCUAAUGGUUGGUCUAAGUAACUUUUGAGUCGAAAUUUACUAGUUCAAAAUGGUUAACUCAACUUACUCAGUAGCCAAAGGACCCAAUCUUAUAAACCAUUCUUUUCCUUUUUUCGCUUCUGACGUGGAAUACCUCAGUAUCUUUUUAAUUUCACAAUUUGAAUUUUAAAUUUAAAUUCAUGCUGUGUAACAUAAUUUAAACUUGUUAGUGUAAAAAAAAAUUAUACAGUGAUAAUGUGUAAAAAAAAAUGUCCUAAUUAAAAUACAUAUUAAUUUAUUGAUUUUAUGUGUUUUUAUUGUUUAUGACUUUGAUGUUUAAUUGUGCAUUAAGGAAUACCUAUAGAUACUCAUCGAAUAUUGAAACUUAUGAAAGUCCAUAUUUGAAUUUCACUUUCCAAACCGAUGAGGGUUUGAGUUUGGAUCUGGAUACUCAUAAAUCCAACAACUAUAGAUUUGAAUUUGGAUACUCAUAACUUCAGUGACUCUAGAUUUGUAUCAUGUGAAGCUAACACAAAGCUAAAUCUAAACUUUGCCUUCCAAAAGUCUUAUUUUCUUCUUUGUUUUUCUUCAGGAAAUGGAACUUGAAGCAUGCAAGUCUAACAUCUCAUUUUCUAUUCAGACGCCUAGAGGGCAAUAUAAUUGUUCUGCAUGCUUUUUCUACAUUUGGUUAUUUUUCUUGUUCACUAGUAAUUGAGAGUAUUGAUUUUUUAUAUAUUAACCACUUUGAAUAUAUAUCGCAUACACACAAUCUGAAUUUUAAUUUUAAAUUCGUGCUAUGUGACAUAAUUUAAACUUAUUAGUGUAAAAAAAUAUAUACAUAUAUAUAUUUAUACAUAGUGACAGGGUAUAAAAAAACUGUCCUAAUUAAAAUAUAUAUUAAUUUAUGAAUUAAUCUUUCCUACACUGAUAGUAUAUAAAGUGUCAAUAUUGAAUGAAUGACAACUACACAAAAUUUAAAUUUAAAAUUCAAUUUUACAUAUUUGUCAUAAAUUUAACAGUAAAUUUAACGAUAACAGUGAAUACACUGACUGUCGGUGUAUAUUAGUUUAUUCCAACUUUUAUGGUCCUCAACCUCUCAAAUUCCACCCUAAAUUCUUCCCUACUGCACUCUAAAUUUCACAAACUACACAAAACAUAACUAGUCACCCAGAAAAAAGAAAAAAAAACCAAAUUAAAUUUUUGCGUUUAAAAUGACCAGACCAGCGCGGAGAAGCAGAGCCGUCCCAUUCUUCGCUUCCAAAUUGAAAGUACUCUGAAAGUGAAGAACCAACAAUCCUGAAGCUGCAUAAAUCAUUGAUCCCUAAGACUCGAUUGGGCUUUUUAACGUUGAUAAUAUGGGGCAUUCAUAAUCUCGACGUAUUCACCAUUUAGCACACCUAGCUUUACAAGUAUGGGAUAACCUAUCAGCUCUUGUAAAACUUUACCCCCAAAAAAAAAAUUUUUUUUUUCUUUAAAGCCCUACUGUAACUUUGAUAGUAGAGUCUCAUCUUCUAUUUUACAAAGACAGAACCAACCAAAACUGGAAAACUGAAAUUCACUAUUUGAAUCAAAAGACUCGAAACGGUAGCAUUUCCCACUCCCCUUAAUCAUCAGUUGUUUUUGGCAAUAGCAACGGCCUGCCUUGCACCCACAGAAAAGAACUCACUGAUCACCUCCAGAGGCAUGCCCUUAGUUUCUGGAACCUUCAAGAACGCAAAGAACCAGGAAAUGAUGCACACCACUGCAUAUGUCCCAAAAACACCACCCAGUCCCAUUGAAGACAGCAUCACAGGCAGCGUAUACGUUACGAUGAUGUCUCCGAUCCAAUAUGUGAGGCAACAUAGAGCAAUGCAGACCCCGCGUACCCGCGUCGGAAAUAUCUCUGAACAAAGUAUAUUCGGAACUGGACCGAAUCCCAUGACAAAAAAGCAGAAGUAGAGCACCACACAAACUGUCGAAACGGCUGCAUUUCCAACCUUGCCCAUGUUAACUACACUUCCGAUCACUAAAAUCACCAGUGUUAUGAGAAGCACAGGGAUGGUCCAGAGCAAUAAACUCCUGAAACAACAUUGGAAAUUUGGAAAAGCUUUGAGAGAUGCUACUCGUAGUCACAAAUGCAAAUUACUACUAUUAUCCAUGUCUUCUCAAAGUUUCAAGCCACUAAUAUGCACAUGGAUCAAUCACGACGACUCGUUGCACCUUUUAUUAUAGGUGAGAAGUGCUAAAAAUAAGUUAAUUAAAUUCACAUAAUGAACCCCCAAAAAAACACACACACACACAAAAAAAAACAAAUGCGAAGAAAACUGAAAGAACCAAGACGGCAAGAUGGCCUGAUAAAAGUACAUAGUACACAAGAAGAUGAAGAAAAUCAACUUUUAUGAACUUCUGAUGACAGAAGCAUAAAGACCACCGUUUGGACAAAUUAAACAAACGAGAAUGAUACAGGGCAUAAGGUUUCACUAUCAAAUUUCAUUUUGAAUUCCAAAAGUUUCUCAUAACUUUGAACUUACAGUGGGCAAAAAACUAAAAUAUCAAAAAGAUGAAGUGCAAGUUAAGCAGGAUGUAUUGCUAUCAUAAAUACUCAUAACGAUCCAUUCGUGCGCACCAAGCCAAAAAAAGGGAUGAAAGACCAAGCAAAGAGAAGAAAUAGAAUGCAUCUUUUAUGUUCUUAUAGGCAAGAGAUGAGAAUUCCUUUGACUAACUUCGUCAUUCAGUUAUAUGACUGCUCAUACUGUCCUCUAGGAAAUGCUUCCUUGCUGACAGUCAAUUUACACAGAGUCAGAUGCAAGUAAGCUUCCUUAUUUGGCAAGAACAUAUCAACUUUUGGAGUCAUGGAAAUCCAUUUAUCUUGUUCUAAAAUUUAUUGGUCAUAACAAAAAAAAAAAAGAUAAAGAGAGUGCUUUUGAAUUGAAUGUGACACUGACAUGAGAUGAUACUUUAAUUUUAGAACAAAGACCGACAUUAUGUCUUUAAAUCAAUAUGCUCUGAAGAUCAAUCUCACAUCUACAAGUAAAACGACUUAGUAUAUGAUUAAGAAAUGAAAUGCCUGACAAAAGUUUCAAGAACCUACCUUCUGCCAGCUAUAUCCACAAGCCUCAUGGCAAUAGCUAUGGACGGCAACAUCAACAAAGUAGUAAUAGCACUGAUAAGAAAAGAUGCAGACGCUGAACUGAUGCCCAUAUUUGACAGAAGAACUCCUACGCCUGCCUCCUCAAGAAUCUGGGGAGUGUAGUACAGCACACCAUUUAUACCUGAGAGCUGCACAUGAUGAAGCAAGUUAAACCCUGAAAAUGACACAAAAACCAACACUAAUAAACUGUAACAAAUGACUGUGCUCCAAAAGCCUCCCUGUAUAUUUCUAUUGAAGAAGAUCUUACCUGGAAAUGGUUUUAGGGGAUUGAUAAACAGUGCUAUAUGUUGAUUUUACUGACAACACAAAUGGAAAAUUUUCCGGAACAAAUCCAAAACAAACAUGUUGUAUGACAAAAGGAAGAAUGACAGACAAUAGUUACUUCAUAAAAUUUCUAAACAACGUAAAGCACAAUGCUGAUAAACUGAAAAAGUCAUAUAUCACUAAGUGUUAAGACCCUAGUCAUCAAAUGUUGCUACGAAUUGAAUAUCUACUUAGAACAGAUAUGAGAAUGAAAAUCCCCCAACUAAACGAUACAUAGAAGAAACCAAAAUGUCUGAAUUUUUUGCAGGAAAUAGUUACCUGCUGAAGCAAUUCAAUUCCAAUUCCAACGACCAAUGCAUGCUUAACUCCAGGCUCAAGUAGGUCCUUCCAACUUGGCCCUUUUGCAGCAGCUUCAGAUGGAUGAAUCAUUGCUGGUCCAACAGGAUGCUGAUCCAAUAACUCCUUUGAAUAUAGAGCUGGAUGACUCACCAAAGCAGCAGCUUGUAUGAAUUCGCCACCUGCAGGCACAUCAUCACCAUGAACUGAGACCACAGAACCUCUGCGGGAUGCAGAAACACCACCCUCAUGCAAAUAAAUUCUCUUAAACCCUCCUUCUUUCUUUCCAUCUUGACCUUCCCCCUCUAUCCACUUCCAUGCAAGCUGCCACCCGCCACCGAUGCCUGUACUACCAGAUGUUUCCCCAUUGGCCCCUCGAAUAGCAGUACCCUGCCUCAUGCUCAAAAUACUUCCAUGUAAAGGAGGUCCAGCCAUGUCUUUUUCUAGGCUGGUUGUCUGACGUGAUAUUAGUGGGCUUUGUAAAUUGUCAUCAGAUUCAACUCCAGCAGCAUCAGAUGCAUAAUCCUCUCCCUCUCUGCCAAGACUCUCUACAUCCCAUUCUUCAUUUCUAGGUUGAUUUCCUGCUACACUAAACAUGCUGCCUAAGUGUGGAAAAAACAUGCUUCCUUUGCUCCCAGUAUCUGGAAGCUUUUCAUGAAUGCUUCCAAAGAGGCUAACUAGAGGAUCCAUAAGGGGAACAUUCUGGUUUAUUAAGCUUCCUUGUCGAGAUAUCGGAGUAAGUACACUUUGCCCAGUAACAGGUUGAGCAACCCAGGACUUUCCUUCUUCAGGACCAUACAACCUUAUCCGCUCUUUGUCUGCACUCGGCUCCUGAUCUUCAGCAAGUUCAUCAGCAGGGGCAAUUAUGUACUCCUCAAUAUGUGUUUCACUGCUGAUGCCAAGGCCUUCAACUAACAAUGCCAUCUCACCUGUUUGAAAAGAAUAUAGAAGUCACAGACAAGUAAGAAUAAAAAUUCAACAAAUUUUCCUAUGUACAACGGUGAGUUAUUUUUGUCAAGUCCGUGCAAAGGCCGAAACGCUCUCAAAACCAAUUCAGUUGAUAAAAGAAAAAAUUUUUGCAGCUAUUAUACAACAAAUAUUUUGCAGCUAUUCAACCAUAAAGCAUAACGUUUUGUUAUGGAGGGGAGAAGCCAUGCCUAUAAAUUUGUAUAGAAAGGAGGAACGAGCAGAGAAAAUUGUUCAAGUCAAAAGUUGAAAAGCAGGGGCACAGCCUCAGUGCUUGGGAGAGGUAAGGGGAUUUAUCUCUCACGUGAUUCUGAUUUUCUAUGCUUCAAUAGUAUGGUACAUCAAUUAAAAAGGAAAAAUGUUGAACAUAAACUCAAUCCUCCUUUCCCAUCAACAAGGACUCCAACUCAAAACCAUGAAUUCAUCGGCUAUGUAGAUUCAAAUUCUUCUCUCCAGCAAACCAUCUUAAUUGCAAGGCAUUAUUAAACAUUUCUGCCUUCUCCAAAUUUUGUCACUUAUCAAGCCAUUUUCCAUGGAGGACAGACACUAUAUUCACUCAAUUCUCAAUUUAUAAUACUGUUAACAAAAGAAAUGCACUCUUCUUCUUCUUCACUGGAAAAUUGAUCAUUCCUUCAGGAUGUUAAGUACAUCACCUGUUUGUUACUUAAUUCAAAUACCCACAUCGGAAAAACAAAUUCACUGAAUCCAAACUUAAAGAACAAGAAAGGAAGGGGAUAAAUUGACGACCAAUCAUCCGAGAUAGCAAUUUUCAGAAAAUGAAACAAACAUAGUGUAGACCAAAGUUUUGGGCAUAUCAACUACUGAAAAAAUGAUAUCUUAUAUAAAGAUAAAGGCAUGUUUAUUCUGUCAAGAAUUGCAUUAUCUCAACCUUCAACAAAUAUUUGUACAGAUAAUGGACACCAAGAACCAACUCACCAGCUACAUCUUCCCUGCCACGGAGCCUCUGCAAAACCUGCUUGGCCUCAAUCAUCCGCCCUUUACUAACAAGCCAUCUAGGAGACUCAGGCAAAUAAAGCACUGCUACAGCAAAAUAAGCAAUCGAAGGAAUCGAAAGAACAACAAGCAUUAAUCUCCAGCUUGGCGAGCUCAUCAAUGACAUUCCAAACACCAUGCAGUAUGACAAAAACAUUCCAAGAGAACCACAAAACUGAGGCAAAGUGUUCAGUAAACCUCUAAUUUCUGGAGGCGAUGUCUCAGAUAUGUAGAUAGGAACUAAAGUAACAGCCAAGCCAACUCCAAACCCAUCAAGCAGCCUUCCCAAAAGCAGGACAUACACAUUAGGGGACCAGAACAUCACAAGACCACUCACAAAAUAAAGGACAGACGAGACUAUAAGCAUAGGACGACGACCAAGCCAAUCAGCAACACCGCCAGCGAACGUAGUAACCAAUACGGCACCAAUAAGCGACAUGGCCACGAUUAAACCUUCUACAGUAGGAUCUGACUCCAAUUUGAACUCCCUCUUUAUGUAUAGUACAGCCCCUGCAUUUUUUUUACAAGAAUAAAGCGACAAGUACACAUUUUAUGUUUCAACAACAAAAUACGGGGAAAAACAUGCAGUUAUAAAACUAUAUAAGAUUUGGAAAAAGGUGCUUGCAUAUUUGGAAAUAUAAAAUUUGAAUAAAAUAAAUUGUGCAGUGCUUAUAAAAGUGUGGACUACAAACCAAUCCAAUCCUCGCAAAAUGUGACUAAUCCUAAAUAAUAGGCGUCUAGUAAGAAUAUACAUUCACGUUCACACAUGCAUAGCGAAGACAUAACUAGAUGAUGAGAAAGAUUUACCAGCAAUUGUGGCAUUGUCCCAUCCUUGCAAUAGGUUACCGAUUGUAGCGCCAAUAGCCACAAGGACUGCUCCACUCAUCUUCCUUCAACAGCAAGACAGCCAAAAGUGAUUGAGAGGUUUAAUAUUGUAACUUUUAAGAGAGGUAUCAAUUGAACCACCCAAACCCUUUCAUGGGAACGGGAGUUUUGUCAUUUCUACAGGACUAGAGUUCAUGAAACUUGAUAACGAGAGGAAAGGAAAACUGCUGCUGAACUCAAGAAUUGACACUAGAGAAAUAAGAACCAAGACAUAAUUUUUAGCUGCAAAAGAAGCAAACUAAGUGAAAACUUGGAAUGCAGUUUCUCAGCACCGGUAGUCCAGAUAACUAUCCUAAUUCACCAGCAAAAGCAUAAUGACUGACUCCAGAAAGAUGCCCAUUAUAAUUCACACCCCAUAUGUGACACUGAAUUACAAGCCUGAAACUACAGAGCUUUGAAACUAGACAAACCCAUGAAUCCACGAUAUAUGAUCGGCAUUCAUCCUUUUGACAACAGAAUGUGAUGUGUAGACACACAAUAAACGAAGCAAACAACGAACAACACCCAAAAAUAACAUUCGUCAAUAUGUCAGAGAUUCAAAAUGUCACAGAAAGACUAGCAUUUUAAGCUAUGGAGCGAAGAAUAUGCAAAUAAAUCUCUCCUUGCUGAAAUGCCGCACACAAAAUGUGGCAGCCAAGUUAAAGAGUAAUGAAUAGAAAAUUUUCAAAUUUGAAGAUAAAGAGGGCUGUGGCUGCUGCAAGUAAGCCAGUGGACUUUGAACCUGAUUUUGAACUGUCUAUAUUAGGGUUCAAGGAAUGAAGAAGAACAGGGAAACCACUGGAGGGCGUCACAGGUAAGCACCAAGCAAUAUGCAUAUACUAUCAUAACAGGUUACAAUACAGAAUCCGUAAGCCGUAGUUUCAAAAUCUUCAGUAGAGCCUCAAAUUCAUAAUCAGAUAAAACAUGAGAGAAGAUUUUGAAACAAAAGGUUGCAGAUAAAGCAUGACGAGGGGAUUGAAGCAUCAUAGUAGUGCUUAGUAUCAUUUCUAAACCAACGCACAAUCAUAAAUAGUAAAGCCUCGUAAAACAAACGUGAAAAAGAUUACAGAAAACUAGCAGUAUACAGAAAGAAGAUAGAGGAAGGACAGAUUUUUUUUUUCUUUUCCUGUAAAAACAAAAAAAAAAAAGAAGAGAAGAGAAGAAACAGCAAGCAAAUAUUAGAAAUAUAAAAAAAAAAAAAAAUUUACCUGGGGUCUUGAAUCUCUCCGCUCCUCGUUUGUCCUGAAACUGAACUAGUGGGAUGCUGCUGGAAAGGAUUGAUUGUGAGAACUGGGCGGCGAAUAAUGAUCGAAAAAACAAAAGAGAGAAAGAGGGAGGGGGAUGAAAAGAUUCGAUAGGGCCAACUGAAGGUGGAACAGAACCAGGAUGAGAUCCAACAAACACCAAAAUCCAAAAUCAAAAAGCCAAAAAAAAAAAAAAAAACGCCUUAAUCCGAGUCUAGGCCAUCCGGCAUGUACUCUAUAAUACUACUACUAUCUAGUAUAUUAAUUCCAGUACUGCUCCUCCCCACUUUUCACCCUGUAACAAUGAUUGUGACUACUGACUAGUGCUGCUUUUGUUUUGUUUUCUAUUGUAUAUUUAUAUGAAAUGAAAAAAAAAAAAAGCUAAUCCCUACUUUGACAUGAUUGUGAGCAGUAGAAUUUUGAUUGAUCACUGGCCCUCACCACCCAACUUUCAAAGUUUAUAUAUAGUAACGGCAGCAGCAGCAGUAGUAGUGCAAAGUAUGUUGUUUUGUUACCUAUACGUGACUGUACGCCUGCCUGUAGGGGGAUGAUUUUGUUAUUUAACUACUACUCGUAUUAAGCAAACAGAAAAACAAAAACAGAGAAAGAGAGCGAGAGACAGAGAGGAUAAAAUAGUACGUACAACGUAGUAGUAGUAGUAGUGCUAAGUUAAGCAAAGCAGCAGAAGUGCUUUGUUAAGAGUCUGACUGGGGGAAGCAGAAACGCAACUCCUUUCCUCCUUUGUAUUGCUGCUGCCCAACCAACGGAAAACACAUCCUCCCAAUCAAAACUUUGUCGCCUGAUUCAAGUGGGUCUCUCUCUCUCUCUCGGCCCCAAAAGAAGAAAAAAUAAAUAAAGAGCCUAAUAAUAAAUUAAUAAAUUAACACAAAGCAGGAAGGAGGUCAGGAGCAGGAGGAGGAUGAUGAUGACGACGAUGAUGAGUACCUACCAGCUGUCAAGAAGAAAGAAACCGAACAGAACAAGCAGCAAAGCUUUGGCUCAUCCUUCAAAAAUUUGAAAAUCAAUCAGUCGCUCGCUCUCGCUCUACUAAAUUAUUAUAUAUACACAUACACACCUAGUACUACUAGUCCACCACGUAGCUAAAUUACCUGUAAUUAUCGGAGUACUAUAUUAGACUACAGUACAAGCAAGCUCCCUGGAAUGAGCCACAACACAACUCAACUCCCUCCGCUCCACGUCAAUUAUCUUUUGGUGUCAUUAUCAAUCAAUCACCUAUUCGCUGGCUCGGUGCCUGCCUGCCACCAAACGAAAAAUAUAAUUUAUUCUGCUCUUUUUGUCUUUUUCUUCUUUAUUUUAAUAUUAGGAUGGGAUAAUUUCAGAAACCUUCUCUUCACUCGGCUCCCCUGAGAUUUGAAAGCAAAAUUAUAUUUAAAAUGAUAAUUUUACUCUUAAAUAUUUUAAUAAAAUUCUCUUAUUUGAUAUGCUUAUAAUUAGAAUGAGUUUUAAAAUUAUUCUUUUAUUCUUUUUUCUUCUUAUUGUUUUUCUUAAUUUUUUUAUCAAUAAAAUUGUAGAACUAUCACUAUUACCUCUAGGUUUCUAUUAUAACCAAAUGUCGAACUAGUGAUUUUUCUUUUUACCAGUUAAUUUAGAUGUAGUUCAAUGUUUUGUUGAUCUUUGUUUUCUAUUUUUUGGUAUUAAAAAUAACAAUAAAUCAAAAGGAAAUGGCCCAAAAGUAUUACUAAAUUAUGAUAAUCCCACUAUUUCAAAAAUUUAUAAACUCUAAAUAAAUUAUUUCAACAUGUUCUUUUCUAUCUUAUAAAUCUAAAUUCAUAAUAAAAUACCAUAAAAAAUAUCAUAUCAUAGUAUUAAAAUAAUUGUUUAUCAAAUAGUAGAUAUGGACAUAAAAAAUUUGGCACUUUUUCUUUAUAAUUAUACUAAAUAAUCAUAUAAUUGUAUAGAAAAAUAAAUUAAAAUUCAUUAUACAAGGCCAUUUUUGGAUAUUUAUUUUAAAAAUUGUCCAAGUCAAUAUUAUUUUAAAGUUUUGUUAUUAAAACUAUCAAAUCAAGGAAGGUAAACGAAAUUUUUUAAAUUUUAGAGGAGUGUGAAAUUGUCAAAAACCUCAAUGAAGAUUUCUGAAAUUAUCCCUAUAAGGAAUUGCGAAAUGGAAAAGGAUGGAAAACAUGGGCUGGGUAGCUGAAGUUUGGGGCAAACUGAUUACACUCGAAGAUACGGGCCUAUGGUCAAUCAAAUCCGGUAGUCUGAAUUUUUAGAAUGUAGGCCAAGAAAUUCGAUCUCUUAACCUACGCUCAGCCCAAGUAAUUUUGGAUUAAAAAGUAAUGGAUUGUAAUACAGCUCAUAGACACAUUUUUCAUUUAGGUAAGAAUAAGUCUGGAGUUGGACCUGCCCUUUCUGGGUGCUGUUUUUGGUACUCAAUUUGGCGUUGUGUAAAUGUGGCCUGCUUAUUUAACUUAGGAAGCAAAAGAAGUUUUCCUGCCCACAGAGUCGCAUGCUACACAUUGAAUAAGGUUCAACUACAUCUUGGCUUGUAAUUUUGGAUUUGUCAUGUGAAUGCAAAGUCAUGAGCAUGUGGGCAUCCCUUGUUCAUGAAUAUGAAACUCAAAUUUGAGUUUUUUGUGAGGAAUUGUGCAUGGAGCUCAUAGUCACAUUAUCCCUUGUCCAUUGUUUUUUAUUUUUAUUUUUAUCGAGACGAUAACUGUUGUAUAAUCUAUUCUAUCCUACGUUAGAAGGGAGAGGGAGCCUAAAGAGGCUUGUAUUGAAGACUAGCAGGUAUACAAACCUUACUCAUAGUCACAUUGUUGAGCUCACCCAAGUUUAGGCUUUCAGUUCAAGUGUCAGAAAUUUUAAUAGCGCCUCAGAGCACAGCUAAUAUGAAGUGAUAAGCAUUAAACACUACUGUUGCGACACUAAACUUUUGAGUUGGUUAAUCUUUGGGCAGUUUCUAUGAUUAUGUUUUCAACAUUUGAACAUUCGGUGGAUUUUAUAUAUCAGAACAUUGUCCAAAAGAGAAACGAAGAACAGUUCGACAACUUAGUGUGACAUGUUUAGCUAGCUAAUGCAGCUGGAGCUGUUCGUACCGUGAUCUCUAAUCCUGUUGAUCUCUUUAUUGUGUCAUCCCUUUACAACAGAAAGGCUGAAACUAUUUGGCAGCCAAGUUUUUUGUCAAGUUUGUUUUUUACAAGUUUUUUAAAAACUUUAAUUACAGUAACAUUAAAAACUUUUCAAAGUUUUUAAAUUAUACACUUCAAAAUAUUCAAAAAAAAACACACGCUUCGAAAUUUUUUUAAAAAACUUCUACAUAAACUACAGUAAAGUUUUAAACAAACAUCCAAAAAACUCACUUGCAAAAUGGGGCCUGUAUUGCAGGUAAAAACUACUAAGCUUGAGUGGCCACCAUGGAGGGACUUAAGUCCCUUCUAAAACUGUAGGUGAGAAUUCAAAUCCAACCUGUAGCGAAAAAAAUUCAAGGGUGGUAUCAAAGCACUCCUUUGAUCUAGUAAGAUUUGUAUACCUGCUAAUCCCUAACACAUGUAUCUUUAGACUUCCCCUUCUCUGUAAAUUAUGAUGGAAUAUAUUAUACAAUUGUUGUUGCCCAAAAAAAAAAAAAGUAGACAAUUGAAACCUGUUUUUAAAUGAACUUUUUUUGUAAAUGGAAUUAGUUGGGUUGGAUUUCACAUGCUGUAAAUUUUAAGGCUGCAAAGAACUAUACAGGGUUUGUCAAUUUGUUUACUAGAAGUCUUCCUGUUCGAAUGACUAUUGUGGGGCCAGUUGUGAGUCUGCAGUGGUUUUUCUAUGUCAGCAUCAAGGUGUUAAGCGGGCUGUAAGUAUUGGUUUUUGUUUACCUUCCAUUCUCAGUGCUUUUGUGCUCUUUCUUGGAUUAUCUGUGCUUGGGGUAUAGAAAUUGAAAAUGCUACUGCCAAAUCUAGCAUCUAGCUGGAAAUUUGAUCAUCUGUGCCUCAAUCGAUUGUUGUACAUCUAACUCCUGGAGAAUAUGUUCAACUGUUAGUUAAAUGGCAAUGUUGUUCCUCAGAUUUCUCAUCCCCCAACAACCCCACAAAACAAAAAAAAAAGGGCUGUUGAUUUUCCUUAUGGAGGCUUGUUUUAUUGAAGAGUAGGAAGGAUCAAGAAAUCAAAUACAUGUCCCUCGCCCUUCCUCCCGCCCUCCCCCGUCCACAAAAAAAGGGGGAAAAAAAAGAGAGUAAAUGUUAAUGAUCUCUCUUUACCAUGAAACUACCAAUGCAAGACAAUGAUGAGGUUACAUGCAAUUGUGUGCCUGCUUCCUUGGGUGGAAAGAGAUAAUUGCAGUGUCCAUUUUAUGUGUGGUGAAAGUCUCCUGCUUUGCUAAUUUGUUGCCUCAUUUAAUGAUUGUGAUUUUGUUUUACAAAUUCAUUUUUAGCUUUGUGUCCUGAAAAAAUGUAGGCCUACUAGCGGAGGAGGGCUUAGCAAGCAUGUUAAAGAUACCACAACGUUAAGCUGCUAGGAUGUGAACAAAGAGUCAAAUGGCAAACAGAGGUAAUGAAACCGUGCAUGGUGGUGGCUUCUCAAGUUAUAGCUGAUAUGUUAUGUCAAUAAGUUUCUUUUAAUUAUCAGGUUCUCAUUGUUCAAUCAAAAGUAUAUGAAUCAACGUAAAGCUUUGAAUGCCACAUUAUUGUUUAGAUAGAGUUUGAAAGACUAGGAAGUUAACUCUGAAAAUAAGUUAGUGUGUUUCUCCUUGAGAAGGUUGUGCUGUGCAUAAUCAGUUGAUGCAUAAUCUAGUCUCUUGAUGCGAAAGAAACGGGCCGGAGUGUUGGUUGAGACUUUUGAGUCUUGAGAAAAUGCUACUAUAUAUCAUGAUUUUGUAGAAAAGUGAAAUUACGAAAAAUCGACGAGAAUUGAACCACUAUGGAACCAUAUCAGUGCAUUACGCACCCUGCUCUGCUAAAUCCUUGAGGAUAAAGUUUAAGGCUCUAUAUUAGUAGUAUAUCUAUGGGACGAAACUUGCAGGAGAAGUGAAACAAAGGUGGAUAAUCUUGUACUAAUAGUCUUUGAGAUGUCAUACGAGAUUUAGCCCCGUACUUUUGUCUUGGGCAAAACACACGUGGUUUUAACUUUUAACUAAGUCCAACGUAUUACUGGUUGGGUUAGAUUUGGAUGACGCGACGAAAUGUGAAAAUUGGACAUGUCCGAUUUUGGUUGCCAACCUUGACCGAAUUAAUGACCGUAGACUGCCCUGAAUGGGGCCAUGCUUCGAUUUUUUUUUUUUUAUUGGUACAAUCCCCAGAUGUUCGCAUCCGUUUUAUGAUCUGCGACUAAUCCUGUUCGAGUCGGAUCGGAUCCCUUGCAGAGAAAACUCUUCCAAAGUUAUUUUUUUCAUUCCGAUGGGUUUCAAACUCGAGACCAUGGUUAAGGGAUGCAAACCUCUUCCACUUGCACCAACAUCCGUUGGUGGGCCAUGUUUCUAUUGAAACGGACAAUGUUGUACCAGUACAAGAUUAAGGGAACUAGAAUUGCUGAUUACGCAUGGGUGGCGCGAUAAAAAAUAUAAAAAAAAACUCAACUCUUUCUUUCCCUGAGCAGGCAGGGUUUGCACCUGAUUUAGAAAAUGUUGUUUAUAGUCAGACCUCUAAAGCAUCAAAUACGAGUUUUCAUGGGCAUCAGUAAUUUUAUAGAACUCUAAACCCUUCUUAUGUAGACCUCGAGUAUUGUUUAGUUUUCAAUAGAAAGUUAUUAAGAGUAGUAUUAUUAUUGAUCCUCGUAAAAAAGCAAAAUAUCAUAGCACACUAUGGGUCAAAAACUCGGGAGCAUUUAUCCAUUAACUUUAAUUUAUGCAAGUCAAAAACUCAAUCUUGACUCAAAUUAAUAUACUAUUUCAUACCCUUAUUUAUUUAGAUGUUAUAUGCUAUAACACAUGUGUCUCUGUUUGGGUUAUAAAUUAUUUGAGAUAUUUUUACUGUAGCAUUUUUUGUGAUGUGAUGCAUGUGAGAUAAAAAGGUAAUUGGAAAGAUAAAUAGGUGUGUUGAAAAUUGUAAUGAUGAUGAGUGUGUUUGGAUUGUAAGUUAUUUGAAAUAUUUUUACUGUAGCACUUUUUGUGAUGUGAUGUAUGUGAGAUAAAAAAGUAAUUGGAAAGAUAAAAAGGUGUAUUGGAAAUUGUAAUGGUGAUGUCAGCAAAUAUAUUUGGCCAAAUAAUUGGCUGUCCAAACACACUCGAUGUAAGCAAAUAAAUUUUGACAAAUAAUCCUCUAUCCAAACAAAUAGAGUCACUAUUCUUUUGUUACUAAUUAUAUAACCUAUUCUAUUUUAGUAGCUAAAUCAAAAGAACGUUUUGAUAUCACCCUUAGAUUUUUUUUUUUUAUUGCAAGUGAAAUUUGAACCCCUCACUUACAAUCUAAAGAGAGACUUAAGUCCCUUCUUUUUCUCAGUGGACACUCAGCUUGCUUAGUGGUUCUACUCUUUUUUUACUCUCUCGGACAGAAUUCCUACUCUUUUUUGCUUGGCUCCACUUUCAGCACAUUGAUUUAGGCGGCUUGAAUGUACAAACAAUAAUGUUGAACGAAUCAAAGAUAUAAUACUAACAGUUAGGAGCACCGCCAAAACCUCAAGGGUAGAUUGUAAAAUUGUCGUCGAUGGAGUCAUAAUUAACAACAAAAGGCUGCUAGCAAAGCAAGGCUGGUGAGCGCUCGAACAUAAAUGAAAUCUAAAUGUGGACAUGGAUGUUUCUGGGCAAGUGACACAUUUUAUUGUGGCAGGAAAGAGGCUGGGACAACGCUACCUCUGAACUUGUUUCUCUCUCUCUCUCUCUCUCUCUCUCUCUCUGGAUAAAAAGCUUGUCUCUCACCUGUUACAAGAUUUUUUUUUUCUCUAAAUCAUGUGCCUGAAUUAAAAGUAGGGAUAAUUUCGGAAACCUACCUUGAAGUUUUUGACAAUUUCACUUAGCUCCCUCGAGAUUUUAGAAAUUACGCAUACCUCUCUAGUCAUUUAAAAUGACAAUAUUACCCUUAAAUAUUUUAAUGAAAUGACUCCCUUAUUGGUGUGUUCAUAUUUAGACUGAUUUUUAAAAUUAUAUUGUUUUCAUUCUUUUUCCUUCUUAUUCUUCUUUUGUUUAAAUUUUUUGCCAAUAAAGUUGUAGAAUUACUACUGUUACCUCUAGUUUCAUUUGUAACCGAAUGCAGAACUAGUGAUUUUUUUGAUGAGUUAACUUUAUACGUAAUCCAAUGUUUUUGCUAAUCUUUGUUUCUUAUUUUUUGGUAUUAAAAUUAAUAAUAAAUUAAAAAGAAAUGGUCCAAAAUCAUUGCUAAAUUAUGAUAAUCCUACUAUUUGAAAAAUUCAUAAACUCUAAAAUGAAUUAUUUCAACAUUUUCUUUUCUAUAUUAUAAAUUUAAAUUCAUAAUAAAAUACCAUUAAAAUUAUCCCAUUAUAGUAAUAAAAUUAUUAUUAUAUUUGUUUAUCAAAUAGUAGACAAGAACAUAAAAAAUUUGGCACCUUUUUUCUUAUAAUAAUACUAGAUAAUCUUAUAAUUGUAUGUGAAAGUAAAUUAAAACUCAUUACACAAGGGUACUUUUGAGUAAUCAUUUAAAAAUUUGAUCGGGUCAAUAUUAUUUUAAGAUUUUGUUACUAAAACUAUCAAAUUAAGGGAGUUAGAUGUAAUUUUUAAAAUCUCAGGAGAGCUCAGUGACAUGAAGGACCGGAAGGGGGAGUGACUUUACAGUUCAAAAAUCAUCAUUCAUUUUUGAAUUGAAUAAACUCAGGCCUAAUGAAUUCAAACUUUUGUCAACAAUUGAAUAAAGUUAAGGCCUAAUGUAAUGAAUUCAAACUUUUGGAAACAACUGAGCACCAAAUUCAUUAUCAUGACAUUAACAAUUAUCCUAGUCCCACCUUUUUAUUGGGUGCCUUUACAGAAAAAGAUUAGGAGUAGUGGUAUAAAAGAAGCCAUCAAUGGAAAAGCAACAAGUUUAAUAUUGACGGAGGGGUUGUGUGUAGACUAGCAGUAUCAUCAUGUUCUCUUUGCUUGCAAGUAAGUCCCGUUAUUUAUUUCAACUAUAUAUAUAUAUUUUUAUGCAUAUAUAUAUAUUUUGACUGACUGAAAGCGAAAAAAUAAAACAGGCAAUAACAGGUGCACCUUAAUGUAUAAUGGAGUAGUCGAGUAGAUUUUUAUUAUUUGUAGAGUGAGAUUUCUCUGCUUGUUUAUUUAUUAUUUUAAAAAAAAGAAGAUAUGGAGAAAAUGAUAGGGACUGAAGGAUAUUAACCAUCAUCAUCGUCGUCGUCCUCCUGAUUUUUUCUGGUUCUGAUGAUGAUCGUGAUUCAGAUUCAUACGAUCGUCGUCGUAGUUUCCGCUCUCAUUCGUGAUCCCGCCGGCACAUGAUACGUCGAUCGACCUAAACUUUCCUCAAAGGUCUGUUUGUUUGACUCCUAAUCUCUCUCUUUCUCUAAUCUGCAUAUCUUCUAUGUCUCGCAUCCUUCUCCUUGACUUCUGAUAGCUGAUUUGUCUGACGUUAGCUCCGGCACAGCUGGUACUUGCUUUAAUUAUUUCUUCUCUUUUCUCCUUCCGAUUUUUUUUUUUUAAUAAGAUUGGGAAAAUUAGAUAUUAGACCUUUUAGAUCUCUUAGCUCUCUUCUCCUGUGCUGGCGUUGGAAUUGGGAUUCCGCAAUCAGCUCAGGUGAUAUCUUUCGCGCAGAAGUUAAAAGUACGCGCCAUCUUCUGCUUCUCUUUUUUUGUAUAUUAUGAACGUUGAAGCUGGUCCUUUUUGUCGAUUUGGAAUCUGAAAUGUUCUCCUCCUCUUCUUUUGCUUUACGCAUUUGCUUUUGCAUAUUCAUCCGAUCUCCCAUUUCUCGCUUAAUUCUUCUUGUCUUGUGUCUGCUUCUGUUCCUUCUCUCUCUAUCUCUAUUUUUUUUCUCCCUACUUAUUGUAUCUUUUUAUAUUUUUUCUGUUUCCUUACUUCUUCUUUCUAAAAUUUUCUUUUUUCUUCGUUUGUGUUGUAUAUUGUGAACAGAACCCCCAAAAAAAAAAAAAAACACACACACACACACACACACAGAGUAACGGAAUGAAUUGUUCAACAUUUUUCCCGUCACGAAUUCGUCCUCAUUUUUUGUGAUUUACUCGUGUAUUACAGUCUCUGUAGUUUGAAGUGAACAACAAACAUUUGGAUGAGGAGGAGACAGCUAAUCUGUUACAGCAGCAGUUAAGAAGUAAUAAUACCUUUUCUGAGGCACAAGUUUGGGUGGGGGUGAGGGUAUUCUGAUUGUUUCAUGGGCAAUACAUGCCGUGGAUCUUUUGGAGGCAAGCAUUUUCAGGGCUACGCAACUCCCGAAGACCAUUCUAACCCCAAGCGUAACCCUUCCUCCACCUCCACCGCUGCUCACUCUGACCAUUCUUCUUCUGACAACUUCUCUCCCACCACCUUAGCGUCUCAACACCUUGUUGCUCAAGAUUUGUCCAAGGAUCCUCACCACCCAAAACCCCAAAACGAAAACCACAAUCAUAAUUUCGCCCUUGUUAGUCCCAAGAAGGAGACCAUCAUGAGUCGUGCCAACAACAAUCAAGCUUACUAUGUAUUAGGUCACAGGACUGCUAAUAUCCGUGACCUUUACAUGUUAGGACGUAAACUAGGACAAGGCCAGUUUGGUACCACUUAUUUGUGCACCGACGUUUCCGCUGGUGUUGAAUAUGCCUGUAAAUCAAUCUCCAAGAGGAAGCUAAUUUCCAAAGAAGAUGUUGAGGAUGUUAGGAGGGAGAUUCAGAUCAUGCACCACUUGGCAGGCCAGAAGCAUAUUGUUACCAUUAAGGGAGCUUAUGAGGACCCUUUGUAUGUUCAUAUUGUCAUGGAGCUAUGUGCUGGAGGUGAACUGUUUGACCGUAUUAUCCAAAGGGGACACUACAGUGAGAGAAAGGCAGCACAAUUAACUAAAAUUAUUGUAGGGGUUGUUGAAGCGUGCCAUUCACUUGGGGUGAUGCAUAGAGAUCUAAAGCCAGAGAAUUUCUUGUUGAUUAACAAGGAUGAUGAUUUCUCUCUCAAAGCCAUUGAUUUUGGACUCUCAGUUUUCUUCAAGCCAGGUAAAUGAAAUCUUGAUUUCUAAAUCAUCCAAAACAAAAGUAGAAGAUACAAAAUUUUAUGAGACAUUCUUCCAAUUUUGUCCUGCUAUCUCCUUUCAGAGUCGAUUAUUGUAUGAUAACAUUAAAAGUGACCAACCUUGCAGGAUGUUUUAAGGCAUAUGGUCUUUUGACUUUUGUCUAUCUCUAAUUGUUUCAGGCCAGGUAUUCACUGAUGUGGUUGGAAGCCCAUAUUAUGUUGCCCCUGAGGUGCUUCUAAAGCAUUAUGGUCCCGAAGCAGAUGUCUGGACAGCAGGGGUCAUUCUAUACAUUUUGCUUAGUGGUGUUCCACCCUUUUGGGCUGGUAUCAUUUCCUGCUCCAUACUAGACAGUUGUGUUCAUUUCUGUACUAUAUGGUAAAAACUCAUGCUACUAUUUUGCAGAAACACAACAAGGGAUAUUUGAUGCGGUUUUGAAGGGACACAUUGAUUUUGAAUCGGACCCCUGGCCAUUAAUAUCUGACAGUGCACAAGAUCUCAUCCGGAGGAUGUUAUGCAUGCGACCUUCAGAGCGCUUAACUGCUCAUGAAGUUUUAUGUAAGUCUGUAUUCAUGAAGUGUUAGCAGCCAAUUUUAUGUUAUUUUUAUUGUCCUAUGUGAAUGAUUCUGUUCACAGUUCUUUUACUUAGUCCAGCAUUUUGGUCAAUGCAAUUACUUUGUAACCAAGACUACUUGUUUGACAUGAUGAAUACGCAUAUUCCAUUGGAUUGCAUUAGGUAUCAAUAUUGUCUGCAGUUGGCUUAACUCCCUGUAUAGUUCAGUUGAUGUAAUUGGUUGCCUUCUGUACUAAAUAUGCUUGAUUGAAGAGAUUGAAGUAUGCGCUUGAUGUGUGCACUCUAGAUACUAAAAUGUGGCUUCAGGCAUUAGAUUAAUUUUGUCGUGGUUAAAGUUUUUAGCGGUUAACAUUCUUUUGAAGCAUGUGUGGUGCCUUUGGCAAAAAGCAUUGCUGUGCCUUUUUCUAUAUGUUUCAUCUACAUAUAUGUGUAUUCAUACAAAUGAUAGUGCUAGUAGUAUUUUUUGUUGUACCUAUUCUACUUCGCGUAACUAACCUUUGGGUGUCUGGUGAUAAUACAAGUUACUGAAAUGUUUAUGUGAUUCUUAUGCCUUUACCUUAAUGUUGAUAGGUCAUCCUUGGAUAUGUGAAAACGGCGUUGCUCCUGAUAGAGCUCUAGAUCCUGCUGUACUUUCUCGUCUUAAGAAUUUUUCUGCAAUGAAUAAAUUGAAGAAGAUGGCUUUGCGGGUAUGUAGUAUAUAAACAGCAUCUCUUGGACUGUGGCCUUGUAAAUGUUUUCUUGCCUACAGUGCAAUUUUUGCUUUCUCUGUGCGAAAGGGCCUACCUCAGAAACAAUAGCAAUUUUUUAUUUCUUUCGUGUUACAAUCUUUGCAUGAAUUUUUAAAAUAAUUCAUGUGCAUUAAAGUUGUUUCAUGAUAUAGAUGUUGACCCAGUAAUCUUGCAAUGUCAAAUGCAUUUAUUCGUACUUGGAAAAUCAUUGAUUUGUUAUCUCAGAGCAGUACAGAACCAUAUCUUUGCAAGAAACAUCAUAAUGUCCACAUAAAAACAAGUUAUAUUUGUAUGACCAGCCAACUGUUAAAAACAGCUUGCAAUAGCGUGCUCUCUCUCUCUGUCUCUGUUCCCCAGCCAUGGUGGGCAACUGUAGAGGCAUUCUGGUUAAUUUAAUCUACAUCUGCUUUAUUUAUUCCCAGGUGAUAGCAGAAAGCCUGUCUGAAGAGGAGAUUGCUGGCUUAAGAGAGAUGUUCAGGGCAAUGGAUACUGAUAACAGUGGUGCGAUCACAUUUGAUGAACUUAAAGCUGGACUGAGAAAAUAUGGAUCUACCUUGAAAGAUAUAGAAAUACGUGACCUCAUGGAUGCGGUGAGAAGCUGUUCCCCAGCGUGUAUUAUGUUCUAUACCUGUGCUCGAUUUGUGGAGUGGACAAAUUAUUUCAUUUCAUUGUUCCUUUUUUUAUCUGGGAUCUUUGCUAGGAACCUGCUGAGAUGAAGAAAAAGAUUUAACCAUACUUAAUGAUCAUAGGAAGUUUCUAAUCUGUGGUCUAAUGAAUUAUGAAGCUUGGAAUCCAUAUGUUUUGUUGAAUGGUAAUAUUUAUCCUUGUAAGAAUCCAUGAUGUGAGUCAUGAAAUAUGGAUUUUGAAUGUAGGUUUAUAAAUUCUUCUUGUGCUUUAUGUAUUUGUGCAAGUGCAGUCAGCAACACAACUGCUGAAACGUAUAGCAAAUAAUGUAACUUUUUCUAUCCCCUGGUGUAACUUUUAGACCAUUUUAUUUGGGAAAUUCAUGCUUCUUGUGGCCGGGAUUCAUAUUUUUAGCAUUUUAAAAUUCUUAGUGUAUUCCUAGGAAAGUUCUUAGGAAAGUUAACUAGUAAUAGUGUAUUCCUCAUCUAUCACUAGUGAACUAAUAUCUAUUAUUUGGAUUAUAGUCAUGCUAGUAUAUGCUCACAUUGAAUAUUAAAAAAGAAAUCUCUACUUUGCAGGCUGAUGUGGAUAACAGUGGGACCAUCGACUAUGGAGAAUUUAUUGCAGCAACAAUUCACCUUAACAAAUUAGAACGCGAGGAACAUCUCAUGGCAGCCUUUCAAUAUUUUGAUAAGGAUGGAAGUGGUUAUAUUACAGUUGAUGAACUCCAGCAAGCUUGUGCCGAACAUAAUAUGACAGAUGUUUUCCUUGAAGAUAUUAUCAGAGAAGUUGAUCAAGAUAAUGUAAGUUUGAUACUUGGGGAGAGAAUGUGGAUCUCAUUGUUCAGUUUAUAAAUUGCUUGUAGUUUAGAACUAAGGGUGCUAACAGUGUUAGUUAUUCAUUUAAAGUUACCUUCCACAGUUGGCUAUGCUAAUCUUUGACUAACUUGUAACAAGUUUACAUCUUGGACACAAAAGUUUGGCACUCCUGGCAUCUCUAGUGUCAUGUGGGGAAUGACUGGUGGAAUUAUGAAGCCUUUUGUUCAACAAAAUCUUUCCCUCUUGUCUCCAUUCUCUUCCUUACUGGCAAGAGCAAUAUGAUUAGUUAAGCGAGAGACAUUCAUGCUAUGUUUGGUAGAGAAGGAAGAAAAUUUGACAGAUGAAAAAAAGGAUGAAUUUAUGUUGCUGGUAGCACCAUUACUUUCCCUUAACUUAUUCGUAUGGAAAUUAUUUUGUUGUUCCUAGGGUAUAUAAGUAUUUAGUAUGUACAUGGCAAGAUAAUCGAGGUCAAAAGUGAAUAAGCAUUUGAGCCUGCCUUCCUUCCAUCUUCUUCCCCCAGUGAGAUAAAUCCCAGAAAUUUGGGGUAUUUAGUUUGAUUAGCUGGGCCCCUUCCUUCCCCAUUUUGUAAGAAUUACCAACGUAAUCUCUCCUGUCAGUCUAAUUGUGGUUUAAAUAAUCUGUUUUUGUCCUUAUUCUUCCUUUUUAUUUUGUUGUAAUAUGUACAAUUACUGUGCUUAAGCUUGUAUACAAUUUCAGGAUGGAAGGAUUGAUUAUGGGGAAUUUGUUGCUAUGAUGCAAAAAGGCAAUGCAGGCAUUGGAAGACGAACAAUGCGAAACAGUCUCAAUAUUAGCAUGAGAGAUGCUGCAGGAGCUCCUUGAUCAUUAGUUACUAUAAUCAGACACCUCAUUCAUUACUUCUAGUCAAACUUGUGUCUUUGCAGUGUCCUAUUCUCUACUGUUAUGGAAGAACGAAAGAUCAGGAAGCUGUAAGGGCAUCCUUGGUAGUCAAUGUAAUUAUACAGGUAGAUCAUAGGACACUUGCCCGCAAUUCUGUUUUUGAGCAAUUACACCUGUUGUUUGUUCUAAUAUUCUCCUUAUGCGAGCCAAGGAGGUAAAGAUGUUGAGCUCAAUGUGUAAAGUCUUGAUCCACUGCUUGAUCGCGCAGCGUGAGAUUUGGAUUGUCAAAGAUGAAGUCUGGAGCUUGAUCCUUGUUGCCCCGCCAUGAUGCAACUGUUGAUCUGGGGAGAAUGUUGUAAGCAUGGGAGAUACUUUGGUUAUUGGGCUAGUUCAGCUGCUUUCCGCUGCUAAUUUAUGCCGGUGUACUGAAGGGGGAAAAAUAAAAACUUUGUGCUUAUUCUUCUUGGAGGAGGUUGAUGUGCAGGCAUCUCAUCUAGAUUUGUUUUUUCCCAUUUUUUAGAUUAUGUACUUGGCUUGGUUUUGUAAUCGACAGAAAUGGCUCCAAACUCUGAAAAUUUUUCUUCUAGUUUUCUCAAUUCCAAUUUUGAGGUGUGUUGUUUUCGUAGAUGUUUUUGUGCUUCACAUGGACAGCAAUAGAACGGGGAGCUUUUUCCACUCUCAGAAUCGAAUAAAAUAAGCGUGGAAUCUAUAUAUGCGUAACAAGUUCUAUUCACGUGUUAAUUGAUGAAGAAAAAUUAGUGGGAGUGUUUGGAUAAAGUAUUAUUUGAAAUAGUUAUUAUAAUAUUUUUUAUGAUGUAAUGUAUGUGAGAUAAAAAAUUAAUUAAAAAUAUAAAAUAAUAAAUUGAAAAAUAUAUUUAGGGUGCAAGAAUAAUAUAGACAGUGAAGAAGUACCAGAAGCUGUUUACACGGAGAAGAAUAAUAUACUGCGACGGGCAAGAAGGAAUGCCGUUUACGCGACACGGAGACCUGAUGGUUGACACUGGAUGAUGUUGUAGUAUGACCGUACCAGAAGCUGAACCAGUUCUGCCCUGCGCGCAUGGUAAGAAUAACAAAGGCGCAAGUGAACUGUAAAGUAUUUUUCCUAUUAUGUCUAAUUGAAGACGGAUGCUUCAAUUCGGAGGGCUUUUCUUUUUUUCUUUGACGCUGUGCCAAUUAGAGGUUGCAGGUCCUGAUGUCAGUUUGUCAUCAACUCCUUGGCAGUUUCGCAUGCUAUUACAACUUCCUACACAAGAAAGAAAGUAAAGAGUAUAACUUGCAGGGAGGGGCGGUGCUAAUAAGUAAUCGGACAAGUACUAGUAAGGAUAGGAUAAAAGAGGAAAUGAGAUUACUGGGACUUGCCUUCAACCUUGCAUCAGCCGAAAAGGAGCAUUUGGAGGUGAUUGCGAGUCCCCGGUCCAACAGCCAUCCAACUUGGAACCAAGUCUCUCCUUGCUCCUCUUCUUGAUUUGAUGAACACCAGAGUUGCUUUGGUAGCAGAAUGAGGCUACUGCCGUCUCUCGACACCGACAAAGGCACACUGUCAUCAUCAUCCACCACAAGUUCUCGGAAAUUCACCCUCUGACACAGCAUAACAGAUGCUAAUAAGAAUGUCAUCUGCUUGAAAACUGAAACGAAAGCUACAGACACAUACACAGAUACCAGCCAGCAAGAGUCAGUAGCAAAAUUAAUCUAACCUCCUCCUCCGGUUGGAAGGUGGCAGUUGCCGGGAGGCCUUGCCAUACGCCUGUGACUUGACAACUGGUCAAGGCAGGAGUAGAAGCAAAUGCAGAGUCUCGUAUGGCACAACCACCCAGCUGCUCCCCAUUUCUGAAGGGACCAUACCACUGCUCGCAGAAUACCUGGAUUCCCUCCAAUUGCAUCAUGUUCAUCGGCUCUCCUUGGUCGUCACCAUCUUCUGCCGGUGGUUGCUGUUUUAUCCGGACAGCCUGAAUUAUUCGCACCCGGGAUUCCCCGUCUCGAGGGUGAAUCAGGCAAUGCUCCAACUCCAGCUGCACGAGUGAUCCGCCAUUCUCCUUGGGCCAAACAGCAACGUAACAUCCAUUGGAUUGAUAAGCAAAGGCGGUGGCGGCUGCCGGACUGGCAGCAGCAGCAUUAGCAAGAAGAAGAUUAAUGUUCCUCUGAAGAAGGCUAUAUGUGGUGGCAGCAUCAGCUUCGCAACCAACGGUGGGAAGUAGCCUGAUCAACUUGUACGUGAGUUGAAAAUGAGUUGGGUGAGCCAGAGUGGGGCACUGAGUUUGCCAGUCGAAAACCUUCACCUCCCAGUCCCUGUAGGCUUGGGGGACUACUGAUUCGGGCAAUUCCAUGGGUUCCCCAUCCUUGCUAAAGUCUGCUCCAUAUCCAUCCCAUUCGCCGGAAACCUUCUCCGCAAAUUCUGCCCAACCUGAAGAAUUUGGUCCCAAAUAGCAGUACAAGUUUUGUUUUUCGCAUCAGAUGCUACUACUGCCAGUAGUAUUAUUAAUUGAGAUGGCCUGGAAACAGAUCCUUCAAAAAGUUCAAAAGUGUGCGCGUGUGUGUGUAUUAAAAGAAAAGGGAAGCACUCACUGGUGGAUGUUGAGGGGUGAACAUAGUGAGACUGGGGUGUUUCCUCCGUGAUGGCGGUCUUGGCAUUUGCAGGCACAGCGAAGAAUUUGACGCGUGGAAAUCUACAGGUGGCGUUGGAGGAGUGAUGCCUGCGGUGGAUAAAAAGGGUCUGACGAGGAUUUGGGGAAGAAGAGGGACAAUUUUUGAGAGAAGCAUUGAAUGCUAUGCGGAGGUGCCCGAAGACAGCUGUGUUAGCGCUUAAAGCCAUACCAUAACAAAGGAAGUGGUAGUUCUAGUAGUACUAUGUACACCGGCCGCAGCCCAGAGCAGCUAAGUCACACCAAGUCCGGUAUCUCCACUCCAAUCUCGGAAGCACUCUCCAUCACCGUCCAACCAUUUCCGACCACUAACAGUAACCAGACGCAAGAAGAUAAAAGGAGAAUCCGUCACUACUUUCUUCUGUUCCCGUUUUUAAUUUUAAAAAAUAAUAAUAGUGUACCACUCUUUUUCUUUAUAUAUAAUAUAUACGGUGGUGAAUAUGAGAUAAUAAGUGAUAAUUAAAAAUAUAAUAAAAUUAAUAAAUUUACAAUGCAAGUUAAAUAAUAUUUAAAAGAAAAAAUUCCUAUCCAAUAUUUACAAUAAUGCUUUCCUAUUUUUCUUCACUUAAUUUACCUUAAUUUUGUUUGCGCGGAACUCUCUAUUGUUGCUGUUAGCUCACAUCUUACGUUUUUAGCCUUGCGUUGUUCUCAAGUUGUUGCUUGAAGUAGGUUGAAAGUGAAGGGCUAGUGGCAAGUACUUUGCCCACCUGAACUCCAAAUAUGCGUACUUACCUCUUACAAUUACACUUUGCCCCUCUAAACUGUUGAUGGGUUAAGAUGCAGUUAUAUUUUAAUUUUAUUCCAUUUCUUGUAUUCUCUUAGUAUAUUUGUUUCUGAGACUCUUUUUUGAGAAAAAAUCUUUAUUAAGUUUUAAUCACAUAUAUAAAAUAUAAAAUUAAAUUAAUAUAAAUAAUUUUUAAAAAAAAAUAAGUGAUAAGCAGGUGAGAUGAGCAUUCGUUGGCGUGACUUUAUUUAACGGGUACCCAAUGAUAGGUGAAGCAAAUACGGUCACAAAAUGACUAUUCUAUGCGAAUUGGGUCAACCCAAUCGUGACGGGACCGCCCCUAACGGUGGGAAGCAAAAAGCAGCUGUAUAUGGGGUGUUCUUUUUUCACUUUAGGAAGCGUUGGUCGUGGUCGUGGUCGGUGGCACCUCGCCGCCAAGAUAUAAUAACCACCCCAGUGCUCCGGACGGAGAGGGGAAGGGCGGGAAUGCUGAAUAAUUGGGUAAUAGAGCCAUGUGCUUUUGUCACCACAAUAGUACUAAAUUAUUUGUUGGGCGGCCCGCCUUCUCCUCAUAGGUUAGUUAUAAUACUAUAUGUUAUUUGUCGGGCACCCCGCCUUCGCCUAUUUGGUUUUAGCUAAUUCAACAGAAGUUUGGAGGAUACAAGAGAUUUGCAUCACCGUCACGAGCAUUUGUGGGGGGCACCGACACAACCGUCUCGCGGCCACCCCCAAGUCUUAAGUCGCCUCAUAGUAAUACUAGUUACUAGAGUUUUUUUUGCCAAAAUAACACUUUUUUUUUAAAAUAUUUCCAAUGUGAUUCACUUUCAAAUUUUAUUCCCAAAUCGAUGUUAUUGUUGCCACCUAAUUACCCUGAUUGCCAUGUAAAAUAACAAGAAAGGAAAGCUUUAAUCUAGUUUAUAGUUUCCAAUAAAAACUAAAAAUUUAAACUAUUUCAUUAUAGAGGCACAAGAAAUUUGCAUAACUUUGAUAAUUUCCUUAUAAUUAUUUAAAAUAAAAUUUACCAUUAUUGACCUUGCUAUUAUUGCUCUCUGCAAUUUUUUUUUUAAAUGUAUCCAACUUAUUGCAUAUAUUUUUUCAAAAAUAAACUUGCAAAACACAAAAAUUGCAAUGAACAUUAUAAGCAAUAACAAGAAAAAGUUACAAAACUUCAAGGCUAUCAUAUUUGUUUAUGUUAUGCUUCCUACUCCUUAAAAAGAACUUUUACAAAAAGUAAUCAAACUAUUGCAAUUAAGAUAAUGCUAAAGUUUCUCAUAAGUAACACAAGCCAUUAAUUGAUGUUGAAUAAAUGUGCAAAAAUACUUUAAAUAUACGAGAUUAUUUGAUUAUGUGAUAGAGAGGCACUACAAAUGAACAUGCUUAUAUUGAGUAUGAAUUUAUGUUGCUACGUAGUUUUCCUCUUAGACAUUUUAUAAAACACACGGUGUGAGAAAUCAUUUGUCAAAGCAAUUAGUAUUCAAAAUUUUUUGAAGGCCAUAGGAAUGUUCUAAAAACUGCACAAUAGAAAAGACAAGAGAAUAAUCUUCAUUUACCUUGAAAUUAUCAAUUUGAAAAGAAUAUUUUCAUCUACAGAUACAAUAUCAAGAAUGAUAAUGAAAUUUUAGAUGUUGUUAAUAUAAAUAUUGGUUUUUAACAAUUACAUUUAACAAGAAAAAAUAACAAAAGGACACAAAAUAAUAAAGAAAAAAAAAAGGGAAAGUUCGGAGAGAGAAUUAGGAAAGAUAUUAGUUAGAAAAGAGAGAUAGAAUGUGCCUCUGUCUCUAUCCUCUCACACAUGGAAACUAUACGGAAAAAAAGAAUUAUAAAGAUAAUAAAUUUUAAAAUUAGAUUACUCGAUAUAUGUUUCUUAAAAAAAACAGAAGAGUUAUUUUGGCAAUAAACUCGUAGUUACUAUGUAUGUAUAUUUUACGCUCCCUCUCCACAUUCCACUCCCACGUCUGGCGCGCAAGGAAUCAUCCAGUCCAUGUCCAUCUCAUAAGUAAAAUAACGUGGCAGCCAGAGGCAGAGAGAGAGAGAGCGCCAGCCAGAAAAGAAACGUAAAGCGAGCAGCAACAUUGAUCGGUAAAUACUAGUAGUAGUAAUGAAACUGGCGGUUAACCACCAAAAAACUGAGAGAAUCACCACAGACAGAGAGAUGGAGAUGGAGGUGGAACAUCAAGUAAAGAAAAUCUUGGAUGAAAUAAACAAAUGAUCAUCGCCACCAGUGACGAAAGUUACAAAUAACAAAAUGGAAUGAAUAAUCACAACGUAUGUAGUAGUGUUGCCCUCAUCCAUAUAUCCCUGAUCAGCACCCCAUUCCAAAACCAUCAAUUACCAACAAAUUGUACUUACAUACUUUAUAGCAGGCAGACAGUAGUAGUUGCAGCAGCAAAUGAAUCGAAAACUUCCGAUGGCAAACCAGAGAAAAAUAUCUUUCAUUCAGCUUGGAGUGGAGGAGGUGGGGUGACGGCGGCGGAUGGAUGGCUUUCUUGAUUUUGGGGAGGAAUGGAGCAAUACAAUAGGCAAAUGCAAAAUGCAGCAGCUUAGUUUAGUUUCCAUAUACUGAACUCGUACUACUUACUAGUACUGGGUGGUUGUAAGUGGGACCCGGUCGAAAUUCUUGGAGGAGGAACCGUAACGGAUGGUUUGAGGAAGCCCCGCGUUGUCGGAAGAACCUACGAGCUUUCCCAGUUCAGACUUGACCUUGUAGAAGAUGUGCCUCCAGCUGCCCUUGCUCUGCCGACCCAGGGCAGCACUUUCUGCCUCGUUCAUCUCCAGAUCUUUUGCGAAGGUGGGCUUCCUGGACAAGAUCCACCCCCAUCCCCACUCCCACCAUUUCCUUAUUAUGGAAUCCCCUCCUCCUCCUCCAUACUGAUGAUGAUCUGCUGUGCCCAUGGAGGACGUAGAUUUGGAUCGGCGAAAUGCCCCGGCCCAUGAUGACGACCAGCGAUGAGAGGAGGAGGAGGAGGAGGAGAUCAUCAUCAUCAUGGCGGACGACGACGGUUGUAGCUGCAUCUGCAUCUUGAGGGACAGGGAGGAGAGUCUCUUGCGAAUGCCGCCUCCGCCACUCAAUGGCCCACUUUCACUUUGUACUUCAUUAUUACUGCUGCUACUAUUGCGGUUGUGCUUGGUAUAUUUAACGACGUUGGAGUCUGCGGGGCGGUGUGACAGAGGAAGGCCCUGCUGCCGCUGCUUGUUCUGUUGAAAGCUUUGAAAUAGAGAUCCCAUCUUGAUUCCCUCCUUAGCUACUCCAAACCUUAAGCUUUAGCUGCUGCUGUUGCCACCGACCAAAACUAAGAUCUGGGUUUCGGCCCGGAAAAAACCUGGACAACUAUAGCUACGCCACAGCAAAAUCGAGUCUAUUCUUGAAACACAACAAAUAAUAC
rnacentral:lncRNA from 1 species